GGGUAUGUAUAUUAUAUAUAUGAUUGGUGAUGAGGAUGGUUAUGAUGAUGAUGAUGACGGAGAUGACGGGAUGAUUAUUUUGCCGAGCCCCUUACUAGGGAAGCUGGGCACCUUAUAUGUUAAAGAUAUGCAUGAUUUUCACUUAAAAGGGUACAUGUGUAGCGAUAUUUUGUUUCGACUUGCCAUAUUGGUAUCCUGUCAUCUUUACCUUAUGCUUUACAUACUCAGUACAUUGUCCGUAUUGACUCUCCUUUCCUCGGGGGGCUGCGUUUCAUGCCCGCAGGUGUAGAUGCACAGUUCGGUGAUCCUCCCGCCUAGGAUAUCUACUCUGCUGAUUGGGAGAGCUCCACUGUUCCGGAGCCCAGUCGUUUUGGUACAUAACUUUUGUGUAGUCUUUUGCUCGUCUAUGGGUAUGGCGGAGCCCUUUCCCGUUGAGUUUCACUACUGUACUCUUAGAGGUCUGUGGACAUUAUGUGGGUUGUAUAUAUAUGUUUUGGAUAAUGGUUAGGACAUGGUUUUUUUAAGAUGUCCACUUGUACAGGGGCAGCCUUGUCGGCUGUGUACAUCAUUGUGUAUUGUGUAGUGGCAGCCUUGUUGGCUUACUUAUGUUAUUAUGCUUUGGAUAGUGGCGGCCUUGUCAGCUCGCGUAUGUUGUUACUGUUGAAUGGUUAUGACUCCUUAUGAGACAGGUCCUCUUUAUAUAUAUAUGACGUUGGGGUUGGCUUGAUUUAUAUAAAUUCCAUAUUGUCUUAGUUUCAGUUGGUUAUACUUAGCAAGUUUGUAUGUGGGUGUCCAAAACGGGCACUAGUCACGGCCCAUCGGGUUGGGUCGUGACAAUCUGUCAUUAGGCUGAGACCGGUUUCAACUAUGUGGCCAUGCUUUUGUUCUACUUUUGCCUGUUGUUCAUGAGUGUGGUGGCAUGAAAGCCAAUGAAGAAUCCAUUGUUUAUUUAAAACAGGAGUGAGCACACAAAAUUCUCCGCCACCAUCUGUUUGGAUAGACUUUAUGGUGGUAUUGAAUUGAUUUUUAACAAAUCUCUUAAAUUGAAGAAAAAUAUGUGAAACAUGUGAUUUCUGAAACAUUGGAAAUCCCCAAACAAAAUCGCUAUAGUCAUCCACAAAAACAAGAAAUUAACGAUGACCUUCUGAAGAAAGAAAAGAAGAUGGUCCCCAAAUAUCCGCAUAAAAUAAUUGUAAAAACGAAGAACUUUUAUUGCUACCAAUGGAAAGAUUUAAUUUGUGCGACUUGCCAAGUUAAAAGAGGUACAAAUAUUAUUCAACUUAGACUAGAAAGUGGUAAAACAUGUUGGAGGACUUGAUGAAGGACUGUUUAUGUGGAUGACCCAAGCGAAUAUGCCAACAAUUUUUAGAAGCUUUGGCUGAGAGAUAUGCAGAGGAACGAAAUGUUGAGGAGAGCUUGAAUAGAAGAGUGUCGAGAUCAUCUUUACUUGGACCGGAAAGAAGGACCUUCCUGGUAGCUUGAUCCUUAACAGGAAAAUAAGCUGGAUAAAAUUCAAAGAAGACUCUAUGGUCAUUAGAAAACGCUGAAAACAAAGUAAUGGCUUAGUAACAGAUGGAACAUGAAGAACAUUAGUGAGACAAAAUGAAUUUUUGGUGGAUGAAAGAAUGAAUUACUAGUGUGGUGGAUAGAUAGACUAGCCCCAUUUCCAACCUUCAAGUGAUCUACCCCUUUGUAUGGCUCUUCUUGAUGAAUGCCUGUGAGAUGUGGCAUUAUAUGGUUUGUUUCUCUAGUGUCCGAGAACCACGAUUAGUCAAUGGAAUUGGUGCCUGAUAUGAGAGAUGUGCGAAAGGAUUAAUCGUGUGACUAUAACACUGAAAGCAUGUGUUUGCUUAGCGAUUGGUGCCAUUAAAUAUUAGGCAGUGAACUUUGUUGUGAAGAGACGGAUGCCAAGGUUGACCAUUCGAAUUAUUUCGAGAGGAUGAGCAAUGACCACCUCUACCACCUCUUCCUCUAGAGUUUCUACCACGACCACAAUAAUUGGAAAUAUUAUGUUGAGAGCAAUCGUUGGAGGUGUUGGAUUGUUUACUAAAGUGAACAACAUGUUGAUCAGUAUGUGGAAGGGGUGAUAAUGUGAGGGAAUAUAAGGUAUGUCCAUGUAUGAACUCAUAAUUAAGUAACAAGCUAUGAAGUUCAGAAUAUGUCACGGGUUCAGGUCUUGCAGAAAGAGCGGUUACAAGGUCCUUAAAGUCAGAGAGGAGACCUUUAAAAUAUAGAUAUUAAGAUCCACAAGACAAAAAUGGUCUACCAACGACAGCUAACUCAUUAGAAAUAUGCUUAGCCUUUUGAAGAUAUUGGGUGACAGUAAGAUCAUCUUGCUUGAGAUUUUGAAGGGACAUAAGGAGGUUAAGAAUUCGAGUAUUGGAGGUAUAAUAAAGAGCCUUUCCGAGAGAAUCUUAAUCUUGUUUAGAGGUAGCGAGACCAAUCACAAUCGGUAAGGUCUCUUUGGAAAGAGAAGAUAUAAGCAAACUUAAUAUGAGUUUAUCCUGUUGGAUCCAUUGGGCAUGAUGAGGAUCAAUCUCGGGGUUGUGUUUUCCUGCUAUGAUGUUAUGGGAUGACAGACAUGGAAAAGAGCCAUCGACAUAUCCUAAUAAAUUUUGACAACAAAGAAAGGGUAACAAUUAGGUUUUCCAAAAUAAAUAAUUGGUAGAAACUAAUAUAAUGGAAAUAAGGUGGUGAGCAUGGUUGAUAGGGGAGGGAGACGAGGGAGAGAAAACGUUGAUCGGAGAUUCUAAGGAAGAAGAAGAAGUGGUCAUGGCAGCUUCUGAUACCUUAUUCAAAUACAACUGUGUAGGUAGAAGCUGUAACUUUUGCUUCUAUUUUCAUUGAUCUUCUAUGGUUGCAGUAGUACUGCAUCUUAUACAGGGACAUUAACAAUACUAAUUCUAUAAGGACAUUAAUAUCUAAGGUAUUAUAGAUGCACACAACUUCACUUCUAUUAGGUAUCUUAUAGAGUUGUAUAGCUAAUCAACUUCCUCAAGUAAUGAUUUCUUAAUAAUUCCUACCAUUAAUUUACAUAUAUUACACACUGAUCACAAAUUUAAACUACUAAUUUCGUAAAAAGAUAGCCUACCUGAGCGCCAAGCAGUUGCACACAGUUUUUGACCUUGAUUCCUGUUUUUCGGGCUUGAUGAUGGUGAUUUGGCCAAUAAUCUGCAUGAUAUCACCAUUCUCUAGCUAUAAAUCUUCUCCUCCUUCCUUCCCAAGUUUAGAGCAUUUUCAGAGGUUUCUACGGUGUUUUUAAGACUUAUUUAGGUAUUUCAUGAAGAUGGAGGAAAUAGGAUUCUCAUAAUUUAGUUUAUGCCUCGCCUAUCCCGCCAUGGAAUUAGCUUACUCUGCGGAGGGGUCGCCGCCGUAGCGGCAUGUGGCUCGCUAUGGCAGCACAAUGGUUUAGAUUUUCCCAGAUUUUUGUUUCUCCCAAAUAACGACGGUCCACAUUGUUACAAGACAUUCAAGAUAAUUAUGUAAUUAAUGGUUAUUAGUUGAUUAUUUAUCAUAAAUAGGUCGUUGAUGUCAUGCUAAAAUCAUCAGGUAAUAAUAUACUUCUUACAUAUUUGGAAAAGAUAUACAUCCUCGUUCAAUUCGUCACAUAUACUUUCCAUUUAAAUCCAUUUAAAAAAUAACUAUAAUUUUUCUUUUCAUAUAUUUGAAAAUGUCUGAUACAUGCAUCUGAUGACCAAAAUUUGGCACGAUAAUAAUUUUUAAAACUCAUGAAAAUGAGCGUAUUAGGCCCUAAACAAAUUAAAUUUGUAUUGUUUAACCUAUUAAAUUCAAUAAUAUUUAAAGUAAAAUUCAUGGGAUAAUAUAACAUUUAAUAAAUUUAAACAAUAAAAUACAGUAGUAAAAUACAUUAAACAUUUUACUCUCUUUAAAGUGGUAAAAAAAUUAUAAAGUUAUAUGUGUCACUAUGAAACAAUUACCUCUUGGGUUCAAUUUCCAAAGUCCUUGUGAAACAACGUGGUCAUGUUGUUCCUAGAACAACCAUAUGUCUCUUUCCAAGCGCUAUUUUGUCAUUUUACUAAACCCAUAAAAAUGAAAUACCUCUUCAUUUUUUUUCCAACUUUCCACCUAGAAAUUUUUUCCUUUAUAAGCUCCAAAUGCCUAAUGGUUUCUUCGUACUCAAACUUUCAUUGAGUUUUUAAUUUUUAAUUUUAUAUUUUUUAGUUCAAAAUUCAAUAGCUUUCUCGUAUGUUAGAUUUUCCUAACAUUGAGAGAGCUGAGGAAGACAUAGGAAUUUCAUCUGUAGAGAAUGAAAAAGUGGAAUUGAAUUUACGGCUUUCAUUGAAUGUUAAUUUUGAUGUUCAUCCGAAAUAAAUGAAUUGUUUUUUGUGAAUAACUAAUAAAAAAUAUUCUUUGAUUUUUUAGGUGGAUCGCAAUAAAGUUUUGCUCAACCAUAGCUGAGGUUCAAACCCUAAAACCACCUACUCAAGGUAUCCAAAUAUUGCAAAUUGAUUCAUAUAACAUGUAAAUUAUAAUUUGUAUCAAAAUCAAGGUAGGAAACUAUUUUGUUUCCUUAAGUUCUCGAUGUUCAAAACAUAUUUUGUUGAACAGAAAUCACAUGUCUAUUCAGGAAAUUAUAUUGCUAAAUCAAAGAUCAAAAACUUCAUACUCAAUCAUAUGACUAAUGUUUUAACAAGUGAUGAAGGACCAAAUGGAAAAAAGAUUGAAGGACAUUUAUACUCAUGUAAGAAGAAAGAUGAAGUGGACUUAGUUUCCCUUUGUCAUGAUCUUCUAAUGCAACUUAGUUUGUCAAACAUUCUAGUGGAGGUUAUAUAGAAAACCAUUUAAACCAUAUAUUUAUCGAUGGGAAAUAGAAUAAGAAGCAUUAUUAUUGAUGUUAAUUGAUAUUUCCCUUUGUUGUUGUACCGAAUAAAUUAAAUGGCUAUUUUCCAAAGAGGCCUUAUCUUUUGUAUCGUUAUUAUUUCAUUUUUUUUGUUGUAUUGACUAAAGAUACUCCCGUUAAUGUUAUUUCAUGACCUAAACAUUUGUAUUGGCACCCACACAAACACUUUAAUUAGAUAACCCAAGAACUAAAUAUUUAAAGAUACGUAAGUUGGUUUAAAUGCAUGAAUCAAAUAGAGUUCCCAUUAACUCCAAAGCUUCAAAAACCAAUUAACCAACUAAUGGUGAAGAACAACUCCUAGAAUCCAAAAGUCAAUGAACCAAAACAUCUAAAGUUUAACAAGUGUAAUGAAAUGGGUGCAACCAGAAUAAACAUACGAAUAUGAAACUAGAAAGCCUGAGUCCGAAAGAGUGGACUAAAACAUAAAGAACUCAUGGAAUCCUGGAAGAACUGGCUCACCGUUGAAUUCAAUUGAUCACUGAUCUCCUAGAUGAAGUCUGUCAGUAGCUACCUGAAGAUGACCUGUACUCAACACCAGGAAAGAUCAAGUGCAAUCCUAGUAUUAAGAUUACACAUCAAUCCUAGUAAGUGAAACAUACACAAGCAGUCACAACAUAGUGAACAUGCAAAUACCGAACAUAUACAAUAUCAAUUAUCAUUCAGGAGCAAUGCAUCAUUCCAAAAUUUCAAUAUCAAAUAAUUACACACAUAUCACAAUUAAAUGGUCCUCCAUGGAAUCCACACUCAAACUAUUACCCGAUCCCAGUUUUUGUGCCGCAUGUGACACCCAAUCCCAUUGUUGUGCCAAAAGGUGGCACCCGAUUCAAGUUAGUGAGUUGGAAUGUAAACUUGAUUCAUUCAACAAGCCACAAUCACAAUAACUAUGUAAUUUUUUCAUAAUCAUACAAUCAAAUGUUGAUUUAUGGCAUACAAUAAUUUGUUUAUACUCAUUCACAUUUGAUGAUCAUAGGGCAACAGUCAGACACAUACAUGAAUUAUUUGAAGAAAAUACUCAUUUACAUUACAAAAACAUGAAAUCAAACCAUCACCUACCUCAAAAACAAUCUUUAAUCCUCCUAACAUAUUUGAUUCUUCCUUUUCCAUAUUCUUUCCGCUUGUUCUAGGUGUACAAACAAACAAUUCAGUACAAGGAUCAAUACUUAAGUUCUAAUUUACCCAAAUUAUGAAAAACUCAAUAAUCCAAUACCCAUAUUAUGACCCUAAGGUGCAACUAGGGCUUUUUCGACCAUCCAAAUCAGUUAACCCCCCCCCCCCUGCAAGCAAUAUAUGAUCAACAUUCUCAGUUCUAUGUAUCAUGGGGAGUAGAUUCCUUACCUUUCAAAUCAAAAGUAGUGGAAAAUUUUCAAGAAAUUUCCUGGGUUUGUCUCCAAGCACUCAAGAAUGAAUAUUGCAGAAUAAUAGCAUUUUGGGAGUUUUUUUACUUAAGUCGGUACUGGCCCACUUUGGUAGCCCCCAUUCCGCCAGAAGCCUCGCUCAAACGUCUUUCAUGGAAACAAAGAGUUUUAUUUAUAGUUACAAUCCCCCAUUUCACAAAAUGCCUUCAACCCAUGACAUUCUGAAACUACCCUUCCACACUAGGAGAAGUUUCAGAAGUUCUACUCACCUAAAUUCAAUAUCGUAAAGACGUACGGGUUUCGUAAUGUCUUAACUACACAACCAUGCAAUCAAAUUCAUUAUUAUAUAUAUCAUUUGUUACAAGAUUUCCCUAUUACUCACUAACUUUGAUUUUGUUCAAAUCUUAUCUUGAAUAGGUUGUUACAAUACACAUCAAUUUACACAUCACUCAUCCCUGAGGGACAAACUUGGAAAAUCUAGGCUAAUGUAAGGGUGGAGUAGUAUGUGAAUCAUCGAAUAAUUGGGGAUACUUGUCUCGCAGGUCCUCCUCAGUUUCCCAAGUAGCUUUUUCAACUGGAUGAUGCAUCCAUUAAACUUUCACGAACUUAUUCUCUUUGGUCCUCAGCUUCCACACAUGAUGAUAAAUAUUUGUAACCAGUUCCUCCUCAUAUAGGAGGUGUUUUUCUAACAACUCUGAGUCUCAUUUAUUAUGUAAUCCCUGUCACCAUGAUAUGUCUUCAACACGGACAUACCGGGUGAACUCCCUAUAGAUUAUGACGUAAUGUUUAAUCUAUAUGUAAUUUGUUCUACAUAGUCAAGAAUCUCAGCUGGACCAAUGUAUCAAGGACUAAGUUUGUCGUUCUUGCUAAAUCUGAUCAACUUUUCAUGGGUGAUACAUAACAAGAACUUCAAAUUUAGUCUUAAAUUACAUGUCUCUUACCUUAUGUUUCACUUACUUUUUUUGUCUACUCUAGGCUGCUAAAAUCUUAUCUUGAAAACUCCUAGCUUUAUUGAACAUCCUUCACUAAAUCAACCCCCAAAUAUUUCACAUCACCAACCUCAAAUCAUCCUAUGGGUGAUUUCAAUACUCUUCCAUAACUUGCUCGAAUGGUGCCAUAUGGAUUCUUGAGUGGUAAUUGUUAUGACAGGAGAACUAACACAAAGGUAGGAACUUAUCCCAAUGUCUUCCAAAGUGUUAUGCCUCGUAUUUUAAUACAUAGUGCACAUAAUGAACUAGUAGAUGUAAGUCCGGGGAAUGAAAUUUUAUUUUAAGUUCCAAGUGAUUAAAGAAAUAUUAGGCAAGGAUGUUAAUUCCAAAUGUGAUAUUAAGUAUGAUUUGGCUAAUGUAAGUUCUAUUAACUUUAAGUGAGGGAUUAAUUAGUGGCUGAUUAGGAUUAAAUUAAUCUAGUGGGCCCCACCACUCAACGCAAAUUAAAAGGAAUCAGAUUGAGAGCUGGCCUUAGUGGGGCACGUGCAGAGGGGGGCUGCCUCCACUUCAUAUUAUAAAUGAGGUGGUGAAAUGCAUUGAAACAUGUCAUCUUCUUCACCACUUGGCUUAGGCAGCCAUGGAAAUGGAGAAAACGAACCAUGCAACUCUUGGCCAGCAGCUGCAAAGAAUUUGGUUAGUAAUCUCUUUGCUUGGUAUGUUAAUUCCUUAGAAUGCCUUUGUUAAUUAGCCAUUAAUGUUAGGAAGGGGGCAUGACCAGUAGCUUAGGAAAUUUGUUUUAGUUAUUGAAUGUGCUAAGUACGAAUGGAAACCAUAAUCAGAUUAUUAGUGGUGUCGUGUUAGUGUUUGAGCUGUUUUGAUUAAAGCAAAUAGCGGGAAAUUCUGUUUUGGCGUUAUGUAUAUGUUAAUGUGAUUAUGGGUAUAUACUCCAAAGGAUGAAUACGAUAAGGUAGAUGUGUUGCGAAUUAUAAAAGGAGUUAUCGCUCGGUGUGUCGUUGCUUCAUUACAAUGGUUGCCGAGACGGAACUAUUUUUUUGGGGGGGGGGGGGACUUGUUUAAUAUGAUUCGUUGGGUUAUAUGUGUUAUUGGUAUUGCUGUGGAUAAUUUGGGUUGUUGUGGAUUGGGACGAAGUAAGGAAAAUAGGGGAAGUGUUGCCGGAUUUUCAUUAGAUUAUUAGCUAGCUUACAAUAAGUAGUAAAGCGCGACGUUUAUCUAAUUGUGGCACGAUUGUUGCUUGUUAUAGAUUAAUAGCUUGAGCAGUAAAUAUUGGACGUGCGGCUCGACUAUACGGUAUGUAACACUAUCCUCUCUUUCUUUGUUUGGCACGACUUUUAAAAAUGAGCGAAUAACAGACAGGUUUGAUACUUACUUCUAGAGCGUCUAGGUGACGUAUAUUCUUGCUUCCACAACUAUUCCUCUAUAUAUCGGCUAUGUCUAAGGCUUAAUGAUUUCUCAUAUCUAUGGUAGUGCUUCUUAGAGUCAUUGACGUUUUACAUUUCCAUAUCGUAUUAAAGGUUCAUAAUCUUGAUAAAACGUUAAUCUUUGGUAAUACUCCUUGCUGGUUCACGUUGAUUGUUCUAUUGAGUUAUGAGAAAUGAUUUUAAUUGCACAUGGUUGCUCAUAAUAUUCUGCUCGUGCAUAGAGUCAUUUAUCAUUUCACCGAGUCCCGGGCCGGGUAAUGUUCAUGCGGAGUUUCUUGCAUAUGUCACCGAGUCCCUCACUAGAGGGCCGGGUAUGUAUAUUAUAUAUAUGAUUGGUGAUGAGGAUGGUUAUGAUGAUGAUGAUGACAGAGAUGAUGUGAUGACUAUUUCACCGAGUCCCUCAAUAAAGGGCCCGGUACGUAUGAUGUAUAUAUAUAUGAUUAUUAUUUUGCCGAGUCCCUUACUAGGGAAGCUGGGCACCUUAUAUGUUAAAGAUAUGCAUGAUUUUCACUUAAAAGGGUACAUGUGUAGCGAUAUCUUGUUUCGACUUAUCAUGUUGGUAUCUUGUAAUCUUUACCUUAUGCUUUACAUACUCAGUACAUUGUCCGUACUGACCCCUUUCCUCGGGGGGCUGCGUUUCAUGCCCGCAGGUGUAGAUGCACAAUUCGGUGAUCCUCCCACCUAGCAUAUCUACUCUGCUGAUUGGGAGAGCUCCACUAUUCCGGAGCCCAGUCGUUUUGGUACAUAACUUUUUGUGUAGUCUUUUGCUUGUCUAUGGGUAUGGCGGGGCCCUGUCCCAUCGAGUUUCACUACUAUACUCUUAGAGGUCUGUAGACAUUAUGUGGGUUGCAUAUAUAUGUUUUGUAUAAUGGUCUGGACAUGGUUUGUUUGGGAUGUCCGCUUGUACAGAGGCAGCCUUGUCGGCUGCGUACAUCAUUGUGUAUUGUGUAGUGGCAGCCUUGUCGUCUUGCGUAUGCUAUUAUGCUUUGGAUAGAGGCGGCCUUGUCGGCUCGCGUAUGUUGUUACGGUUGAAUGGUUAUGACUCCUUAUGAGACAGGUCCACUUUAUAUAUAUGGCGUUGGGAUUGUCUUGAUUUGAUUAAAUUCCAUAUUGUCUUAGUUUCAGUUGGUUAUACUUAGCAGGUUUGUAUGUGAGUGUCCAAAACAGGCACUAGUCACGGCACAUCGGGUUGGGUCGUGACAAAGAGUGGUAUCAGAGCGGUUCUUCGUCGGAAGUGUCUAAAGACCAUGUCUAGUAGAGUCUUGUUUAUUGGUGUGUUGUGCACCACAUCUAUAAACAGGAAGCUACAGGACAUUUAGGAUGUCAUCCUUUCUUCUUAUUUUAGAUCGUGCGAUAGAGCUAUAUUAACAGGAUAAUCCCUCUCUAACAAAUCCAAAGAAAGCGAAAGCCCCCUAGAAGGGCAAAUCGGUAGCAGAUGGUACUAGUCAGACCCGGAGAGUUACUAGGGCCCGUGCCCAGUCUAUGCCUGGUAUUGUGCUCCAGUCGGAGAGCUCUGCUACACCGCCACCGCCAGAGGAUCUUAGAGCAGCAACAGCUCCAGUUCGGGGGACACCAUCACUAGCCCCCGAGGCCCCAGCACCUGAACCUCCAACUCCUCAGUCAGGGCUGAGAUAGGGCCAUGAUAGAUGCGGUUCAGUUGCUGACUAGAUUAGUGGCAGGUCAGGCUCGCAGGCUUGGACUAGGAGUUGAUCAUGCGGACAGAUCUGAUAGCUUAAGGGCACGUGACUUCUUAAGUUGUAAUCCUCUAGAGUUCUUUGGGUUAAGGCCCCAGGAGGAUCCGCAAGAGUUUAUUCGUCAGAUGCAGCGUACAUUAAGGAUAACCAAGGCUUUGGAGACCGAGUCUGUUGAGUUGGCUACAUAUCGUUUGCGGGAUGUAGCUAUUAAUUGGUAUGAGUCUUGGGAGUUAUCUGAUUGAUGGUUGUAUGGCAGUGACUCUUCAGCCAGGUAUGGACAUUGCUCGGGUGCAGGCAUAUGCACAGGGGGUAGAGGAUCGGCACCGGGGACGUCAACCAGAUAGAGAUUAUAAUAGAGGCCAGCAUAAGAGGGCUAGAUCAGCAAGUUAUCCUGACGAGUUUCGAGGCGGGCAGUCUCAGCAGCAUGUUAGAUUUUCUUCCCAGCCAGCACAGAGUGCACCCCCACGUUCCAUGGGUAGGGGAUUCGAUCGUACGGGAUAUUCGAAAGCUGGUCAGAGCUCUAGGGUGUCAGGGUCACAGAUGGGCAGGGGUUUGAGCCAGUCGAGGCCACACUUGCCUCGGUGUUCUCGCUGUGGUAGGUUUCAUCUUGGGGAAUGUCAUUGGGCUACAGGUGCGUGUUUUUCUUGCGGCCGUCAGGGUCAUACUAUGAGGGAGUGUCACCUUAGAGGUAGUGCAGGUGGUACUAUUACUCCUAACCACCAUAUUCAAGCUAAGUACUUUAAAAACUUCAUGGACUAUUACUAACCAAGUCCUUUGAAACUAACUAAGGGCUCUCAUUUAGCUAUUUCUCAUAGUAAGACAUGGUUCUCCCAAUCUCUCGGAACUCAUUACUAUCUUAUUCUCAACACUUGACUUGCUUUCUCAUCUUAUCAUCUCCCCCUUAGGUGUAACGCUAGCAUUUGAAAGCUAUGGACCUUUCCACAUCUCUAACUAGUAUACAUUCUGUUAAUUCUCUUUUUACUCUUGUGAAUUAGCAACACUUCGCUGCCCUUAUCUAAACGUUAGGGUAUCUCACUUGUACCACUCUUACCUAUUGCAGCUAAUCACCUUAAUUCCACACUUACUUUAUGUCAACUCUUCUAGAUCAAAACUCAAGACUAACAAAAUCACCCUCACGUUGCCAUUCUUUUUAUCAUGACACUCAUCUCAAAUUUGAGUUAAAUAUUUAUUACUAAACAAGAAUAUCAAUACGAUUGAUCACCUACUAUACUAUACCUCAUUAUUUUUUCAGUUCUAUAACCUUAUAAGCAUCACAACUCUCUCAAACAAAUGAUAAGCCUAGAUUAGAUCCAUCACCUCAUCAAUACUCUUGCUAUUCUGUUAAAAACUUACCCAUGGUCAUUUCCUACACAAUGAAACUUCAUCAGGGUUUCCUUUCUAGCUACCCCACACUCUAGCAACUAUGAUGUGAACUUCACAACUCAUCACUUCUUAGUCUACCAGUAAGGGAAAACUCUUCAUUCAUAACUUACUAGGUGCAUGACUAAUAAUAUUAUCCAUCCCAUCACUAUCUCCCUUACUUAGAUUACUAAACCUUUUGAUACUUUCCUCUAACUCUAGGCUCUUUCACUACUACUACUCAUGAUCUCAUAACUCAUGCUACCUUUUUGGGUGAAAAUCAUACCCAAGCUCUAAACAUAUUUCUUUAAAUGUAUCUAAUCUAAAACAAGGCUUAAGGAAAAGAGUACAACUCUCUUUUAGUUCAAAUGCAAGAUUCAUAUGAAUGAGGGAAUUCCUCUAAACUUUACAUUUCACUUACUUUUGGGAUUAUCUUAAGCCAUUCUAGAAGUCUCAUGAAUUUAUCAAGACUCUUGCUAAGAACAAAUCAUCAACAGAUAAUUGACUCUUCUUUUCAACCACACCUAGUAUGAUGGGUAGUCGAAUGAAUCUGAGAAACUCACGAGUACGAAUAAAUCUCUAUGACAUAUAUCUAUUGCAUAAUUUAGAGUAUGAAAGAAGAGAAACUUUUAUUAAAUGUUUGUAGUCCCUCAUUUACCCAAUUAGGUCCCUCACAACCAUAAAUAAGAUCCUACUUGACACGACUUCAUCAACACUAUAGGACACUUGAACUCUUUGCUCUAAUACAAUGUUUGUCACGACCCGAAUCUACACCCUAGACAUGGUUGGCACUCAAGAAACAUUGCUAGUUCCCAAGAAAACCCUUGUCCUGGCUGUUUAUAAAAGUGGAGACUAACUUAAUCAUAAAACAACUCAAAACUAAAAUAAAAGUUCAUAAAACAUAAAAACAAACUUCAAGUCCAAAUAAAACUGUGUAUAAUAAAAUAUAUACAACUCGACAUACAUGGAAACUUUAGUUUGUAAAAUGCUUAUUAAAUAAAAUAAAGACUUCUAAAAAUCUAUUUUCCAUCUAUGAAGCCUUUAAAUGACAAUAAUGGAGGUCAUGAAAAGACUCACACCUCAUUUAAUAGUAUGAAGUGGAGGCAGCCCCCCUCUACACCUGUCCACUAAGGCCAGCUCACAAUUUGAUCCCUUUUUAAAUUUUUUACCUUGAGUGGUGGGGCCCACUGGAUUAAAUUAAUCCUAAUCAGCCACCAAUUAUGAGUUGUGGGGUCCAUUGGAUUAAAUUAAUUCUAAUCAGUCACUAAUUAAUCCCUCACUUAAAGUUAUUGCACUUACAUUAGCCAACUCAUACUUAAUCAGUUGGAACUUAAAAUAAAAUCUCAUUCCCCGGACUUACGUCUACUAGAUCACGAUGCGCACUACGUAUAAAAAAAUACGAGGCAUAACAUCCUUCCCCCCUUAGGAACAUUCGUCCUCGAAUGUUAAGUUAGCAUCUUGCAAAAAUAAAUUCCUGCGAGGUCUCUCUAACAGUUAUACCUAUCAACCUGCAUUUCGUAAGUUACAGAUGCCUCACAGCUACAUAAUCUCAUUAUCUAUCAAUAUAGUCAAGCUAGGAAUUGAAUUACCUGUAGGUACGGGGAACAAGUAAGGAUACUUAUUCUUCAUUUCAUCUUCCGCUUCCCAAGUCAUCUUCUCCCUAUUGUUAUUUUGCCACAACACUUUGACGAAGGCCAUAUCCUUAGUACGUAACCUUCUAACCUGGCGAUCAAGUAUAGCUACGGGUUUCUCCUCAUAUGACAACUCCUCUGUUACCUGAACAUCAUCUACGGGGAAUACUCUAGAAGGAUCACCGAUACAUUUACGUAGCAUCGAUACAUGGAAGACUGGAUGCACCGCCUCCAAAUCAGAUGGUAGAUCCAACUCAUUUGCAACCUUGCCUAUCCUACGAACAAUCUGAUAAGGCCCAAUGUAUCUCGGACUGAGCUUCCCCUUCCUGCCGAAUGUCAUCACACCCCUCAUGGGUGAUACCUUCAGGAAUACCCAGUCACCAAUCUGAAACUCCAAAUCUCGACGAUGAUUACCUGCAUAUGACUUCUGUCGACUCUGGGCUGCUAUUAAUCUUUCUUGAAUAAGCUUCACCUUUUCAACAGCUUGCUGAAUCACAUCCGGGCCUAUUAACUUAGUCUCGCCAACAUCAAACCAACCAAUAGGUGAUCUGCACUUCUUCCCAUAUAAGGCCUCGUACGGUGCCAUCUAGAUACUAGAAUGGUAGCUAUUAUUAUAGGCAAACUCAAUGAGCGGCAAGUGGUCAUCCCAGCUACCUUUGAAGUCAAUAAUACAGGACCGCAACAUAUCUUCUAAUGUCUGAAUAGUACGCUCAGCCUGCCCAUCAGUCUGAGGGUGAAAUGUUGUGCUAAGGUUCACCUGUGUCCGCAAUCCCUUCUGAAACGAUCUCCAAAAGUUGGUUGUAAAUUGAGCUCCUCUGUCUGAUAUAAUGGACGUGGGAACCCCAUGAAGUCUCACUAUCUCCCUGACAUAUAACCUCGCAUAAUCUUCAGCCGAAUAAGUAGUCCUGACUGGAAGAAAAUGGGCCGAUUUCGUCAGCCUAUCUACAAUAACCCAUAUAGAGUCAUACUUCCGUUGAGUGCGAGGUAAGCCUGUAAUGAAGUCCAUAUUAAUCAUCUCCCAUUUCCAAGUCAGGAUCUCUAUCUCCUGUAACAAUCCACCAGACUUUUGAUGUUCGAUCUUGACUUUUUGACAAUUUGGGCACUGAGCAACAAACUCCACUAUGUCCUUUUUCAUGCCAUCCCAGCAAUAUAAGCAUCUGAGGUUAUGAUACAUUUUUGUUGACCCUGGGUGAAUAGAAUAACGGGCAGAGUGUGCCUCUCCCAUAACCUGCCGUCGUAGCCCCACAGUAUCGGGUACACACAAUCUGCCUUCAUAUAGUAACACUCCGUCAGGUGUAACCUUAAAUGGGGUCUUUUCCUUUUGAAGAGCUGCAUCUCUAUACUGUGCCAGAAUAGGGUCCUUGUAUUGGUGUCUCUUUACCUCAUCUAUGAUUGAGGACUCAGCAACCUCUCGAAUAGAAACUCCACUAUCUUCUGAAUUAGCUAGACGGACUCCAAGGCUGGAUAGCCGCUGAAUCUUCCGAACCAUAUCCCUCCUUUCUAGUUGUACAUCUGUCAAGCUACCCAUGGACUUACGGCUAAGAGCAUCUGCUACAACAUUCGCUUUCCCUGGAUGAUAUAAAAUAUCAACAUCAUAAUCCUUUAGCAACUCUAACCACCGCCUCUGUCGUAAGUUCAGCUCCUUCUGUUUAAAGAUAUAUUGGAGACUCUUAUGAUCUGUAUAGAUGUCCACAUGGACACCAUAUAAAUAAUGUCUCCAUAUCUUCAAGGCAUGAACCACGACCACUAACUCCAGAUCGUGAGUAGGAUAGUUCUUUUCAUGCUUCCUAAGUUGUCGGUAGGCAUAGAAUAUAACUUUGCCAUGCUGCAUCAAUACACAUCCUAGCCCAACACCCGAAGCAUCACAAUAAAUAACAUAGCCGUCUGGUCCCUCUGGAAGAGUUAGGACUGGAGUUGUAGUCAAUUUGUCUUUCAAUAGUUGGAAGCUUCGCUCACAAGCAUCAGUCCACUGGAACAUGGCUGCCUUUUGAGUUAGCCUUGUCAAAGGCGCUGAAAUUGAGGCAAACUUUUCUACGAAUCUCCUGUAAUAUCCUGCUAACCCCAGAAAGAUGCGUACCUCAGUACGUGUCGUAGGUCUUGGCCAAGUCUUUACCACCUCAAUCUUCUGCGUGUCUACCCGAAUACCAUCAGCUCCAAUAAUAUGCCCCAAGAAUGCCACUGAAGUCAACCAGAACUCGCACUUAGAAAAUUUAGCAUACAACUUCUGGUGUUGAAGCACCCUAAGUACCGUCCUUAAAUGGUCUGCAUGCUCCUCUUCUGAACGUGAAUAGACCAGAAUAUCGUCUAUAAAUACAAUACCAAACAUAUCAAGGAAUGGUUUAAAUACUCGAUUCAUUAAAUCCAUGAACACCGCUGGAGCAUUAGUCAGCCCAAAAGACAGCACUCUAAACUCAUAAUACCCAUAUCGGGUCCGGAAUGCCGUCUUUGGAAUAUCUGCCUCCCUUACCCGCACCUGAUGAUAACCUGACCGCAAGUCUAUCUUUGAAAAACACUUUGCACCCUGACUGGUCAAAUAGAUCGUCAAUCCUUGGGAGGGGAUACCUGUUCUUUAUUGUUACUUUGUUCAACUGCCUAUAAUCAAUGCACAUCCGCAGCGACCCAUCCUUCUCCCUCACAAACAGUACCGGUGCUCCCCAAGGUGACGUACUAGGCCUGAUGAAGCCCUUUUCUAGCAAAUCUCUCAAUUGCUCUUUCAAUUCUUUCAACUCAGUAGGUGACAUUCUAUAAGGAGGUAUAGAUAUAGACUUGGUAUCUGGCAGUACAUCUAUAGCAAACUCUAUCUCUCGUUCUGGAGGAAGGCCUGGAAGUUCCUCAGGGAAUACAUCGGGAAAUUCAUUAACUACCGGGACUGAUUGAAGAGUCGGUGCCUCUGCCUUUAUGUCAUGCACCCGAAUCAGAUGGUAAAUAUAGCCUUUUCUAACCAUCUUCUCGGCCUUGAGGUAGGAAAUGAACUUACCUUUCGGCGAUACUGUACUUCCCUUCCACUCUAUAAUCGGUUCCCCUGGAAAUUGAAAUCGAACUAUCUUUCCUCUGCAAUCAACAUUAGCACAAUGAGAAGCCAACCAAUCCAUGCCCAUGAUCAUAUCAAACUCAAUCAUAUCUAACUCUAUUAGAUCUGCUACGGUACGACGACUAUAUAUAACUACUGAACAAUUCCUAUAUACUCACGUAGCUAUGACAAAAUCUCCUACAAGUGUAGCUACCUCAAAUGGUUCUAUCAACUCAGACUCUAUUCCGAUCCUACUAGCAACAAAGGGUGAUAUAUAUGAUAAGGUGGAACCUGGGUAUAUCAAUGCAUACACACUUUGGGAGAAUAGUGAUAAUAUACCUGUGAUCACAUUAGGUGACGCCUCCUGAUCAAAGCAUAUAUACGGUUCGAGGGACCGCUAGAACUGGAAGCUCCACCACUUCCUCUACCACGGCCUGCUGGCGCCUGAAUACCCUGUCCCGUAGGGCACAUAGCCACAGAAGAAGAUGAACCAGCAACAGACCCAGUAGGCUGUGCCAUACCACCUACACUACCUCUAAGGUGACACUCCCUCAGAGUAUGGCCCUGACAGCCGCAAGAAAAACACGCACCUGUAGCCCAACGACAUUCCCCAAGAUGGGACUUACCACAAUGAGAACACCAAGGCAAAGGUGGCCUCGACUCGCUCAAACCCCUGCCCAUCUGUGACCCUGACGCCCUAGAGCUCUGACCAGCUUCCGAAUAUCCCAUACGAUCGAACCCCCUACCCAUGAAACGUGGGGGGUGCACUCUGUGCUGGCUGGGAAGAAAAUCUAACAUGCUGCUGAGACUGCCCGCUUUGAAACUCGUCAGGAUAACCUGCUGAUCUAGUCCUCUUAUGCUGACCUCUAUUAUAAUCUCUAUCUGGCUGACGUCCCCGGUGCCGAUCCUCUACCCCCUGUGCAUAUACCUGCACCCGAGCAAUGUCCAUACCUGGUUGAAGAGUCACUGCCAUACAACCGUCAAUCAGAUAACGAUCCAAUCCCAUCACAUAACGAUGUACCCUGUCUGCCAUAUCAGCCACAAUAGUAGGCGCAUGCCUAGCCAAUGAAUCGAACUCGAGGCUAUACUCUCGAACGCUCCUGCCAUUUUGCUUCAAACGCAAGAAUCUAUCGACUCUAGCUCGCUUCAUCUCUGGAGGCAGGAAGUGGCCCUGGAAAGCCUCCACAAAUUCAUCCCAUACCGCUGGAGGAGCACCUUCACCCCUAGAUAACUCCCAAGACUCAUACCAAUUAAUAGCUACAUCCCGCAAAUGAUACGUAGCCAACUAAACAGACUUGGUCUCCGAAGCCUUGAUUAUCCUCAAUGUACGCUGCAUCUGACGAAUAAACUCUUGCGGAUCAUCCUGUGGCCUUAACCCAAAGAACUCUGGAUGAUUACAACUUAAGAAGUCACGAGCCCUUAAGCUAUCAGAUCUGUCCGCAUGAUCAACUCCUAGUCCAUGCCUGCGAGCCUGAUCUUUCACUAAUCUAGUCAGCAAUUGAACCGCAUCUCUCAUGGCCCUAUCCUCCGCCCCUGACUGAGGAGCUGGAGGUUUAGGUGUUGGGGACUCGGGGGCUGAAGGUGUCCCCCGAACUGGAGCUGCUGCUGCUCUAAGCUCCUCUGGCGGUGGCGGUGUAGCAGAGCUCUCCGACUGGAGCAUAAUACCAGGCAUAGACUGGGCACGGGCCCUAGUAACUCUCCGGGUCUGACUAGUACCUUUUGCUACCGAUUUUCCCUUCUGUGCGGCUGUCGCUUUCUUUGGAGGCAUAGCCGAAAACACACGGAUUCGUUAGAGAGGGAUUAUCCUGUUAAUAUAGCUCUAUCGCAUGAUCUAGAAUAAGAAGAAAGAAUGACAUCCUAAAUGUCCUGUAGCUUCCUGUUUAUAGAUGUGGUGCACAACACACCGAUAAACAAGAGUCUCUACUAGACACGAUCUGUAGACACUUCCGAGGAAGAACCGCUCUGAUACCACUCUUUGUCACGACCCAACCCGAUGGGCCGUGACUAGUGCCCAUUUUGGACACCCACAUACAAACCUGCUAAGUAUAACCAUACCCAUAGACGAGCAAAAGACUACACAAAAAGUUAUGUACCAAAACGACAGGGCUACAGAACAGUGGAGCUCUCCCAAUCAGCAGAGUAGAUAUCCUAGGCGGGAGGAUCACCGAACUGUGCAUCUACACCUGCGGGCAUGAAACGAAGCCCCCCGAGGAAAAGGGGGUCAGUACAGACAAUGUACUGAGUAUGUAAAGCAUAAGGUAAAGAGGACAAGAUACCAGUAUGGCAAGUCGAAACAAAAUAUCGCUACACAUGUACCCUUUUAAGUGAAAAUCAUGCAUAUCUUUAACAUAUAAGGUGCCCAGCUUCCCUAGUAAGGGGCUCGACAAAAUAAUCAUCACGUCAUCUCCGUCAUCAUCAUCAUCAUAACCAUCCUCAUCACCAAUCAUAUAUAUAAUAUACAUACCGGCACGAACAUAACUCGGCUCGGGACUCGGUGAAAUGAUAAAUGACUCUAUGCACGAGCAGAAUAUUAUGAGCAACCAUAUGCAAUUAAAAUCAUUUCUUAUAACUCAAUAGAACAAUCAACGUGAACCAGCAAGGAGUAUUACCAAAGAUUAAUGUUUUAUCAAGAUUAUGAACCUUUAAUACGAUAUGGAAACGUAAAAUCUCAAUGACUCUAAGAAGCACUACCAUAGAUAUGAGAGAUCAUCAUAGCCUUAGACAUAGCCGAUAUAUAGAGGAAUAAUUGUGGGAGCAAGAACAUAUGUCACCUAGACGCUCUAGAGGUAAGUAUCAAAUCUGUCCGUUAUUCACUUAUUUUUAAAAGUCAUGCCAAACAAAGAAAGAAGGGACAGCGUUACAUACCGUAUAAUCGAGCCGCACGUCCAAUAUUUACUGCUCAAGCUAUUAAUCUAUAACAAGCAAUAAUUGUGCCGCAAUUAGAUAAACAUCGCGCUUUACUUUCUUGUAAGCUAGCUAAUAAUCUAACGAAAAUUCGGCAGCACUUCCCCUAUUUUCCUUACUUCAUCCCAAUCCGACAACAACCCAAAUUAUCCACAGCAAUACCAAUAACACAUAUAACCCAACGAAUCAUAUUAAACAGCCCCCUCCCCAAAACAGUUUCGUCUCGGCAACCAUAGCAGCGAAGCAACGACACACCGAGCGAUAACUCAUUUUAUAAUUCGCAACACAUCUACCUUAUCGUAUUCAUCCUUUGGAGUAUAUACUCAUAAUCACAUUCAACAUAUACAUAAUGCCAAAACAGAAUUUUCCUGCAGUUUGCUUUAAUCAAAACAGCCAAAGCACCAACACGACACCACUUAUAAUCCGAUUAUGGUUUCCGUUCAUACUUAGCACAUUCAAUAACUAAAACAAACUUCCUAAGCUAUUGGUCACGCCCCCUUCUUAAAAUUAAUGGAUAAUUAACAAAGGUAUUCUAAAGGAUUAACACACCAAACAGGAGAUUACUAACCAAAUUAUUUGCAGCUGCUGGCCAAGAGUUGCAGGGUUGGUUUCUCCAUUUCCAUGGCUGCCUAAGACAAGUGGUGAAGAAGAAGAUGAUACGCACCAAUGCAUUUCACCACUUUAUUUAGCAUGGAGUGGAUUUCUCCACCUCAUUUAAUAGUAUGAAGUGGAGGCAGCCCCCCCUACACCUGUCCACUAAGGCCAGCUCACAAUCUGAUCCCUUUUUAAAUUUUUUGCCUUGAGUGGUGGGGCCCACUGGAUUAAAUUAAUCCUAGUCAGCCACUAAUUAAUCCCUCACUUAAAGUUAAUUGCACUUACAUUAGCAAACUCAUACUUAAUAUCACAUUUGGAAAUAACAUGCUUGCCUAAUAUUUCGUUAAUCACUUGGAACUUAAAAUAAAAUCUCAUUCUCCGGACUUACGUCUACUAGAUCACGAUGCACACUACGUAUAAAAAAAUACGAGGCAUAACAUCAGUACAAUAUAUUCACAAUUCUAUAAACAUGAAAUCAAGGUCAGAAGACCCACAUUAUAAGCCAAUUUGAGAGAUUUUGAGGAUCAUGGGUUCUUCAUGAAAUUUGACAGAAAUUCCUCAUAAAAUUGGUAGGUAAACAUAUAUUCAUCAUUAAAAUGCCUUUGAAAUUACUUUAACAAUGAACCCAUGGCUGAUACGCUCAAACUUAAUUCUCAAAUAAGAAGUAAAGCGGUCAUAUCAAGUAAAGAACCCAACUAAUGAGGUUGGGGUCGUUCCCACGAGGAAAAUAGUUCAGACUUAACUUCAAUCUAUUGUUACUACUAUUUAGUCAAUUAUUUCAUUGGAAAAUAAAGACAAUAAAAGGGGGGGUUUUAUUUCUAAAGGAAUGAAAAUAAUUAGCUAAAUCAAAGUAGACAAACUAACAAAUUCAAAUGUUGGAGUUUAAUUAGUUAAUAAAAGUAACUAGGGUUUACGUGUUCCCCACAGGUUUCUAACUUGAUAAUUCUAACUAUGACAAUUCUUUCCUAGUAUCUUUCAUGCAAAGUGAUAAGUUAUGAAUUUCUAAAUCCUUGGUCCGGCAUCUAGAAAUUUCACAUCUCACCUUGGUCUGGCUACUUGUGUUGCUAUAAUAAUCCUUACCUUUACCUUAUAUUAAGUAUUGUAUUCGAUAUUUGACUAAGUUGUUACCUCAUACCAAUCAAUACUAGCCUAUUAGAUAGUAUACACUAAAUCUAUGUUGAUAAUUCUUUUCCUAUUAUCUACCUCCUUGGUCCGGCAAGUAGCAUUAAGGCGAGUUCUAACGUUGGCCAUCCGUUAAAAAGGCUUCUAAGCGAAAGAAUUAUCAAUUCAUGCAAGACACUAUUCUAGAAUUGUUAUUUUAGUUAGGUCUUACCUCAUUAUUCACCUAUGGUUCCCACAACCCUAGUUAUGGAGUUUAGUUACGCAUAGUCAUAAUCACAAUAUUCAAAUAUGUAAUAUAAGAAUUCAUGCACUUACUUCAAUGAGAAAGAAUAAAAUUCAGAAGUUCACUUGAAUAAUCAACAAAAUCACGAACAAUCAAUUACUGAAAUUAAUUGAAGACUAAAGAUUCUCCAAAAGUUUAAUAAUAAUCACGAAGUCUAAUCCACAAAAGAAGCUAAAAUAAUCAAGAGUCUAACUAUAAGAGAGUCUAAUCACUAAGAGUCUAACCCCAAAAAUGAGGUUUUUCAAACUAUUUAUAAAAAAACAAACAAAUAAUCAAAGAAGGACUCUAUUUGCUGAAAAUCUAUCAAAACGCGGCUAGGUCGAUGGACCUCAUGACGGGUCGUCGUGGUCAUGACGGGCCGUCAUGGACUCCAUCGUCCCAUACUUUGCAAAUUCUUCUGCUGCUCUCUUCAUUACCCUCGACGGUAGGUAUGACGGAUCGUCACAGGCAUAACAGUCAGUCGAGGGUCUCUGUUCCAUUACACUUGAAAUCUUGGAAUUUGGGUAUUGGGACUACUUCUCUAAUCUUCAUGAAGAACCAGCAGGACGGACCGUUAUGGCUACGACGGUCCGUCACGCACUUCGUAGCCCCACACUUGGUUAGACUUUCCCAUCUUCCUUCAGCAGCUUCACUACGAUGCCAUCUACAGAUCGUCACAUGCACGACGGACCGUCACAAGCUCCGUAGGUGGUACUUUUCUGCAUUUCUUGCUCAAAAACUUCCGCGUUCAUCUUUAGAUAGAUUUCCUGCAAAUAAAGAGAAACUUACAUAAAAAUUAAUUCAAAAAGGCUUUUGGAAACACACUAAACUUUAGGAAAAAGCAUUAAAAAUACUGUGAAACCACAGUAUAUCAACACCCUCAAGUUAAAUUCGUUGUUGGUCCUCAAGCGAUGCACUAUGACUCACUAAAAAAUCUUUGUACAAUAGUAUCCAUGUUUUAUCUUUCGCAAUCAUUUGGCUAUCAAUCCCGAUCAGUUUCAUCAUAUUUAUGCAUGCUAUCACUAUUAGGCUUGAAUUAUGUGGAAUCAGACCAUGACAUAGACUCACCAUGCACUAACACCUAUCCUCUUUAAUUUCUCACCGAGGUGCCAGUAUUUCCGGUAUUGCAACUAGUGUCCUUGCUUCAAAACGAUAUCCUCAUUUUUCACACAAUGAUUUUAGUUUGAGUAUGAGGAUUACUUUUCAACACUCACUCUCAGAACAGAUUCACAACUCAUUCAUACAUAUUGCCAUAAGCUUGCCCUUAUUUUCACCGUUUUAAGUUCGCUAUAAAACUUUUAAGAUCACGAUAUGACUUUCUUAGCUUGUAACAUAGGCUCAGGGUCAGGUAGGGUAUAUUUAGGUAUACUUUAGUGACUUUUUUCGCCCUUCUUGACUUAUCGGCUAAACAUACCACUUUUUAUCAUUUUAUUUUGCCCAGUUUCUCAUAUUCUUUCACCUUGCUAUUUUCCCUUCUUUCUUCAUUUGUGUAAGUGAAUCUCUUCUUUUGUUGCUUGUAUUUAUUGUAUUUUUUUAUUUCACUUUUCUUUCAACUGAUUCUUGAGUCACUUUACUUUUGUUCUUUCUCUCUCUUUGUUCUUUCAAUCCCACUUUCCAGAGCAUUCCUCAUAAUAUCCACCCUCAACUCAUGACUUUGCCAUGAGUCAAAGUACACAAUACCCAAAGUUGGGUCAGGGCCAUAAAAAGGUUGUUUACUGUAUUAGCCACCCUCAACUUAUGCUUUUCGCAUAAGCUGAGGUGCACAUGUCCAAGGAGAGACCAGGGCCAACACAUUAUUCCCAGAAAAGAUCAGUUGGGGUGAAAAAGAAAGGUCUAGUUUAAGCUCAAAUCAUUUGGAUCAAAGAAGGAUUAAUUUCAUUUGUUUUUAUAUUUAGGCUAAAAAUGGGCUAUAUUGAACAAGGGCCUAUGAUCCUUUCCUAAUUGUCUAUUACAACUUACUUUUAGCAGGACUAACCAGGCAAGUUCAAGCUCAAUACAAAUAGUUGACUAUUCAAAUCUUCCUCACACUCACUUGACAUCUCAUUACUCUACUAGAUUAUCAGAUACCUAGUUCAAAUUUUAGACUUAGGGUCAUGCAGUGGUGUAUCUCUAUGCCAUGCUUAGAGCCACACAUUUCAAUUACUAUGCCUAGUCAUGCAUCAUUUUCAUUUCAUCAGGAUAUCAUCUUAGCCAUCAUGCUUCAGAGUUAAACUAUGUACACAAGAUAUACACAUGCCGGUUCAACAGUAAAAAUUAUCAGUCUCUUGGGGAAAAAGAACACGAGCAAGAAAACCCCACCACCCAGGCAAGUGAAACUAUGUACUCAGACUUCACCCUAGCACUCACUUUCCAUUUACACCACCCCUAACAAAAAGACAUGCAAUUGUCCCCAAUGCAUAAUAAAUUUAAAUACGAGAGUGGUAGGUGAAGCAAACCUGGGGCGCAAAGUGCCGACGAUCAGCAAGCUAGUGGGUCCAGUUCCCCGGAAGCCACUACCUCUGUAAUCUGGAUUCAUCAGCAACAACACUAUCAGGAGUGCCUCCCGCUAUCUCCACAUUUCUUGAGCUAGAUUCCCCAGCAGCUAAGUCUACUGCCCUCAUCCGACGCGCCUCCUUAUCAGCAAGCGAGGCUCUCCUCGCAGCCUCCAUAUCAUGUCUGCACGAGGACUCUAGACCGUAGCCUAAAGGGUCAACACAUCCACUUGAGAGGUUGAUAGGGCUAGCACCCGCAACUCAAAAGCGUCCAAGCACUAAUGAACCUCAGCGAUCUUCCGCUCUGUGUGCUGGACCAUUCUCCGCUUCAAGCGCUCUUUUACCUCAGCAAUAGACCUCUGCAUCCAAGGAUGGAUGUGAUGUAGAAGUGUAGCCAUCUGUACCUCUAGUUUUUGGACCCUAGCAAGCGAGACCAAAGCGGGGAAAGGGGCUGAGCGAGAGGAGCUCGGGGCAGUGCUACUACACGGGAUAGAUUCGACCGGGGUAGUGUGAGUAGAGCAUCCUGUGUAGCCGUGCGAGCGUAUGCUAUUGUAUCAGCCAGAUUGUCACCAAGUGGACGCAACUCUGGAUGGGGCCCUCUGCGUGGAGCCAACUAAUAGCCUCAUCCUAGAUGAGGACGAUAUCAACAGUGCCCAGCGGGGUCUUGAGCUGAUCAAUGUGCCAGAUAGGCACACCUAUGGACCAGCAUAAAGAACAUAUCAUGCACGGGAAAGGGUAAGUAGUUGUGACCUUAAAAGCCCUCUCGUGCAUGACCGCCUGUAGAAGCCAAGCAAAGUCCACCUCAAAACCGGCUUUCAUCGCCGCCAUCAGUACUGCACGAUCCCUUGUGACUCAGUGGCUAUGGGGGGAAGGCAGUGGCGGACAAUUAACCAUAAGAACUUCACCGUGAAGGUCAGGUUAGCCUUCUUGAUGGCUCCUUUCGGCACAAUUACCCAGUUAGCACCCUCUCCAUGAACAGACAAGUGCAGCGCCAUCCACCUCUUGGUGGUCUCUCUCAGCGAUGGAUCACGCAAGAAUUGGCCAUCUUUGACAAUUUGCCACUAGUAGUCAAACUCGACGGUGAAAGGGGUCCGGUUGGCAUUAACGUCCUCACAAUAUAGAUAUCGGUGGAUGGCAGGCAGGGAGAUAUCAACCUGAAAGCCACGUACUCGGACAUGCUACAGUGGGGCCUGUUUGGCUGGGGCAGCCCGCCUAUCAAUCUAUGAUCUGAGAGUAGCCACGUAGGAGGCGUAGAACUCUUGGACCAACUCUUCACUAUAACGGCCUAACAAACGCGCUGUCCACUCCAUUUGGUGUCUGGUGAAGAGAUUGUGGAUCUAUGGCAUAGUCGGGAGACUUCCCGUAAGGACUCGCCUCUCCGAUGUAAGGGUCCAUGUCAUAACUCCUUUAUCAUUCAGAAACUUUGCAUCUGAAUAAAAUUGAUACUGUCCGUCGACACCCCACCGGUUGGGCUGGUCAGCAACCGGGUGAGAGCACGAGUCGGUGAGUCGGGUGUGGAUUCUGAACUGUCAUCCUCAUCAGACGAGGAAGACUGUGCAACUGUGGCGGGUGCGGGACCUCAGCAUAUAUAGAGGCUUCUUCCGACCACAAAACUCCUAAGGAGCCAGACGCUCCUUCUUUAUGAGUAGCUUAACAGAAGGUGUGCCGGUCAGUGUGCGUUUUUCAUCACAUUGGGAGGCAGUGACUACGUUGGACGCCACCUUUUUAGGUGUGGCUCUGGUAGCACGUGCAGCUCGGGAUUGGGUGGAAGUGCCUGGGGGCACGUACUCGGGGUCACGCUCAUCAUCAGAUCCAAUGACCAGGUGGGUAGACGGGACGACAGACUUUGAUCGCCCACGUGCGUAGACUCGAUCUUAUUUUUGUGCCAUUAGAGAUAGUACCUGUAAGGAAUCAAUAUUAUCACCAUUCAGCCUCCCCUUUUUGGAUUUAAUCUACAAUUUAAGUCAUGGCAAACUAAAAUUAGCAGCUAUCACACCGUGAGCCUCGUAAAACAGUGCUAACUUUUACAGAUAAUGAGCCCAUAGAACCCUAAACAUAAUGUGUAUCACCACACCCACAUUCUCUGUACAUCACAUACAUUUUACAUCCUUUCCCCAAGAUCAACCAAGCUGCACCAACAGUAAUACACAUAGAACAACCCCAAAUAUUCUUUAUCAUACAACCAAGUAUUGAACUCACCACCCCCUUGAGUCCAUUAUGACAACACACCACUAAUUCCUUACUCAAACUCAUAUAUAAGGAAGACAAAAAUGGAACAGUAACCUUACCACAAUUUCUGCAACUUCUCGUGAUAACUUGAAUUCUUUUAGAACUUCCACUUUCCUUUACACCUAAACCAAAGAAGAAAGAAAGGUAUUUUAAUAUCUAAGGAAGUGAGCAGUAGUUGCUGCAAAUAUUUUGCCUUUGUAGUUAUAUUAGACCAUGAAUAAGAUGUUUUCCUAAUCAUCCCUGGGAGAAUUAAGCUAAAUCCAUGAGUCUUUACUUACCUUGGUUCGCACAUAUAUGAGGGUUUCUUCAAGAACUCAAUAAAACUUAAAGGCUGCUGGUUUAAUCUUUAAGAGAAAAGAGAGAGAUAGAGAGCUGGAGUUAAUUCUUAGUUUUAUGUGUUAAAAUGGUGAAGGAUAUAUGCUCAUAUUUGAUAUAUAUGGAGCUUUAUUAACCACAAAAAUAUCCUCUAGAACAUCCUCUUUUGGGUUCCAUUUUCAGACACUAAUUGGUCAAGUAGGUGAUGCACCUGCUUAUGCACAUCAAGCAGUUCAAAAGGUCAAACUAGGUGAUGCACGUAGUUGCUUUCACUUGGGCCUUAUCUAUAUUGGGCCUUGGCAGAUUUGGCUGCAGGACUUUCUUUAAUAUUAUUUUCUUUCAAUAGGUUUGGGCUUUAAGUGAGCCCAUUACUAUAAUUCUAAAUAUGGUCUAUCAAGCUUGUGACUUUAACAAUAUCCAUAUAGCUCAAGUAGGUGAUGCAGCUGCUAGCUUAUUAAAGACAAGUAAGCGGCUCAAUUAUUUCAUUCCAUUUUAUGAAUAUUACAUCCAUUUUAGAACUUAACUUUCACAUUUAAGCUCAAUUACCACCUUACUAUCUCUAGUUUAAAUAUAUCAGCCAGAGUCAACUUACAGUAAACACUCUAAAACGUGAAUGACAUGAUAUAUCACUUUCUGGACAAUUUAAACCAACACUAAUCAUAUAAGGAACAUGGUCCCUCAUCUAUACUAUAAGGCCAGCAGUAUCACAAGAAUAGAACAAGCAUAUACGUAAGACGGGAUGUAUCAUCCUCCCCCUCCCCUUAAAACAUUCGUCCUUGAAUAUUACCAUUACUUAUCCAACCCAAACAGAUUUUAGCCUCAGUUAGUACUACUAUUAAUCACAUAAUACAUAUAGACGUAUACUUACAUGUCGGCAGAUAAAUUAAGCAUUUUUAUCUUUCUCUUGGAUCUGAAAGAGAUGAGGAUACUUCAAUUACAUUUCUUUUUCCGCUUCCUAUGUAACUUCUUCUACUUGUUGGUUCCUCCAUAACACUUUUACAGAAGCUACCUCUUUAUUUCUUAACUUCCUAACUUGUCGAGCUAGAAUAGCAAUGGGUACUUUUUCAUAAAUAAUUCUCGCAUAACCUGUAAAUAUUCAGUAGGAGUAAUACGAGAUGGGUCACGUACGCAUUGAGACCUAAAACACCGGAUGAACAGAGGAAAGCUCUUCUUGUAGCUCUAACUCAUAGGCUACUUGGCCGAAUUUACAAAUAAUAUUAUAUGGCCCUACAUAGAGCUGACUCAACUUCCCCUUUUUACCAAACCUCAUUACCCCUUUCAUUGGAGACACCUUCAAGAACACCCAAUCCCCUAUAGAAAAUUCUAGUCCUUUCCUUCUAAUAUCUGCAUAUGAUUUAUGUCGACUUUGAGCUGUUUCCAGCCGCUGAUGUAUCACUUUGACUUUUUCCAUAGCUUGAUGAACAAGAUCUUGCCAAAAUAAGUCAGUUUCAACUGUUUCGAACCAGCCAAUUGGUGAUCUACACUUUUGACCAUAUAAGGCUUCAUAAGGUGCCAUUUUAAUGCUCGAAUGGUAGCUAUUGUUAUAAGAAAAUUCAAUAAGUGGUAGGUGAUCAUCCCAGCUACCCUUAAAAUAUAAUAUACAAGCUCGCAAGAUAUCCUCAAGUGUCUGAAUUGUACGUUAUGCCGUGCCAUCCAUUUGAGGAUGAAGGUCGUACUUAAAUUCACCUAUGUUUCCAAAUUCUUCUAAAAUGACUUCAAAUAAUUUGCAGUGAAUUGAGCUCCUCUAUCAGAUAUUAUAGAGAUUGUCACUCCAUGUAGUUGAAUUAUCUCUUUAUGUACAACCUCACAUACUCUUAAGCUGUAUAAGUCGUCCUCACCGGCAAGAAGUGCGCUGCUUUGGUGAGUUUGUAAAUGAGUGAGGGAAACCAGUGACAAAUUCCAUGUUGAUCAUGUCCCAUUUCCAAAUUGAAUGUUCUAUACGUUGCAUAUAACUUACAGGUCUCUGGUGUUCUACUUUUACCUAAUGACAAUUUGGACAUUGAGCCACAAAUUUUGCAAUGCUCCUUCAUGCCCCCACACUAAUACGUUUCUUUCAAGUCAUGAUACAUUUUAGUUGACCCCGGGUGAACAGAGUAUCAUGAAUGAUGUUCUUCUAUCAUGAUCUUCUUUCUUAGUUCAUCUACAUAAGGUACACACAAUCUGUUUUUGACAUCGAAGUACUACCUCUAGCGAAAGGUCAAAUUCCUUCGUCAUACCAUGUUUUACAUUCACCUUAAGCUGUAAAAGAAUAGGAUCAGUGUACUGCUUCUCUUUCACUUCCACUACUAAUGAUGAUUCUGCCGCAUUUUGCACAAUAACCCCUUCAAUCUUGAGAUUCAAGAAGGAGAACCCCCAACUAGAUAGUUGGCAUGGAUCCUUAGUUAUCCCUUGUCGUUCCACAGACUGCCCAUAAGUAUUUCUAGUAUUUUACGGCUUAAAGCAUCAACUACAACAUUUGCUUUACCGGGAUAAUACAAGAUAUCAAUGUCAUAAUUUUUGUAAUAGCUCCAGCCACCUUCGCUGCCUCAGAUUUAAGUCCUUUUGCUUAAAGAUAUAUUGCAAACUCUUGUGAUUAAUGUAUAUGUCAGCAUGAACUUCAUACAAGUAGUGGCUCCAUAUCUUCAAAGCAAACACAAUUGCUGCUAGAUCUAGAUCAUGGGUUAGAUAAUAUUUCUCAUGUGGCCGCAGCUGGCUUGAGCCAUAAGAUAUAACUUUACCAUGCUGCAGCAAUACAAAACCUAAGCCCACUCCCAGAGCAUCAUAAAACACUGCAUAGCCUUGUGUGUCUUCUGGAAGUACCAACGCAGGUGUAGAAGUUAAUUUACUCUUCCUCUCUUGGAAGCUUCUUUCAUACUCAUCACUCCACUGAAACUUGGUUUCUUUGUGUGUUAGUUUUGUUAAGGGUGCAGCAAUGGAAGAGAAUCCUUCAACGAACCUUCUGUAAUAACCUACAAAUCCAAGAAAACUACGAAUCUCCGUAGGCGUUGUAGAUCUUGGACAGUCUUUCACGGCUUCUAUUUUCUAGUAAUCAACCCUUAUUCCUUUCUCAGAUACAAUAUGUACCUAGGAAUGCCACAAAUUUCAACCAGAACUCACAUUUAACAAACUUUGCAUAUAGUUUACGAUCACGGAGAAUUUUUAAAACCUGUCGCAAGUGAUUAGCAUGAUCCUCUUCCGAUCAUGAAUACAAUAAAAUGUCAUUUAUGAACACUACCAUGAACACAUCUAAAAAUGCCUUGAACACCCUAUUCAUUAAAUCCAUAAAAGCCACUGGUAUUUGUUAGCCCAAUGACAUGAGUAAGAACUCAAAAUUACCAUACCGUGUUCAAAAAUCUGUCUUGGUAUAUUUUUGUCCUUGACCCUCACUUGGUGAUACCCUGACCUCAGGUCGAUCUUUGAAAAACACCUAGCACCUUCUAAUUGAUCAAACAAAUCAUCAAUUCUAGGGAGGGGAUAUUUGUUCUUAAUCAUUAUCUUAUUCAACUGGCGGUAGUCGAUGCACAUUCUUAAUGAGCCAUCUUUUUUCGUACAAAUAAAAUUGGUGCUCCCCAUGGGGACAUACUAGGCCUUAUGAAUCCUUUUUCUAAUAAGUCUUUUAAUUGCUCCUUCAACUUACGUAAUCUAUCGGAGCCAUUCUAUAUGGAAGAAUUGAGAUAGGUUGAGUAUCUAGAAGCACAUCAAUACCAAACUCACUUCUCGUUCUGGAGGAAAGCCUGGAAGAUAUUCAAGAAACACAUCUGGAAAUUUAUUUACCCCCGGAAUUGAUUGAAGGGUUGGUGGCUCCACAUCUACAUUUUUCACUAACCAGAUGGAAUAUGUAUCCUUUGGAAAUCAUCUUCUUUGCCUUAAGAUAAGAAAUAAAUUUACCUCUUGGCACCCCAAUAUUACUUUUCCAUUGAGUACCUCUUUUGCGACUCCGACCUCCACUAUAAAUAGCUUCUCCCCUGGAUCCUCUACCACGACCUGUAGGCAUCUGUAGCCCCCUACCCAAAGAAGGUGUUGAUGAUUUUGAUGAAAUAACUGACGUAGUUGGCUGUGCAAUGCCACCCACGCCCCUAUGAGGGCAGUUUCUCAUCAUAUGCCCUGGUGUGCCACACUAAAAACAAACAUCUGUCCCAAACCUGCAUGCACCUGGAUGAUUCCUCUGACACUGUUUACAAGGCUGUCGAGGAUGCCUUGAUUGGCUCGUACUUUCUUUCUCUUGAUGACCUACUAUUUUGUGACCCUUGUCUUUCGCUUCUUUGCCAAAACUGAUUACCCCUAAACCCUUGAAACUGUUCUGGAGCACUAGCUGUAGAGUAGAAAGAUGAUGUCCUAGGUGGUUUAUUAGAGAACCAAGGCUUAAACUCACCUUGGGAUGGUGUAAAAUGCCCCGUGGAUCUAGCCUUCUUAGAAUGCCCUAUUUCCGACUCUUGUGUCCUUCUUCUUUGCCUUUGAUCAUCCAACUUUUGCACAAAGUCCUGCAUCCUUGCUAUAUCCGUAUCUUUAUUCAAUGAAGAAAAGGUACAUUAUUUAACUAAAUAUGGGUCUAAUCUAUCUACAUAUCGAUGAUCUCUAUCCUCCAUGGUAGCUACUACAUUAGGUGCAUAUCUGGCCAAGGAAUUGAAUUUGAGACUGUACUCUCUCAUGCUCAUACCUCCUUGGUGGAGAUUUAAGAGCUGAUCCACAUGGGCCUCUUGGAUCUCCGUUGGAAGAUAAUGGUCAAGGAAUGCCUUUUUGAACUCUUUCCACGUAGCUGAAGGUUCAUCCGUUCCCCUAGAUUGCUUCCAAGCUUCAUACCACAAUAUAGCCACACCCUUUAAUCUAUAUGUUGCUAGCUCAAGUGAUUCUUUACAACUUACAUGCAUAAUAUCCAAAGUGCAUUUGAUCUGAUCUAUAAAGUCUUGCUGAUCUUCAUUAGGAUCUAACCCGGUGAAUGAUGGAGGGUCCAAGUUAAGAAAAUCAUGUAUCCGUGUUCCAGCUGCUCUAUCUACACCACUAGUACCUACAACUGGACCUUCUUGCAUUCCUCAAAUCUUGCUCGGUAGCAUUAAUAGGGGGUUCCUGAGGUUCAUCUUCCCUCCUUAUAUCUUCAGGAGAUAGAGGCGUCAGGGAAGUCUGUGAUUAAAUUUCAUCUUGAGCCCCACUUUGAACAACUUGACUUGGUGGUGGUUGGUUGGUCCCUUCUUGGGCAGCCACAUCUACUCAAUUACCAGUACUUCCACUCCUUCUCAUAACCAGCAUCUUUGCUAUGGUAAAACAAUUUUAAAAUUAGGUAUGAUUUACCUACAACAUUGGUUCUAUCGCACGAUCUAAGAAAUGAAAUAAAUGAGACAACUCCUACAUGUCCCGUAGCCUCCUACUUAUACAUGUGGUGCACGACACAUCCAUAAGAAAGACUCUACACAGACACGACUUUGUAGACUCCCUAGGACGACCUUCUCUGAUACCACUUUUUUUCCCUAAAAACCCAUUAAGACGUACAGGUACCCGAUGCCCUAAAAGCCAAAGAGAAAACAAGUUGUAACCUUUUCUUACUAUGCAAAUAACUAUAACAAUUGUGACGAGUUCACCUAGAACGCAGUGAUACAAACCAACAUAAGUAGAUCCAAAAGUUAUAUAAAGGACUUGGUCGUUGAGGCCACAACUCUGUAAGACACAACUGAACCAUGUACAUACGUCUACAAAGCCUCUAAAAUAUAAGACUAGAGUAGGUAGGGACAAACCUCACCUUACCCUUAACUACGAUACAAUACAAAAAUGAAUUUACUAAGGACGCUGUAAAGCUCCGAAGCAACCUGGAGCUUACCAAAAGUAUCUGAGUGUCAUAUAUGUCACGACCCAACCCGAUGGGCCGUGACUAGUGCCCGUUUUGGACAACCACAUACAAACCUGCUAAGUAUAACCAACUGAAACUAAGACAAUAUGGAAUUUAAUCAAAUCAAGCCAACCCCAACGUCAUACAUAUAUAAGAGGACCUGUCUCAUAAGGAGUCAUAACAAUUCAACAAUAACAACAUAUGCGAACCGACAAGGCCGCCACUAUUCAAAGCAUAAUAACAUACGUAUGCCGACAAGGCUGCCACUACACAAUACACAAUGAUGUACGCAGAAGACAAGGUUGCCCCUGUACAAGCGAACAUCCCAAACAAACCAUGUCCAGACUAUCAUCCAAAACAUAUAUAUACAACCCACAUAAUGUUCACAGACCUCUAAGAGUACAUUAGUGAAACUCGACGGGACAGGGCCCCGCCAUACCUAUAGACGAGCAAAAGACUACACAAAAGUUAUGUACCAAAACGACUGGGCUCCGGAACAGUGGAGCUCUCCCAAUCAGCAGAGUAGAUAUCCUAGGCGGGAGGAUCACCGAACUGUGCGUCUACACCUGCGGGCAUGAAACGCAGCCCCCCCCCCCGAGGAAAGGGGGGGUCAGUACGGACAAUGUACUGAGUAUGUAAAGCAUAAGGUAAAGAUGACAAGAUACCAAUAUGACAAGUCGAAACAAAAUAUCGCUACACAUAUACCCUUUUAAGUGAAAAUCAUGCAUAUAUUUAACAUUUAAGGUGCCCAGCUUCCCUAGUAAGGGGCUCGACAAAAUAAUCAUCACGUCAUCUCCGUCAUCAUCAUUAUCAUAACCAUCCUCAUCACCAAUCAUAUAUAUAAUAUACAUACCCGGCCCUCUAGUGAGGAACUCGGUGACAUAUGCAAGAAACUCCGCACGAACAUUACCCGGCCCCGGACUCGGUGAAAUGAUAAAUGACUCUAUGCACGAGCAGAAUAUUAUGAGCAACCAUAUGCAAUUAAAAUCAUUUCUUAUAACUCAAUAGAACAAUCAACGUGAACCAGCAAGGAGUAUAACCAAAGAUUAAUGUUUUAUCAAGAUUAUGAACCUUUAAUACUAUAUGGAAACGUAAAAUCUCAAUGACUCUAAGAAGCAUUACCAUAGAUAUUAGAAAUCAUCAUAGCCUUAGACAUAGCCGAUAUAUAGAGGAAUAAUUGUGGAAGCAAGAAUAUACGUCACCUAGACGCUCUAGAGGUAAGUAUCAAAUCUGUCCAUUAUUCGCUUAUUUUUAAAAGUCAUGACAAGCAAAGAAAGAAGGGACAGCGCUACAUACCGUAUAAUCGAGCCGCACGUCCAAUAUUUACUGCUCAAGAUAUUAAUCUAUAACAAGCAACAAUCGUGCCGCAAUUAGAUAAACAUCGUGCUUUACUUUCUUGUAAGCUAGCUAAUAAUCUAACGAAAAUUCGGCAGCACCUCCCCUAUUUUCCUUACUUCGUCCCAAUCCGACAACAAUCCAAAUUAUCCACAGCAAUACCAAUAACACAUAUAACCCAAAGAAUCAUAUUAAACAGCCCCCUCCCCAAAACAGUUCCGUCUCGGCAACCGUAGCAGCGAAGCAACGACACACCGAGCGAUAACUCGUUUUAUAAUUCGCAACACAUCUACCAUAUCGUAUUCAUCCAUUGGAGUAUAUACUCAUAAUCACAUUCAACAUAUACAUAAUGCCAAAAUAGAAUUUUCCUGCAGUUUGCUUUAAUCAAAACAGCCCAAGCACCAACACGACACCACUAAUAAUCCGAUUAUGGUUUCCAUUCAUACUUAGCACAUUCAAUAACUAAAACAAACUUCAUAAGCUACUGGUCACGCCCCCUUCUUAAAAUUAAUGGAUAAUUAACAAGGGUAUUCUAAAGAAUUAACACACCAAACAAGGAGAUUACUAACCAAAUUAUUUGCAGCUGCUGGCCAAGAGUUGAAGGGUUGGUUUCUCCAUUUCCAUGGCUGCCUAAGACAAGUGGUGAAGAAGAAGAUGAUAUGCAGCAAUGCAUUUCACCACUUUAUUUAGCAUGGAGUGGAUUUCUCCACCUCAUUUAAUAGUAUGAAGUGGAGGCAGCCCCCCUCUACACCUGUCCACUUAGGCCAGCCCACAAUCUGAUCCCUUUUUAAUUUUUGACUUGAGUGGUGGGGCCCAUUGGAUUAAAUUAAUCCUAAUCAGCCACCAAUAAUGAGUGGUGGGGCCCAUUGGAUUAAAUCAAUCCAAAUUAGCCACUAAUUAAUCCCUCACUUAAAGUUAAUGGCACUUACAUUAGCAACCUCAUACUUAAUAUCACAUUUGGAAAUAACAUCCUUGCCUAAUAUUUCUUUACGUCUUCCAGAUCGCGAUGCGCACUACGUAUAAAAAAAAUACGAGGCAUAACAUCCUUCCCUCCUUAGGAACAUUCGUCCUCGAAUGUUAAGUUAGCGUCUUGCAAAAACAAAUUCCAGCGAGGUCUCUCUAAAAGUUAUACCUAUCAACCUGCAUUCCGUAACUUACAGAUGCCUCACAGCUACAUAAUCUCAUUAUCUAUCAAUAUAGUCAAGCUAGGAACUGAAUUACCUGCAGGUACGAGGAACAAGUACGGAUACUUAUUCUUUAUUUCGUCUUCCGCUUCCCAAGUCAUCUCCUCCCUAUUGUUAUUUUGCCACAACACUUUGACGAAAGCCACAUCCUUAGUACGUAACUUUCUAACCUGACGAUCAAGUAUAGCCACGGGUUUCUCCUCAUAUGACAACUCCUCUGUUACCUGAAUAUCAUCUAUAGGGAAUACUCUAGAAGGAUCACCAAUACAUUUACGUAGCAUCGAUACAUGGAAGACUGGAUGUACCGCCUCCAAACCAGAUGGUAGAUCCAACUCAUAGGCAACCUUGCCUAUCCUACGAAUAAACUGAUAAGGCCGAAUGUAUCUCGGACUGAGCUUCCCCUUCAUGCCGAAUCUCAUCACACCCCUCAUGGGUGAUACCUUCAGGAAUACACCAAUUUGAAACUCCAAAUCUCGAUGCCGAUUAUCUGCAUAUGACUUCUGUCGACUCUGGGCUGCUAAUAAUCUUUCUUGAAUAAGCUUCACCUUGUCAACAGCUUGCUGAAUCACAUCCAGGCCUAUUAACUUAGUCUCACCAACAUCAAACCAACCAAUAGGUGAUCUGCACUUCCUCCCAUAUAAGGCCUCGUACGGUGCCAUAUGGAUACUAGAAUGGUAGCUAUUAUUAUAGGCAAACUCAAUGAGCGGCAAGUGGUCAUCCCAGCUGCCUUUGAAGUCAAUAAUACAAGCCCGCAACAUAUCUUCUAGUGUCUGAAUAGUACGCUCAGCCUGCCCAUCAGUUUGAGGGUGAAAUGUUGUGCUAAGGUUCACCUGUGUCCUCAAUCCCUUCUGAAACGAUCUCCAAAAGUUGGUUGUAAAUUGAGCUCCUCUGUCUGAUAUAAUGGACGUGGGAACCCCAUGAAGUCUCACUAUCUCCCUGACAUAUAACCUCGCAUAAUCUUCAGCCGAAUAAGUAGUCCUGACUGGAAGAAAAUGGGCCGAUUUCGUCAGCCUAUCUACAAUAACCCAUAUAGAGUCAUACUUCCGUUGAGUACAAGGUAAGCCUGUAAUGAAGUCCAUAUUAAUCAUCUCCCAUUUCCAAGUCGGGAUCUCUAUCUCCUGUAAUAAUCCUCCAGGCUUUUGAUGUUCGAUCUUGACUUGUUGACAAUUUGGGCACUGAGCAACAAACUCCGCUAUGUCCUUUUUCAUGCCAUCCCACCAAUAUAAGCAUCUGAGGUCAUCAUACAUUUUUGUUGACCCAGGGUGAAUAGAAUAACGGGGCAGAGUGUGCCUCUCCCAUAACCUGCCGUCGUAGCCCCGCAGUAUCGGGUACACACAAUCUGCCUUCAUAUCAUAACACUCCGUCAGGUGUAACCUUAAAUGGGGUCUUUUCCUUUUGAAGAGCUGCAUCUCUAUACUGUGCCAGAAUAGGGUCCUUGUAUUGGUGUCUCUUUACCUCAUCUAUGAUUGAGGACUCAGCAACCUCUCGAAUAGAAACUCCACUAUCUUCCGAAUUAGCUAGACGGACUCCAAGGCUGGAUAGCCACUGAAUCUCCCGAACCAUAUCCCUCCCUUCUGGUUGUACAUCUGUCAAGCUACCCAUGGACUUACGGCUAAGAGCAUCUGCUACAACAUUCGCUUUCCCUGGAUGAUAUAAAAUAUCAACAUCAUAAUCCUUUAGCAACUCUAACCACCGCCUCUGUUGUAAGUUCAGCUCCUUCUAUUUAAAGAUAUAUUGGAGACUCUUAUGAUCUGUAUAUAUGUCCACAUGGACACCAUAUAAAUAAUGUCUCCAUAUCUUCAAGGCAUGAACCACGACCGCUAACUCCAAAUCGUGAGUAGGAUAGUUCUUUUCAUGCUUUCUAAGUUGUUGGGAGGCAUAGGCUAUAACUUUGCCAUGCUGCAUCAAUACACAUCCUAGCCCAACACCCGAAGCAUCACAAUAAAUAACAUAGCCGUCUGGUCCCUCCGGAAGAGUUAGGACUGGAGCUGUAGUCAAUUUGUCUUUCAGUAGCUGGAAGCUUCGCUCACAAGCAUCUGUCCACUGGAACUUGGCUGCCUUUUGAGUUAGCCUUGUCAAAGGCGCUGAAAUUGAGGCAAACUUUUCUACGAAUCUCCUGUAAUAUCCUGCUAACCCCAAAAAGCUGCGUACCUCAGUAGGUAUCGUAGGUCUGGUCCAAGUCUUUACUGCCUCAAUCUUCUGCGUGUCUACCCGAAUACCAUCAGCUCCAAUAAUAUGCCCCAAGAAUGCCACUGAAGUCAACCAGAACUCGCACUUAAAAAAUUUAGCAUACAACUUCUGGUGCUGAAGCACCCUAAGUACCGUCCUUAAAUGAUCUGCAUGCUCCUCUUCUGAACGUGAAUAGACCAGAAUAUUGUCUAUAAAUACAAUAACAAACAUAUCAAGGAAUGGUUUAAAUACUCGAUUCAUUAAAUCCAUGAACACCGCUGGAGCAUUAGUCAGCCCAAAAGACAGCACUCUAAACUCAUAAUGCCCAUAUCGGGUCCGAAAUGCCAUCUUUGGAAUAUCUGCCUCCCUUACCCGCACCUUAUGAUAACCUGACCGCAAGUCUAUCUUUGAAAAACACUUUGCACCCUUCAACUGGUCAAAUAGAUCGUCAAUCCUUGGGAGGGGAUACCUGUUCGUUAUUGUUACUUUGUUCAACUACCUAUAAUCAAUGCACAUCUGCAGCAACCCAUCCUUCUUCCUCACAAAUAGUACCGGUGCUCCCCAAGGUGACGUACUAGGCCUGAUGAAGCCCUUUUCUAGCAAAUCCCUCAAUUUCUCUUUCAAUUCUUUCAACUCAGCAGGUGCCAUUCUAUAAGGAGGUAUAGAUAUAGGCUGGGUAUUUGGAAGUACAUUUAUAGUAAACUCUAUCUCCCGUUCUGGAGGAAGGCCUGGAAGUUCCUCGGGGAAUACAUCGGGAAAUUCAUUAACUACCGGGACUGAUUGAAGAGUCGGUGCCUCUACCUUUAUGUCAUGCACCCGAAUCAGAUGGUAUUGAGGUAUGAAAUGAACUUACCUUUUGGCGAUACUGCACUUCCCUUCCACUCUAUAAUCGGUUCCCCUGGAAAUUGAAAUCGAACUAUCUUUCCUCUGCAAUCAACAUUAGCAUAACAAGCAACCAACCAAUCCAUGCCCAUGAUAAUAUCAAACUCAAUCAUAUUUAACUCUAUUAGAUCUGCUACGGUACGAUGACUAUAUAUAACUACUGAACAAUUCCUAUAUACUCGCGUAGCUAUGACAAAAUAUCCUACAGGUGUAGCUACCUCAAAUGGUUCUAUCAACUCAGACUCUAUUCCGAUCCUACUAGCAACAAAGGGAGAUAUAUAUGAUAAGGUGGAAACCUGGGUCUAUCAAUGCAUACACACUUCGGGAGAAUAGUGAUAAUAUACCUGUGAUCACAUUAGGUGACGCCUCCUGAUCUUGCCUAUUAGUCAAAGCAUAUAUACGGUUUGAGGGACCGCUAGAACUGGAAGCUCCACCACGUCCUCUACCACGGCCUGCUGGCGCCUGAAUACCCUGCCCCAUAGGGCGCAUAGCCACAAAAGAAGAUGAACCAGCAACGGACCCUAUAGGCUGUGCCAUACCACCUGCACUACCUCUAAGGUGACACUCCCUCAUAGUAUGGCCCUGACGGCCGCAAGAAAAACACGCACCUGUAGCCCAACGACAUUCCUCAGGAUGGGACUUACCACAACGAGAACACCGAGGCAAAGGUGGCCUCGACUGGCUCAAACCCCUGCCCAUCUGUGACCUUGACGCCCUAGAGCUCUGACCAGCUUCCGAAUAUCCCAUACGAUCGAACCCCCUACCCAUGAAACGUGGGGGUGCACUCUGUGCUGGCUGGGAAGAAAAUCUAACAUGCUGUUGAGACUGCCCACUUUAAAACUCGUCAGGAUAACCUGCUGAUGUAGUCCUCUUAUGCUGGCCUCUAUUAUAAUCUCUAUCUGGCUGACGUCCCCGGUGCCGAUCCUCUACCCCCUCUGCAUAUGCCUGCACCCGAGCAAUGUCCAUACCUGGCUGAAGAGUCACUGCCAUACAACCGUCAAUCAAAUAACGAUCCAAUCCCAUCACAUAACGAUGUACCCUGUCUGCCAUAUCAGCCACAAUAGUAGGUGCAAGCCUAGCCAAUGAAUCAAACUCAAGGCUAUACUCUCGAACGCUCCUGCCAUUUUGCUUCAAACGCAAGAAUCUAUCGACUCUAGCUCGCUUCAUCUUUGGAGGCAGGAAGUGGCCCUGGAAAGCCUCCACAAAUUCAUCCCAUACUGCUGGAGGAGCACCCUCACCCCUAGAUAACUCCCAAGACUCAUACCAAUUAAUAGCUACAUCCCGCAAACGAUACGUAGCCAACUCAACAGACUCGGUCUCCGAAGCCUUGAUUAUCCUCAAUGUAUGCUGCAUCUGACGAAUAAACUCUUGCGGAUCAUCCUAGGGCCUUGACCCAAAGAACUCUGGAGGAUUACAACUUAAGAAGUCACGAGCACUUAAGCUAUCAGAUCUGUCCGCAUGAUCAACUCCUAGUCCAUGCCUGCGAGCCUAAUCUGCCACUAAUCUAGUCAGCAAUUGAACAACAUCUCUCAUGGCCCUAUCCUCCGCCCCUGACUGAGGAGCUGGAGGUUCAGAUGUUGGGGCCUCGGGGGCUAGUGGUGUCCCCCGAACUGGAGCUGCUGCUGCUCUAAGCUCUUCUGGCGGUGGGGGUGUAGCAGAGCUCUCCGACUGGAGCAUAAUACCAGGCAUAGACUGGGCACGGGCCCUAGUAACUCUCCGGGUCUGACUAGUACCUUCUGCUACCGAUUUUCCCUUCUGGGCGACUGUCGCUUUCUUUGGAGGCAUAGCUGAAAACACACGGAUUCGUUAGAGAGGGAUUAUCCUGUUAAUAUAGCUCUAUCGCACGAUCUAGAAUAAGAAGAAAGAAUGACAUCCUAAAUGUCCUGUAGCUUCCUGUUUAUAGAUGUGGUGCACAACACACCGAUAAACAAGACUCUACUAGACACGGUCUGUAGACACUUCCGAGGAAGAACCGCUCUGAUACCACUCUUUGUCACGACCCAACCCGAUGGGCCUUGACUAGUGCCUGUUUUGGACACCCACAUACAAACCUGCUAAGUAUAACCAACUGAAACUAAGACAAUAUUGAAUUUAAUCAAAUCAAGCCAACCCAACGUCAUAUAUAUAUAAGAGGACCUGUCUCAUAAGGAGUCAUAACCAUUCAAUCAUAACAGCAUACGCGAGCCGACAAGGCCGCCACUACUCAAAGCAUAAUAACAUACGUAUGCUGACAAGGCUGCCACUACACAAUACACAAUGAUGUACGCAGCCGACAAGGCUGCCCCUGUACAAGCGAACAUCCCAAACAAACCAUGUCCAGACUAUCAUCCAAAACAUAUAUAUACAACCCACAUAAUGUCCACAGACCUCUAAGAGUACAUUAGUGAAACUCGACGGGACAGGGCCCCGCCAUACCCAUAGACGGGCAAAAGACUACACAAAAGUUAUGUACCAAAACGACUGGGCUCCGGAACAGUGGAGCUCUCCCAAUCAGCAGAGUAGAUAUCCUAGGCGGGAGGAUCACCGAACUGUGCGUCUACACCUGCGGGCAUGAAACGCAGCCCCCCCGAGGAAAGGGGGGUCAGUACGGACAAUGUACUGAGUAUGUAAAGCAUAAGGUAAAGAUGACAGGAUGCCAAUAUGGCAAGUCGAAACAAAAUAUCACUACACAUAUACCCUUUUAAGUGAAAAUCAUGCAUAUAUUUAACAUUUAAGGUGCACAGCUUCCCUAGUAAGGGGCUCGGCAAAAUAAUCAUCACGUCAUCUCCGUCAUCAUCAUCAUCAUAACCAUCCUCAUCACCAAUCAUAUAUAUAAUAUACAUACCCGACCCUCUAGUGAGGAACUCGGUGACAUAUGCAAGAAACUCCGCACGAAUAUUACCCGGCCCGGGACUCGGUGAAAUGAUAAAUGACUCUAUGCACGAGCAGAAUAUUAUGAGCAACCAUAUGCAAUUAAAAUCAUUUCUUAUAACUCAAUAGAACAAUCAACGUGAACCAGCAAGGAGUAUUACCAAAGAUUAAUGUUUUAUCAAGAUUAUGAACCUUUAAUACGAUAUGGAAUCGUAAAAUCUCAAUGACUCUAAGAAGCAUUACCAUAGAGUCAUUUAUCAUUUCACCGAGUCCCGGGCCGGGUAAUGUUCGUGCGAGUUUCUUGCAUAUGUCAUCGAGUUCCUCACUAGAGGGCCGGGUAUGUAUAUUAUAUAUAUGAUUGGGUCUAAAUAGUACGUUCCGCUUGGACAUCCAUCUGAGGAUCAAAAGCGGUGCUAAGUUUCACUUGAGUCCCUAAACCCUUUGGGAAAGAUUUCCAAAAUGAGAAGUGAACUGGGCACACCUCUAUCCGAAACGAUGGACAAAUAAAUCCCAUGAAGACUCACAAUCUCAUUUAUAUAGAUUCUUGCAUAAUCUACGGCAGUAGAAGAAGACUUUACAGGAAUAAAGUGGGCAGAUUUGGUCAACCUAUCCACAAUAACUCAUAUGGAAUCAUUUUGCCUCCGGGUUCGAGGCAAACCCAAUAACAAAGUCCAUAUUGAUGGCCUCCGACUUCUAAGUAGGAACAUCCAUGAUUUGGGUUAAAUCACCCGGUUUUAGAUGCUCGAAUUUAACUUAUUGGCAGUUUAACACUUAGCAACAAACUCUGCAAUGUCCCUUUUUAAACUUUCCCACCAAUAGACCUCUCUAAGGUAAUGAUACAUUUUGGUGGCACUCGGAUGUAUAGAAUAAGGUGAACCAUGGGCCUCUUCUAGAAUUCAAUUUCUCAAAUCCUAAACAUCCGGUACACGUAAUCUCCCUUGGUACCUAAGAACACCAUCCCCCCGGGAGAUUGACUCAUUGAGCUUACUAAGUAUCGAUUCCUUCAAAUCCAUCAAUAGAGGAUCAAGGUGUUGCUUAGACUUCACCUCAACAACUAAUGAUGAGUCAGAUUUAUGAUGGACCAUAAAACCACCAUUUGGAGAAUCUUCUUAUCGCGCACCAAAGUCAACCAACCCAUGAACAUCUUUCACAAGGUUUUUAUUCUCUUCUUUCGCAUGAUACACACUACACAUAGUCACACUACUCAAAGCAUCCGUAACCACAUUGGCCUUUCUAGGGCGGUAAAGGACACUCAUGGGGUAAUCCUUCAACAACUUCAACCAUCUUCUAUGUCGGAGAUUUAACUCCUUUUGUGUAAACACAUAUUGAAGACUUUUAUAGUCAGUAAUAUCAACAUGCACUUAAGAAUAAUCACAUCCCCCCGGGAUAUUUUCAAGGCAAAAAGUACAGCAGCUAAAUCAAGAUUGUUGGAUAAUUCUUCUCAUGAAUUUUGAUUUGCCUAGAAGCCACUUACGAAGAAUCACAAUAUACUAAAAAGCCUUCAUUACCCUCCGGUAAGGUCAACACUGAGCGGAGGUAAGCUUACCUUUCAACUCUUGAAAACCUUUCUCAAAAGCUUCCGACGACUCAAAAUUCACCUUCUUUUAGGUCAAGUCUCUCAAAGAAGAAGCAAUGGACAAAAUCCAUCAAUAAACAUUCUAUAAUACUCGGCUAGACCCAAGAAACUCCUUAUGUUGGUGGGAGUCAAAGGUCCAGGCCAAUUUCUGACUGCAUCCGUCUUCUUUGGAUCAACCUCUACACCCUCAUCGGAGAUAACAUGCCCAAGAAAAGCAACUGACCUCAACCAAAAUUCAUUCUUGCUAAAUUUGGCAUAAAGUUGCUAUUCUUUGAGGACUUGCAAGGCCAACCUCAAGUGACUCUCAUGCUCAUUUUCAUUCUUGGAGUAUAUCAAAAUAUCAUCAAUGAACACAAUCACAAAGGAGUCAAGGUAAUCUCAGAAAACUCUAUUCAUUAGGUCCAUAAACGCCGCCAUGGCAAUUGUUAACACAAAAGACAUAACUUGAAAUUCAUAGUGACCAUAUCUAUUUUGGAAAGCUGUUUUGGGAACAUCUUCAUUUCUCACCCUAAGUUGGUGAUAUGCCAACCAUAAGUCAAUCUUGAAAAAGUAGCUAGCACAUUGAAGUUGAUCAAAUAGGUCAUCAAUUCGAGAGAGAUGAUACUUGUUCUUUAUGGUGACAUUAUUAAUUUGGCGAUAAUCAAUGCACAUUCUAAAAGACCCAUCAUUUUUCUCAACAAACAAGAUCGGAGCACCCCAUGGGGAAAUACUAGGCUGAAUAACACCCUUGUCUAGUAAAUCCUUGAGUUGGAUCUUCAACUCUUUCAAUUCAUCCAGAGCCAUCCUAUUUGGAGGAAUAGAAAUGGGAUUCGUAUUCGGUAGCAAAUCAAUGCCAAAGUCAAUUUUCCAUUCGGGCGGAAUUUAUGGAAGUUCAUUAGGAAAAACCUCUAGGAAUUCCCUCACUAUAGGGACUAAUUCAAUAGAACGAGUUUCACAUUCUAGGUCUUUAACCCUCACCACAUGGUAUAAACAACCCUUGGUUAUAAUCCUACAAGCCCUCAAGCAAGAAAUGAUUUGACCCCUUUGCAUAGAAUUUCCCCCCAUCCACUCUAGAAUGGGUUCGUUUGGAAAUCGAAACUUCAAGACCCUUGUUAUACAAUCUGUGGAAGCAAAACAUGCAUGAAACCAAUCCAUAGACAAAAUGAUAUCAAAGUAAAAAAUUUCAAGUUCUACAAAAUCAACAAGAGUGACUUCAUUGGGGCAGCAUUACAGGGCACUUCCUAUAGACUCUUUUUGCAACCACAGAGUCACCCAUUGGGGUACAAACUGAAAAGGGUUCAAUCAAAACAUUGAUAAAUACAUCAAACUUCCUAGAUACCAAAGUGUAACAAAAGAAAGGGUAGCACCUGGGUCAAGCAAAGCAUAAGCAUUAACAGAAAAAUGAUCGAGUUAAUUUUUACUUGUGAACCAUACUACACACAAAAAUGAUUUUAUGUGACGAUUCUUUAGCGACAACAUAUAUAUAUAUAUAUAUAUAUAUAUACAUAUAUAUUCGAAGUGAAAAUCUUGUGGCAAAUGAAUAUUACCAUGAAUAGAAUCAUUUUUAGCGACAAUUAGAAGAUAUGUCCAUAAAAGUUACGAAUACUUUUACAACUCAUCAAUAAUUAAAAUUUAAUUCGUUUGGCUUCCCUACGCUUUUAUUUUCAUUCCCCCCUUCACUUUUAUGUAUGUAUGCAAGGAAAAAAAAUUUCUACUUCACUUGCAAAUUGGCAGUUUGUGUUUAGUUUUUUUUAUUCUAAUUGUACUCCCUUUUUUAUAUCAAUUUCUUCUCUUCUUAGUUUUUCUCACGAGUUUUAAUUUUUAUAAAUUUAUUGUAAGGGUUUGCUUCAAAUUUGAAUAUCGAUAUUAAGGUUUCUAUUACGCAUCUAGGACUAUGUUCUUCUAUUUUUUUGACUGAUAUCAUUAUAGAACUGAAUCUUUAAAUUUUUGUUGACUAGAACCCGACUUGAAGUGAUUCAAAAUAAAAGUCAGGGAAAAAAUUAUGGUUGUUUCUGGUAAGGAUAUUUAAUUUUGACUUUAAUUAAAUAGAUAAAAGAAACUAUUUCAAUUUUUGAUUUAUAUGCUCGUGAAUUUAAGAUUUAUUGUACUCAUAUUUAUGAAUAUUGUAAUGAUGCCUUUUCUAAUAUGAAUAGAUUAGCAUUGUUUAUUUCUCAUGAAAAUGGUUGUUUGAGAAGUGUGGAUUUUUUCUCUCUUAAUGUUUGACCAAUGUUCGCCUCGAUGUUUCAGGUAUAUUUGAGUUCAUAUGUCUACUUUCGCAUGCAUAUUGCUUAUUUUCAACUAUAGUAAGUAUUUUUUAUUUAUUGACCAAAGUACUUUUGUUAAUUUCUUUACUAUAAUAUUUUUAUUAAUCAUGCAUAGAAUGCUUUAACUCAUUUAGUCAUGGACGGAUUUUAUAUUACUCAAUAUGAUGACAGAAUAAAGUUUAAGCAUGCAAUAACUAAUAUUCCGUAGUAUUGUAAGGAGAAAUUUCAUGAACAUACUAAUUUUAAGCAAUAAACAUAUGCUGGGGUAAUUAUAUUCCUGGUUUUAUAAUAGGCUAAAAAAUCAUCCAUGGUUGUGAUAUAUUUGGGUAAAAUAUUGCACCAGAAAAGAAGUAAGGACACAAAUAUGAUCAGUAGAAAACUAAAACCCAAUUAAUUGAAUCAAAUUACACUUAUAUUUGUUAAGAAGUGUUAUUGAUAAGUUAGACAUAAAUAUGAGCAUACUUUGUAAUACACCUCCAAAUAAGUGUACAGUUAAUAAUGAUAUUUAAAAUGGCAUUGAAUAUCAAGGUGAUUCUGAAAAAGGUAAGUAAUACUUAGAUAAUAUUUUAAAUUUUAAAAGAGAUUAUCACUUUCAAUCUAAAAGUUAACUUCUCUUCACUUUUGCUCUCUCUAGAGAUUAGCUUUAAAUGUAAAACUACUAAUAAUAUAGAGCAUGUAAAGUUAAUAAAACUAUAGAAAAUGACACUUUGUGUUUAUAUUGAUGAAUAUCAACUUGUUAAUUAUUUUUCUAUUUAUAGAGAUUUUCUUCGCUAGAUCACUUUAAGAAAAAUAGUCAAUGGAUUAAACAAUUUGUGCAUAGUAGCAUGGAUUCCAUAAGUUAUAUUUCAUAUUGCCUUCUACCUUAAGUAUUUGUAUUCCAAUAAUAUGAUGUUGUUAAGAGUUGCUUGAGAACUUAACUAGUCAACUUGUGAACCAGAGUAUUAAGGUAGUAUUUGUUUGUUAUAGAUUUGAUGUUUAUUUUUUUUCAUAUAAAAGUUCACUCCUACGAAACAUAUUUAUGUACCCUUUUAGUCCUUGAAGACUUGCUCAAAAAUCAAAAAUCAAAAUGGAAACUAAUUUCUUAAAUUACAUUAUUAUCUUCAACAACUGUGUUGAAUUGAUUAUGCCAUUUUAGCCUUUUUACAGUUUAACAUCGGUUUCCAUCGUUAUAGAAAUGUCAACGGGCAAUAAUUGGGACUCGAAAAACUUUUUUAUAGUAUUAUUUUCCCAACCUUGACCAGAUUUGCAGGAAUUUGGAGUCAUAAAGGUGUAGCGAAAUCUGGUAGCAAUCAAUUAGAGUAAAUGUGAAUUUGAUUGCAGGGGUGGUUAGAUAAGUCGUUGAGGAAUUCGUACGAAUUUAUGGAAUCAUAUAUGGAUAUAUAGCUCACUGCCUCAAAUCUUGCUUCUGUAGCGGUAUUGGUGUCGCUGUUGUGACUAUGCUACAUCGGGAUGGGUGUUAAUGUAGCAGUUAAGAAGGGGUUUGAAAUUAUGAGAUUUUGGGAUAUUUGGAAUGAGAGCUCAUUGGUUCAAAAACUGCCGCUGCAGCAGCGACGCCGCUACAGUGGGAUGGGUGCCGCUGUAGCAUAAUGGCGGGGUUUUAGUUCGUAAAUAAAACCCUUAAACAACAUUAUUUGGCACUUCUCGAAUUUUGAGUUGAAGAACGACCCUCAAUUUCAAUUCUUUUUUCACCAUUCUUAAAGCUAUAGGGAAGGGUUUCUUGAUAGAAUUAAUGGUGGGAACAACCCUAGUUUGGCUAUUUGGAGUCUUGAGUUUGACCUAGGGUUCAUGAAUUUGUUAAAGUUUCAGGAAUUUAGUGAUUUAUUUGUAACACUCCUAAAGUCUAAGAGCUAAUCUAGAGCCUAUCAUGAGUUUUUAAGGAUGAGUAAAAUGUUUUAUGAUCAUAUAUAAUGUAUAUAAUUCAUUUAGGAAGUUCAAAAAUUAAAACGACAAGAAUCGUCGAAGAUGUGUUUAGGGUUAGGGUUAUGAUAGGGUUAGGAUUAGGGUUAGGUUAGGGUUUAGGUUUUUUAGGUUUAAGGUUUGGGAUUUGAAAUUUAAAAUCAAUGGUUUAGUGUUUAAUGUUUUUGUUUUCGUAUUUUGGACGUAAUUUUUUUUUGGACGUUUUUUUUGGAGUUAGGGUUUAGGGUUAGGGUGUAGUUUUAUUUUUAGGUUUUGUCACACCCCAAUCCUAGGUGAGGCGGACAAGUACCUUACGAACACAUGUUUUACAAGUAAUCUAUGAUGAGAAAGUAAACUAUUAUGCAGAUUACUGAUGAAAACCUUUAUAUACAACAAAUGUUGACUAGCUGAACUAAUACACGUGACAAGUGAAACUAUGAAUACAUAUUAUAGCUUUACAAUGUCUAAGCCUCUAUGAAAUUCAUGCUUUGAAAAUAUGCAUAGUAAAGACUCGACAAAACCCGAAUCAACAUGGAGCUCACCAACAACAACUGAGUAUCAUGUGCUUCUAUUGGGGAUAUCUACUUUUGAAUACUUGUACCUACAACAUGAAAUGGAGCGCCCCAAUAAGGGAUGUCAGUACGAAAGAAUGUACUGAAUAUGUAAGGCAUAAUACAACCAUAUGUGACAUGGGAGCUCAAGUGAAAGGAAAUACCAAUAAAUAAGGAUUAGAGACCACCUUUGCUUAUACUUAUGGAAUUGUGUAUGUUACAUUCUUUUCUUUUCUUUUCUGUGAGUUAUAAUCUUUGUAAGCUAUAUGAUAGAAAUGACCAGCUGAUCAGUGGAAGGACAGGAUGACCCAUGCUAGCAUUUUAACCCCUGGGAUGCUGUCCUCAUAAUUCCUCAAAUUGGGAUUUGCCCAUCUUAGGCUUUUGCCCCUGAGCUGCUGCCCUUCCAUACAAAUUGGGAUCGACCCAUGAUAGGCUUUCACCCUCUUAUACCAAUAGGGAUCGGCCCAUGCUAUACCAAUUGGGAUCGACCCAUGCUAGGCUUUUCCUCUGGGCUUCCAUCAAUAAUUAUACAAAUUUCUUCAAUUAGAUUUUUUUAAUUUUGAGAUUGUUGCUUUUAUGUUCAUAACUCUUUUGAGACUGUGUACUUUGGAUAAUCAUAACUCUUUUGAGAUUGUUCUUUUGUUGAUAGUAACUCAUUUGGGAUUGAUGUUUUGGUGGUCAUAAUCAUUGUUGAGAUUUGGAACUAUGAACUAGUAGUAGAAGACAUACGAAUAUGGACAAUCGAUUAUGAAAAUGACGUGGGAAUCAAAUGUGACACCAACAUAAUACUUCUUCUAUGACUCUGUACAAAUUUUUGACAUCUCAAAUGGAAGCACAUACAAAGUGAAGACAUAUAACUUUCAGCCAAGAGAUUUGAACUCUAUAUGAUAACCAAAUACUCACCAACUAAUAUCAAAGACAAGGUAUUCAUGAAUGUGGAACCAAGGAAGAAUGUGGACAAAUUCAACUUAAGGACGGAUACAUAUUCCCAAGCAAGUACAUGCAUAUAAAUGUACAAUAGAGCAAGUCGACAUCUUGUGAGGCAUCAUAAUAGUCUAACAUAAUAAGAGUAAUAACCAAUAAAGGGAACAUAUGAACAUGUGAAAGAUGAAAUUAUAUGAUGGAAUAGACUAUUGAAGCAAGUUGGCAAGAUAUGGGCAGAUCGUGUAUCCAUCAUAUAAAUAUAUGUACCAUGUGUAAUCUAGGACCACUUUGACUUCUAAAUGGGAAGUACAUGCCAGGGAUACUUUGACAGUGAAACAAGUUUAAACCUUGCAUGCUAACACUUGGUAGAGCAAAAAUGCACAUUUAUUAAUAAAUUCAUAGCAGAGUGCUCAUUUUAAUUCUCUAGAGAGUACGGACUGAAUUUAUGGAUCAUUCACUACCAAGAGCACUUAGAAAGCUUACAAGUGUUGGAUUCAUGCCAAGGAAAUAGGAAAAUCGAAUAGCCUUACAUACCUUGCUGCACAACAAUGGGUAUCACAAUGAGUUAACCAUCUUACUUUAGGGUUAUUUAUCUACAAUGGAGUAAAUAAUAAAAGUUAAUAUUAGUUUCUAAACAAGUUUGGGCUACUUGAUCAGAACAAAAAAUAAUUGGCAGUAUAUCUAUAGUUGAUCCUAUCUAGAGUUCUUCCCAUCCAUUUUCCCCUAAUCAUUUUUAUAAGGUCCUUCGAAACCCCUCGGGUUUACCUCGUCUAGAAAACAAUAUUAAAGGAAUGGCAGGAAGUAAGCUCAUGCAACACUCAAUUAAGUUGUGUAUCACUACACUUUCAAUGUUCUAUACUCUAACCAGUUUUCAUGACUUCUCUACAUAUCCUGCCAGACCCUCUUAUUUAUAUGAUACACAAAACAGUCCCUAAGCCUCACAAUGUGGAAAUAGCAAUAUGAACUCAUGACUUCUGAUCAACAUCCUGUGAAUUUUCAACUAACAUUUAGAUUCUCAAAACAAGCUCACAAUCAAAAUCUAAGGGGAGUCAACUCCAUGUAUGUCGCAACAAGCACCUCCUUCCUGAACAUUCAUCAAGCUCACACCAUACAGAGGCAACACUCAACAUUUCAUUAACACAUGCAAACUUUUACAAAUAAUGCAAGAACAAGAGAGGGAUGGAAAUUCCCACAGCUUACCUUGCUAGACAGAAACCUCACUUGUCAAGACUUGGAUUCUUCAAGGUUUAGGUUGUCCUCUCUAACUUACCUUGAUGUUAAAUCAGAUUACUUGAAUUCCUUCAGAUUGGAGAUGUUCUACCAGCUUGUACUUUAAAAACACUUGUUUCCUUCAGAUUCUAAUGGUGAAGGUGUAGAACAGAACUCUUGGAGCUUCCAUGGCUUUCUUUGGGAGUAAUUUCUGGAGAAUAAGUAUGAAGGAGAUAUGAUUAAUGCUUUAGAGUCCAUUUUGGACGUUUUCCCUAUGAUAAAUUGGGAAAUAAUAUGGUCCUUUACUUUAUGAAAGAAGGUGCAUCACCUCCUUAGUUUCUGCCACAUGUUUUUAAGUAGCUGCAUCAGCUACUUGCUUUUUUCACUUAAAUUCAGACCACUUAUUCUAAGUAGGUGCAUCACUUAAUUUCUCCUUUAAAAUUCAGUCCACUAGCACCUACUUUCUCCUUUUAACAUAAAAUUAAGUCCACUAAUUCUAAGUAGGUGCAUCACCUACUUGCCCUUUUUCACUUAACAUGCAGUCCACUGAUUCUAAGUAGGUGCAUUACCUACUUGUCACCUACUAGCAUAGUUUUGUCAAGCAAGAACCUAUAUUCAAUUAUUCAUAUAUGUGUUGGAAUGUACGGGGUGUUACAACUUCAAACAUAUUCUAUUGUCACCAGUCGCAUAGGUAACCGAGUCCAUAACUAUACCACAAGGAAACUUUAAAGCGACAUAUACAUAGAACUAGUUCAAGUAGAAUACGGGGUGUUACAGGUUUUAUGGUUCAAGGUUUAGCAUUUAUGGUUUAAAAUCUAUGGUUUAGUAUUUAAUGUUUGGGUUUUUGUAUUUCGAGCUUAGGGUUUUGGGUUUAUUGUUUAGUGUUAAGGUUAGAUUUAGGGUUAUGGGUGUUUUUGGUACUUAGAAUUAGGAUUUGAGGUUUAAUAUCAAUGAUUUAUUGUUUAACGUUUGGGUUUUUGUAUUUUGGGAUUGGGGUUUAGGGUUUAUGCUAGGGUUAGGGUUAGGGUUCAGGUUGUUGUUUAGGUUUCAGGGUUUGAGGUUAAAUAUUUGAGUUGUAAUAUCUAUGGUUUAGUAUUUAAUGCUAGGGUUUUGGUAUUUUGGGCUUUGGGUUUAGGGUUUAGGGUUAGAUUUUGUAUUAGGGUUAGUGUUUAGUUUUUUUUAGGUUUUAGGUUUUGAGUUUUAGAGUUUUUAUUUGAAAUCUAUGGUUUUGUGUUUAAUAUUUAGGUUUUGGUAUUUUGGGCUUGGGGUUUCGGGUUAAUGGUUUAGGGUUAGGAUUAGAGAUUAGGUUAGAGUUAGGGAUAGGGUUAGGGUUAGGGUUUAGGUUUUUUUAGGGUUUUUUUGUUUAGGAUUUGAGGUUUAAAAUUUAUUAUUUAGUGUUUAAUAUUUAGGUUUCGGUAUUUUUUGACUUAGCAUUUUUUUUGGACUUAAGGUUUAGGGUUUAGGGUAUAGGUUUGGGGUUAUGGUCAGGAUUAGGGUUAGGGUUUUGGAUUUUUUUAGGUUUUAUGAUUCAGGGUUUAGAAUUUAAGGUGUAAAAUUUAUGGUUUAGUAUUUAAUGUUUGGGUCUUGGUAUUUUAGGCCUAGGGUUUUGGGUUUAUUUUCUAGGGUUUGGGUUAGGGUUAGGGUUACAAUUAGGGUUUUGGUUUUUUAGAAUUUUGUGUUUAGGAUUUUGGAUUUUAGGUUUAAUAUCAAUGGUUUAGUAUAUGAUGUUUGGGUCUUGGUAUUUGGGCUUGGGAUUUAGGGUUUAUGGUAGGUUAGGGUUCGGGUAGAUGUUAGGGUUAGGGUUAGGGUUUAGGUUGUUUUUUUAGGUUUUAGGGUUUGGGGUUAAGAAUUUGAGUUGUAAUAUCUAUGUUUUAGUGUUUAAUGCUAGGGUUUUGGUAUUUAAGGUUUUGGAAUUUGGGUAAAGGUUAAGGAUAGGGUUAGGUUUUGGGGUUCAGGAUUUUUUGUUUAAAAACUAUGGUUUAGUGUUUUAUGCUUGGGUUUGGUAAUUUUUUUUAGUUGAAUUACCCUUGGAGGGCUAGGGGCUGAGCAACACCCAAGGCCAUAUCAUUAAUAACAAAAACAAAUUACAAGGAGGGGGGAGACUAAGCACCCAAAGGCAGUCAACUCCUCUCUUACACAAAAGAUGAAACCAAAAUACUGAGCACCUAAGUAGAGGACUCCUCUCAAUACAAAGUAUCUAGGAAACAUAAACUAGGGAGACUCUCCCUUUACAAGAAAUCCUAAACCAAAACUAACCUAUUCAAAGUAGCUAUAAUUUUAAUAAUAGCUAAAUUGAAAAGAUAUACAAUCUCAAGGAGGUUUAAAAAUUCUCUUUGUCUUUUUUCUUCUAAAAUUAGGCAUCUCCAAUAAGUCAAGGUGAUAGUAGGCCUUUGCUCCUUUAAGCAAUUGAUGGCUGUUGAAAUAUACCUGAGGAGUGGCAGUGUUGUGACUAUGUUUUGUCAAUGCAUCUGCUACGCAAUUUGCAACUCUGGAUACAUGAAUGCAUUUGAAGUUGUUUACUUGAGCGAUAAGAUGUUGCAGCCUUCCAAGUUGAGUGAUGAUACUCCAUUGAGGGACUGCCUUCUUUAGGACCCAUUGCACUACUAGUUGAGAGUCAAGUUCCAAAAUUAUGUUCCUGUAUCCAAGCUCAAGUGCCCAAGUUAAACCAAAGAUGGCUGCCUCUAUUUCAGCUUUGUUGUUUGUCCCUUCUCCAAGUGGUGUUGUGAAGGCCAUCACCAAUUUUCCAUGUUUGUCUCUCAAGAUUCCACCCGCCCCCAGCCUUCCAGGGUUUAUGAGUGCACUGCCAUCAGUGUUCACUUUGAGCCACUGACAUGCUGGUUUAAGCCACUUCACCAUGUUCACCUUGAUGUCAUGCACACACUUUUCACUCUUUUGGAUUAGAUCAGUCCACUUUGCAGGCUAUUGAAGAUGCGGAAAUGCAUUGUUCAACAUUUUGAAGUUGUCUUUGUAAAGUGCAUACUUCACCCUGCUGAUGUUGGUUGCUUUACCUCCAUACUUGCAGGCACACCUGUUCUUCCACAGUUUCCAGCAGAUGAAUAUUGGAGUAGCUUGUAGCAGCAGUUUUUGGGCUGUAUUUUUGGAAUUUGUUGUCCACCAUUGGUGUAGCAGCAUCUGCAGUGAGGAAUGGUCCGGCUUUAGGCCUGCACUUCCUGCAAAAUAAUUCCAUACCUUGGCUGCAAAUUGCCCUGAAUUGGAAGUGUGUCCAUACCUGCUUUAUCAAGACAACAAAAACAAAAUGAUGGCUCAAUGCCAAAGUUAGUCAAUAUUUCAUUAGUAGGGAGUUUAUCCCUAAGGGUUCUCUAUAGUAAAAAGGAAAAUUUAAAAGGAAUGCUCUUAUGCCAUAGGAAGGAAUUGAAAUGGUUCUUGACUCUUUUAUCCCUGAUUUCCUCCCAAGCUGAAGAACAGGUGAAGCUCCCAUGAUUGUGGAGUUUCCACACUGCCUUGUCUGGAAUGUGUUGCUGUGGAGAUAUCUCUGUUAUCAAUAUGUUGGAGAACUGGCUGGAUGGUACCUGCCCUAUCAGCUUGCUCCAACUCCACUUCCCUUCCUCCCAGAAAUCUGCCACUGUAGAGUUGUUGAAUCUGUUACUAUUGGUGGUGAAUUGUGCUAAUGGUCCAAUAUGCCAAGCCAAUUAUCCCACCAAAAGGAACAAUUUCCAGCUUGAAGUUUCCAUUGUAUGUGUUGUUGUCUGCUCAUCAGCAUGUAUUUCCAGGUUAAAGAGUCUCCAUUAUCCCAUUUUUUGCUGACAGGAUUGGACCUUUGACAGUAUUUUGCUCUCAAAAAAUCUCCCCACAAGGUCUGUUUGGUUCUAAAAAUCCACCAUUGUUUGAAAUGAAAGGCCUUGCAAAUGUCUUUAAGAUUCCUCAUGCCCACUCCUCCCUCAUCAUAAGGGAAGCUUAGGUUUUUUCAAGAAGCCCAAUGGUCCCUCUUCCUAUCACUUUUCCAUCCCCAGAAGAAGUCAUCCAUAAGCAUUUGAAUUUGUUUAAGCACAGUAAUUGGAGGAGUUACUGCAGAAAGUAGGUGAAUAGGGAGGGCCUGUAACACAUGUUUUGUAAGAACUGCCUUUCCACCAUAGCUAAGUUGUUUAGUUUACCAACCUGUAAUCCUGCCAAUAACUUUAUUCAUAAGGUCAGAAAAAUAUAUAUUCCUAGGCCUACCAACAAAUAAAGGGCAGCCUAGGUAAGUAAUUGUUAUGCCUCGUAUUUUUUUUAUACGUAGUACGCGUCAUGAUCUAGUAGACGUAAGUCCGGGGAAUGAGAUUUUAUUUUAAGUUCCAAGUGAUUAAAGAAUAUUAGGCCUGGAUGUUAAUUCCAAAUGUGAUAUUAAGUAUGAUUUGGCUAAUGUAAGUGCCAUUAACUUUAAGUGAGGGAUUAAUUAGUGGCUGAUUAGGAUUAAUUUAAUCCAGUGGGCCCAACCACUCAUAAUUAGUGGCUGAUAGGAUUAAUUUAAUCCAGUGGGCCCCACCACUCAAGGCAAAAAAAUUAAAAAGGGAUCAGAUUGGGAGCUGGCCUUAGUGGACACGUGUAGAGGGGGGGCUACCUCCACUUCAUAUUAUAAAUGAGGUGGAGAAAUCCACUCCAUACUAAAUAAAGUGGUGAAAUGCAUUGCUGCAUAUCAUCUUCUUCACCACUUGGCUUAGGCAGCCAUGGAAAUGGAGAAACCAACCCUGCAACUCUUGGCCAGCAGCUGCAAAUAAUCUGGUUAGUAAUCUCCUUGCUUGGUGUGUUAAUUCUUUAGAAUACCUUGUUAAUUAUCCAUUAAUAUUAAGAAGGGGGCGUGUCCAGUAGCUUAGGAAGUUUGUUUUAGUUAUUGAAUAUGCUAAGUAUGAACGGAAACCAUAAUCGGAUUAUUAGUGGUGUCGUGUUGGUGCUUGGGCUGUUUUGAUUAAAGUAAACUGCAGGAAAAUUCUGUUUUGGCAUUAUGUAUAUGUUGAAUGUGAUUAUGAGUAUAUACUCCAAAGGAUGAAUACGAUAAGGUAGAUGUGUUGCGAAUUAUAAAAUAACUUAUCGCUCGGUGUGUCGUUGCUUCGCUGCUAUGGUUGCCGAGACGGAACUGUUUUGGGGAGGGGCCUGUUUAAUAUGAUUCGUUGGGUUAUAUGUGUUAUUGGUAUUGUUGUGGAUAAUUUGGGUUGUUGUCGAAUUGGGACGAAGUAAGGAAAAUAGGGGAAGUGCUGCCGGAUUUUUGUUAUAUUAUUAGCUAGCUUACAAGAUAGUUAAGCGUGAUGUUUAUCUAAUGGCGGCACGAUUGUUGCUUGUUAUAUAUUAGUAGCUUGAGCAGUAAAUAUUGGACGUGCGGCUCGACUAUACGGUAUGUAACGCUGUCCCUUGUUUCUUUGUUUGGCAUGACUUUUAAAAAUAAGCAAAUAACAAAUAGGUUUGAUACUUACCUCUAGAGCGUCUAGGUGACGUAUAUUCUUGCUUCCACAAUUAUUCCUCUAUAUGUCGGCUAUGUCUAAGGCUAUGAUGAUUUCUCAUAUCUAUGGUAGUGCUACUUAGAGUCAUUGAGAUUUUACGUUUCCAUAUCGUAUUAAAGGUUCAUAAUCUUGAUAAAACGUUAAUCUUUGGUAAUACUCCUUGCUAGUUCCCGUUGAUUGUUAUAUUGAGUUAUAACAAAUGAUUUUAAUUGCAUAUGGUUGCUCAUAAUAUUCUGCUCGUGCAUAGAGUCAUUUAUCAUUUCACCGAGUCUCGGGCCGGGUAAUGUUCGUGCGGAGUUUCUUGCAUAUGUCACCGAGUCCCUCACUAGAGGGCCGGGUAUGUAUAUUAUAUAUAUGAUUGGUGAUGAGGAUGGUUAUGAUGAUGAUGAUGACGGAGAUGACUUGAUGAUUAUUUUGCCGAUUCCCUUACUAGGGAAGCUGGGCACCUUAUAUGUUGAAGAUAUGCAUGAUUUUCACUUAAAAGGGUACAUGUGUAGCGAUAUUUUGUUUCGACUUGCCAUAUUGGUAUCCUGUCAUCUUUACCUUAUGUUUUACAUGCUCAGUACCUUGUCUGUACUAACCCCCCAAUCCUCGGGGGGCUGCAUUUCAUGCCCGCAGGUGUAGACGCACAGUUCAGCGAUCCUCCUGCCUAGGAUUACUCUGCUGAUUGGGAGAGCUCCACUGUUCCGGAGCCUAGUCAUUUUGGUACAUAACUUUUUGUGUAGUCUUUUGCUCGUCUAUGGGUAAGGCGGGGCCCUGUCCUGUCGAGUUUCACUACUAUCCAAAACGGGCACUAGUCACGGCCCAUUGGGUUGGGUCGUGACAAAGAGUGGUAUCAGAGCGGUUCUUCCUCGGAAGUGUCUGCAGACCGUGUCUAGUAGAGUCUUGUUUAUCGGUGUGUUGUGCACCAUAUCUAUAAACAGGAAGCUACAGGACAUUUAGGAUGUCAUCUUUUCUUCUUAUUCUAGAUCGUGCGAUAGAGCUAUAUUAACAGGAUAAUCCCUCUCUAACGAAUCCGUGUGUUUUCAGCUAUGCCUCCAAAGAAAGCGACAGCCGCCUAAAAGGGCAAAUCGGUAGCAGAAGGUACUAGUCAGACCAGGAGAGUUACUAGGGCCCGUGCGCAGUCUAUGCCUGGUAUUAUGCUCCAGUCGAAGAGCUCUGCUACACCGCCACGGCCAGAGGAUCUUAGAGCAGCAGCAACUCCAGUUUGGGGGACACCACCAGCCCCCGAGGCCCCAGCACCUGAACCUCCAGCUCCUCAGUCAGGGGCGGAGGAUAGGGCCUUGAGAGAUGUUGUUCAGUUGCUGACUAGAUUAGUGGAAGGUCAGGCUUGCAGGCAUGGACUAAGAGUUGAUCAUGCGGACAGAUCUGAUAGCUUAAGGACUCGUGACUUCUUAAGUUGUAAUCCUCCAUAGUUGUUUGGCUCAAGGCCCCAGGAUGAUCCGCAAGAGUUUAUUCGUCAGAUGCAGUGUACAUUGAGGAUAAUCAAGGCUUCGGAGACCGAGUCUGUUGAGUUGGCUACGUAUUGUUUGUGGGAUGUAGCUAUUAAUUGGUAUGAGUCUUGGGAGUUAUCUAGGGGUGAGGGUGCUCCUCUAGCAGUAUGGGAUGAAUUUAUGGAGGCUUUCUAGGGCCACUUCCUGCCUCCAGAGAUGAAGCGACCUAGAGUCGAUAAAUUCUUGUGUUUGAAGCAAAAUGGCAGGAGCGUUCGAGAGUAUAGCCUCGAGUUUUAUUCAUUGGCUAGGCAUGCGCCUACUAUUGUGGCUGAUAUGGCAGACAGGGUACAUCGUUAUGUGAUGGAUUGGAUCAUUAUCUGAUUAACGAUUGUAUGACAGUGACUCUUCAGCCAGGUGUGGAUAUUGCUCGGGUGCAGGCAUAUGCACAGGGGGUAGAGGAUCGGCACCGGGGACGUCAGCCAGAUAGAGAUUCUAAUAGAGGCCAACAUAAGAGGGCUAGAUCAGCAGGUUAUCCUGACGAGUUUCGAAGCGGGCAGUCUCAGCAGCAUGUUAGAUUUUCUUCCCAGUCAGCACAGAGUGCACCCCUAUGUUUCAUGGGUAGGGGGUUCAAUCGUAUGGGAUAUUCAGAAGCUGGUCAGAGCUCUAGGGCGUCAGGGUCACAGAUGGGCAGGGGUUUGAGCCAGUCGAGGCCACCUUUGCCUGGGUGUUCUCGCUGUGGUAGGUCCCAUCCUGAGGAAUGUCGUUGGGCUACAGGUGCGUGUUUUUCUUGCGGCCGUCAGGUCCAUACUAUGAGGGAGUGUCACCUUACAGGUAGUGUAGGUGGUAUGGCACAGCCUACUGGGUCCAUUGCUGGUUCAUCUUCUUCUGUGGCUAUGCGCCCUACGGGGCAAGGUAUUCAGGCGCCAGUAGGCCGUGGUAGAGGACGUGGUGGAGCUUCCAGUUCUAGCGGUCCCUCGAACCGUAUAUAUGCUUUGACUAAUAGGCAAGAUCAGGAGGCGUCACCUAAUGUGGUCACAGGUAUAUUAUCACUAUUCUCCCGAAGUGUGUAUGCAUUGAUAGACCCCUUCCACCUUAUCAUAUAUAUCUCCCUUUGUUGCUAGUAGGAUCAGAAUAGAGUCUGAGUUGAUAGAACCAUUUGAGGUAGCUACACCUGUAGGAGAUUUUGUCAUAGCUACGUGAGUAUAUAGGAAUUGUUCAGUAGUUAUAUAUAGUCGUCGUACGGUAGCAGAUCUAAUAGAGUUAAAUAUGAUUGAUUUGAUAUUAUCAUGCGCAUGGAUUGGUUGGCUGCUUGCUAUUCUAAUGUUGAUUGCAGAGGAAAGAUAGUUCGAUUUCAAUUUCCAGGGGAACCGAUUAUAGAGUGGAAGGGGAGUACAGUAUUGCCGAAAGGUAAGUUUAUUUCAUACCUUAAGUCCGGGAAGAUGGUUACAAAAGGCUGUAUUUACCAUUUGAUUCGGGUGCAUGACAUAAAGGCAGAGGCACCGACUCUUCAAUCAAUCCCGGUAGUUAAUGAAUUUCUCUAUGUAUUCCCCGAGGAACUUCCAGGCCUUCCUCCAGAACGAGAGAUAGAGUUUACUAUAGAUGUACUGCCAGAUACCCAGCUUAUAUCUAUACCUCCUUAUAGAAUGACACCUGCUGAGUUGAAAGAAUUGAAAGAGCAAUUGAGGGAUUUGCUAGAAAAUGGCUUCAUCAGGCCUAGUACGUAACCUUGGGGAGCACCGAUACUUUUUGUGAGGAAGAAGGAUGGGUCGCUGCGGAUGUUUAUUGAUUAUAGGCAGCUGAACAAAGUAAAAAUAAAGAAUAGGUAUCCCCUCCCAAGGAUUGACGAUCUAUUUGACCAGUUGCAGGGUGAAAAGUGUUUUUCAAAGAUAGACUUGCGGAUAGGUUAUCAUCAGGUGCGGGUAAGGGAGGCAGAUAUUUCAAAGACGGCAUUCCGGACCCGAUAUGAGCAUUAUGAGUUUAGAGUGUUGUCUUUUGGGCUGACUAAGCUCCAGCGGUGUUUAUGGAUUUAAUGAAUCGAGUAUUUAAACCAUUCCUUGAUAUGUUUGUUAUUGUAUUUAUAGACAAUAUUUUGGUCUAUUCACGUUCAGAAAGGGAGCAUGCAGACCAUUUAAGGACGGUACUUAGGGUGAUUCAGCACCAGAAGUUGUAUGCUAAAUUUUCUAAGUGCGAGUUUUGGUUGAAUUCAGUGGCAUUCUUGGGGCAUAUUAUUAGAGCUGAUGGUAUUCGAGUAGACACGUAGAAGAUUGAGGCGGUAAAGACUUGGCCCAGACCUACGACACCUACUGAGGUACGUAGCUUUCUGGUUAGCAGGAUAUUACAGGAGAUUCGUAGAAAAGUUUGCCUCAAUUUCAGCGCCUUUGACAAGGCUAACUCAAAAGGCAGCCAAGUUCCAGUGGACUGAUGCUUGUGACCGAAGCUUCCAGCUAUUGAAAGACAAAUUGACUACAGCUCCAGUCCUAACUCUUUCGGAGGGAUAAAGACGGCUAUGUUAUUUAUUGUGAUGCUUCGGGUGUUGGUCUAGGAUGUGUAUUGAUGCAGCAUGGCAAAGUUAUAGCCUAUGCCUCCCGACAGUUUAGGAAGCAUGAAAAGAACUAUCCUACUCACGAUCUGGAGUUAGCGGUCGUGGUUCAUGCCUUUAAGAUAUGGAGACAUUAUUUAUAUGGUUUCCAUGUGGACAUCUAUACAGAUCAUAAGAGUCUCCAAUAUAUCUUUAAACAGAAGGAGCUGAACUUACGACAGAGGCGGUGGUUAGAGUUGCUAAAGGAUUAUGAUGUUGAUAUUUUAUAUCAUCUAGGGAAAGCGAAUGUUGUAGCAAAUGCUCUUAGUCGUAAGUCCAUGGGUAGCUUGACAGAUGUACAACCAGAAAGGAGGGAUAUGGUUCAGGAGAUUCAGCGCUAUCCAGCCUUGAAGUCCGUAUGUCUAAUUCAGAAGAUAGUGGAGUUUCUAUUCGAGAGGUUGCUGAGUCCUCAAUCAUUGAUGAGGUAAAGAGACACCAAUACAAGGACCCUAUUCGGGCAUAGUAUAGAGAUGCAGCUCUUCAAAAGGAAAAGACCCCAUUUAAGGUUACACCUGACGAAGUGUUACGAUAUGAAGGCAGAUUGUGUGUACCUGAUAUUGUUGGCUACGACGCCAGGUUAUGGGAGAGGCACACUCUGCCUGUUAUUCUAUUCACCCAGGGUCAAAGAAAAUGUAUCAUGAACUCAGAUGCUUAUAUUGGUGGGAUGGCAUGAAACAUAGCGGAGUUUGUUGCUCAGUGCUUGAAUUGUCAACAAGUCAAGAUCGAACAUCAAAAGCCUGGUGGAUUAUUACAGGAGAUAGAGAUCCCGACUUGGAAAUGGGAGAUGAUUAAUAUGGACUUCAUACAGGCUUACCUCGCACUCAAUGGAAGUAUGACUCUAUAUGGGUUAUUGUAGAUAGGCUGACGAAAUCGCCCAUUUUCUUCCUAUCAGGACUACUUAUUCGGCUGAAGAUUAUGCGAGGUUAUAUGUCAGGGAGAUAGUGAGACUUCAUGGGGUUCCCACGUCCAUUAUAUCAGACAGAGGAGCUCAAUUUACAACCAACUUUUGGAGAUCGUUUCAGAAGGGAUUGGGGCCACAGGUGAACCUUAGCACAACAUUUCACCCUCAGACUAAUGGGCAGGAUGAGCGUACUAUUCAGACAUUAGAAGAUAUGUUGCGGGCCUGUGUUAUUGACUUCAAAGAUAGCUGGGAUGACCACUUGCUGCUCAUUGAGUUUGCCUAUAAUAAUAGCUACCAUUCUAGUAUCCAUAUGGCACCGUACGAGGCCUUAUAUGGGAGGAAGUGCAGAUCACCUAUUGGUUGGUUUGAUGUUGGCGAGACUAAGUUAAUAGGCCCGUAUGUGAUUCAGCAAGCUGUUGACAAGGUGAAGCUUAUUCAAGAAAGAUUAUUAGCAGCCCAGAGUCAACAGAAGUCAUAUGCAGAUAAUCGGCGUCGAGAUUUGGAGUGUCAGAUUGGUGACUGGGUAUUCCUGAAGGUAUCACCCAUGAGGGGUGUUAUAAGAUUUGGCAGGAAGGGGAAGCUUAGUCCGAGAUACAUUGGGCCUUACCAGAUUGUUCGUAGGAUAGGCAAGGUUGCCUAUGAGUUGGAUCUAUCAUCUGAUUUGGAGGCGGUACAUCCAGUCUUCCAUGUAUCGAUGCUACGUAAAUGUAUUGAUGAUCCUUCUAGAGUAUUCCCCAUAGAUGAUGUUCAGGUAACAGAGGAGUUGUCAUAUGAGGAGAAACCCGUAGCUAUACUUGAUCGCCAGGUUAGAAGGUUACGUACUAAGGAUGUGGCUUCCGUCAAAGUGUUGUGGCAAAAUAAUAAUAGGGAGUAGAUGACUUGGGAAGCGGAAGACGAAAUGAAGAAUAAGUAUCCUUACUUGUUCCCCGUACUUGCAGGUAAUUUAAUUCCUAGCUUGACUAUAUUGAUUGAUAAACAAGAUUAUGUAGUAAGUUGUGACUCUGUGAGGCAUCUGUAAGUUACAGAAUGCAGGUUGAUAGGUAUAACUGUUAGAGAGACCUCGCUGGAAUUUGUUUUUGUAACACGCUAACUUAACAUUCGAGGAUGAAUGUUCCUAAGGGGGGAAGGAUGUUAUGCCUCGUAUUUUUUUUAUACGUAGUGCGCGUCAUGAUCUAGUAGACAUAAGUCUGGGGAAUGAGAUUUUAUUUUAAGUUCCAAGCGAUUAAAGAAUAUUAGGCAGUGAUGUUAAUUCCAAAUGUGAUAUUAAGUAUGCUUUGGCUAAUGUAAGUGCCAUUAACUUUAAGUGAGGGAUUAAUUAGUGGCUGAUUAGGAUUAAUUUAAUCCAGUGGGCCCCACCACUCAAUACAAAAAAUUAAAAAGGGAUCAGAUUGGGAGCUGGCCUUCGUAGACACGUGUAGAGGGGGGGCUGCCUCCACUUCAUAUUAUAAAUGAGGUGGAGAAAUCCACUCCAUACUAAAUAAAGUGGUGAAAUUUAUUGCUGCAUAUCAUCUUCUUCACCACUUGGCUUAGGCAGCCAUGGAAAUGGAGAAACCAACCCUACUACUCUUGGCCAGCAGCUGCAAAUAAUCUGGUUAGUAAUCUCCUUGCUUGGUGUGUUAAUUAUUUAAAUACCUUGUUAAUUAUCCAUUAAUAUUAAGAAGGGGGCAUGACCAGUAGCUUAGGAAGUUUGUUUCAGUUAUUGAAUGUGCUAAGUAUGAACGGAAACCAUAAUCGGAUUAUUAGUGGUGUCGUGUUUGUGCUUGGGCUGUUUUGAUUAAAGCAAACUGCGGGAAAAUUCUGUUUUGGCGUCAUGUAUAUGUUAAAUGUGAUUAUGAGUAUAUACUCCAAAGGAUGAAUACGAUAAGGUAGAUGUGUUGCGAAUUAUAAAACAAGUUAUCGCUCGGUGUGUCGUUGCUUCGCUGCUAUGGUUGCCGAGACGAAAUUGUUUUGGGGAGGCGGCUGUUUAAUAUGAUUCGUUGGGUUAUAUGUGUUAUUGGUAUUGCUGUGGAUAAUUUGGGUUGUUGUCGGAUUGGGACGAAGUAAGGAAAAUAGGGGAAGUGCUGCCAGAUUUUCGUUAUAUUAUUAGCUAGCUUACAAGAUAGUUAAGGGCGACGUUUAUCUAAUUGCAGCACGAUUGUUGCUUGUUAUAGAUUAAUAGCUUGAGCAGUAAAUAUUGGACAUGCGGCUCGACUAUACGGUAUGUAACGAUGUCCCUUCUUUCUUUGUUUGGCAUGACUUUCAAAAAUAAGCAAAUAACAAACAGGUUUGAUACUUACCUCUAGAGCGUCUCGGUGACGUAUAUUCUUGCUACCAAGAUUAUUCCUAUAUGUCGGCUAUGUCUAAGGCUAUGAUGAUUUCUCAUAUCUAUGGUAGUGCUUCUUAGAGUCAUUGAGAUUUUACGUUUCCAUAUCGUAUUAAAGGUUCAUAAUCUUGAUAAAACGUUAAUCUUUGGUAAUACUCCUUGCUGGUUCGUGUUGAUUGUUCUAUUGAGUUAUAAGAAAUGAUUUUAAUUGCAUAUGGUUGCUCAUAAUAUUCUGCUCGUGCAUAGAGUCAUUUAUCAUUUCAACGAGUCCCGGGCGGGGUAAUGUUCGUGCGGAGUUUCUUGCAUAUGUCACCGAGUCCCUCACUAGAGGGCCGGGUAUGUAUAUUAUAUAUAUGAUUGGUGAUGAGGAUGGUUAUGAUGAUGAUAAUGACGAAGAUGACGUGAUGAUUAUUUUGCCGAGCCCCUUACUAGGGAAGCUGGGCACCUUAUAUGUUAAAGAUAUGCAUGAUUUUCACUUAAAAGGGUAUAUGUGUAGCGAUAUUUUGUUUCGACUUGCCAUAUUGGUAUCCUGUCAUCUUUACCUUAAGCUUUACAUACUCAGUACAUUGUCUGUACUGACCCCCUUUCCUCGGGGGGCUGCGUUUCAUGCCCGCAGUUGUAGACGCAUAGUUCGGUGAUCCUCCCGCCUAGGAUAUCUACUCUGUUGAUUGGAAGAGCUCCACUGUUCGGAGCCCAGUCGUUUUGAUACAUAACUUUUUGUGUAGUCUUUUGCUCGUCUAUGGGUAUGGCGGGGCCCUGUCCCGUCGAGUUUCACUACUAUACUCUUAGAGGUCUGUGGACAUUAUGUUGGUUGUAUAUAAAUGUUUUGGAUAAUGGUCUGGACAUGGUUUGUUUGGGAUGUCCGCUUGUACAGGGGAAGCCUUGUCGGCUGUGUACAUCAUUGUGUAUUGUGUAGUGGCAGCCUUGUCGGCUUAAGUAUGUUAUUAUGCUUUGGAUAGUGGCGGCUUUGUCGACUCGCGUAUGUUGUUACGGUUAAAUGGUUAUGACUCCUUAUGAGACAGGUCCUCUUUAUAUAUAUAUGACGUUGGGGUUGUCUUAAUUUGAUUAAAUUCCAUAUUGUCUUAGUUUCAGUUGGUUAUACUUAGCAGGUUUGUAUGUGGGUGUCCAAAACUGGCACUAGUCACGGCCCAUCGGGUUGGGUCGUGAAAGUAAUAGGACCUUGCUUUUGUUUAAAACCUGUAAGUCUCUUUAUUCUAUCUCUGGUGCUAUUGAAAGCAUUAGAGUGUAGCCUGAAGUGACUUUUGUCUCCAUUGAUGAGUAGCCCAGAAGUAUGUUCAUACUCCUUUAAGGAAGUCAUUAAUAACUUCAAAGUUUUGCAUCUUCCUUAAGUGAAAAAAAAUUAUAUCAUCGGCAAAACUGAGAUGGUUUACUUGUGGCCCCCUCGUUUCCAUGAAUAAACCAUGGUAGACUGGAUUAUUGAGAGAUACCUCUGCACCUAAAAUAAAUAGGGCCGGAGACAGAGGAUCACCUUGCUUGAGACCUCUAGUGGAAUGUAAGAAGCCAUAUCUCUUACCAUUGACAAUGAUUGAGUACCAAUUGUUAGCCAAGAUUCUCCACACCAUACCAAUAAAUAUCUCAGCAAAUUCCAUUUUCCUUAGAACCAGGCAAGUAUAUGACCCAGAAACCCUGUCAUAAGCUUUUGCCAUGUCUAGUUUACUGAUGACAUUGCUACCAAUAUUAGGUUUUUCUGAUUUGGUGAAUGAUUUCCUGAGCUAGCAUGAUGUUCUCAGAGAUACUUCUACCUUUAACAAAUCCGAAUUGAUUAGGAGAGGUUAAUGCAUGGAGGAUAGCAGUAAGUCUGUUAAUCAUUAGCUUAGAUAUGUUCUUGUUAGUGAAGUUGCUCAGACUUAUAGGCCUAUACUCAGUAAUCUUGUUUGGAUUAUUCACUUUAGGGAGCAGCACGAUACAUGAAUUGGAGAAGUAUUUAGGAAUCAUCUGUCCACUGAAAAAGGCAUAUACAAUUCCCAUUAGAUCAUUCUUGAUAAUAUAUGCCAACACUUUUGAAAAAAAUACCCAUUCAUACCAUUAGGUCCAGCAGCAUAAUUAGGAUUCAUAGAAAAAAGCACCUCUUUAAGUUCAUCCAUACCAGGAAUAUUGGAAGCCGAGUAUUUUGGUCUUGACUAAUCAUCCUUGGAAUGCAUUCCAAAGUAUGCUCAUUGAUAAGCUUUUCUUCUCCAUUAAAGAUUCCUUUGAAGUGUUCACAAGCUACCUGAGCAAUGUUAUCAUCACCUUGUGUCCAAUCUCCAUUUUCAUUGACAACUUUAUGAAUAAAUAACUUCCUUCUUCUUCCCUUAUCACAAAAUGGAAGUAUUUAGAGUUAUUAUCACCCUCUUGAACUAUUGAAGCUGGGUUUUUUAUUUCAAAAUAGUGUCUUCAAACUUGAGAAACUUGAUGUACUUUGCAUUAAUUUCAUGAAGGAUACUUCUAUUUGAUUCACUUUGGUUAAUGAUGUAGUUUUCUUCAGCUUUGUGCACUUGUUCCUAAUACAUUCUAACCUUUUGGAAAAUAUCACCAAAUUCUUUUUUAGACCAAACACUAAGAGUAUUUGACAUCCUUUUCAUUUUUUUGUGAAAUCUCCACAUACAGACCUAUCACUUUUCUCCCACCAGGUUUUAACAGUUUCCAUGAAAUGAGGGUUGUCAACCCAACAAUUGAGAAAUCUGAAGUACUUGAUGUGAUCAGUUGUUGUGGAAACCAUUUCUAGACGCAGUUGUGGACAAGUGAGUUAUAGUUGUUUGAGGCAUCUUUUACAACCAAGAAUCAUUUACCAUAGCCCUGUCAAGGCUCUUUAAAAUUAUGUGAUUGAUACCCCUCUUGUUGGACCAAGUGAAUUUUUGACCACUAAAGACAAUGUCCAAAAGGCGACAGGAUUCAAAAAUAGCUAUAAAAUCCAUACUUUCCUCAUGUUAUAAGGCAACCCUCCAAGUUUUUCUUUCACAGAAGUUAUAACAUUUAAAUCACCUACAGUACAACAAGGAUUGUAAUUCAAAGAGGUUUGCUGUAACAUUUUGUCCUAAAGUGGUCUCCUGAGAUGAUCUUUGCAUUUAGCAUAAACAAAUGUACUAGUAAAUUGGUAUAAUAAUUCAUUGUGUUUCAUGUUGCAAGUGAUUUGUUGUUCAGAAUAUUACAGUCAAUAUCACUGCUCCAAAGAACCCAAAUUUUAUCAUUACAAUUACUAGUAGCAUUUUCCAUGUUUAAUUGGACCUUAAAGCUUUGAACAUUCACACUAUCAGAGAAAGGUUCCAAAAUAGUGAUAACAGAUAACUGGUGAAGCUCCCUGAGCAUCUUGAGUCUCUCCAACACCCCUUGAGUGUUGAUCCAUCUUACAUUUCAUAUGAUUGUACUAAUCAUUGGAAAGAUCUAGAGGCAAAGAUCCGAGUAUUAGGUCUUCCAGCAGUGACAGAAUUGACAUCUUGUUUUUUGAAGUGAAAUUUGUCAUGGUGGAAACCCCUUGGCGAUAGACAUUGACUUUGUGUUAUUGGAUCUCUUCCUUUAGGGCCUGAUCAUUAUGAGGACUAAAGGCCUUAAUAAGGUCCUCACUAGUCUCAUCAUCCUUUUCAAACUCUUCUAAGGAGUGAUUAUCCCCAUCAAUUUCAUCGUCAGAAUUAUCCACAACAUAUUCAUCUAUAGUAGGCACCUUAUUCAGCUUACAUAUUUGUUGCCUCUCGUCUACUGGUUCAGAUGGUGGUGGAGUCAUAUAUUGAGCGUGAGGGGGGAGGAUAUCCAAUUCAUGAUUAUCAUCAAUCAUAACAAAUUGGUUGCACGAUUCCUCCCUCUUUUCUUGUCCCUGUUCACUGUCAUUGAUUUGCUUCUUGUUCUGUCUCCUUUUAGCAGUGUCUCUUUUCUGUUUACUGGGCUUAUUUUUGCUCUUGGGAGUGCUUUCCGGAGUACAAGUAGCAACCUGUUUCCUUUAUCUUUAUUUCCCUCUUUUUCAGCAUGAUGUUUUUCCUUAUUAUUUUCAGAAUCUUGUGACCUGUAAUCUCUGAUCUGCAUUUGCUGUUUGAUCUGUUGUUUUUCCUUUUGUUGCUGCCUGUUCCUUGUCCAGGGCUGUAGAGUCUGUCCUAUGGUCAACCAACCCCUCAUGCAGAACAUGAGUCAAACACCCCCCUUUGGUAACCCCAUCCUGCAGGUUAGUGGUUUUUUCCUGACACCCCCAUCCAUACCUCCAACAACUUCUUCAGUAAAACCAUCAACAUUAAUAAAGUUGGGGGAAUUGGGACAUGGGAGCAUUGAGUCAAUACCUGUGCUCUUCUGCUUAGUGACAGUAUUAUGUAGUUGGUUUUGUUCCAUGUGUGUGUUGAGGUUGUUCCUGACAAUUGGGCUAUUAGCAGUCCCCUUUUUUAAUUGGUUUGACUGGUCUGCUGUCUUCCUGAUAGUUCCAACUCCUGUUUCGAUUAUCUCCUGUUGGUCCUGCAUUUCAAGUUUAUAAAAGUAAUUUGGAGUUUGAAAGUUAGAUGUAUCUGUUGUUUCCUGUGUUUGUUGCUGGCUUCCAUUGCUUCUUUGCUUUUGAGGUGAGACAGGUCUCCAGACAGCUUUAGAGAUGGUUUGUUCCUGAUUUUUUUGCUGUCUCCUUUUUGGGUCUGCCACUUUUCUUCCUAUGAUUCUGCUUGCUGGCCUUGUUCCUUUUGGUUAAAGGUAUGCUUCCCUUGUUGUUGGUCUGUAAUCUGAUUCUUUGAUUGAUUUUGUGCUUCCUCCUUUCCAGCUUCUCCCUUUUGCUGAUUGUUUAGUUGAUUUGAUGACUUUGUUGUAGCCUCAUGAGUACUUUUUUCAUGCUUAUUGCAUUUUCUGUGAUUUCCUUGUUCCCUGUUGUUCUUUUCAAUUUCCUGCUCCUUCCUUUUUUUUAACUCCUCAUCCCUUCUCUUGAUUGUAUAGUCCUCUUCAAGUGUCCUUGGUGUUUGCAGUAUAUGCAAUAGUUAGUAAAACCUUCAUAUUCAACCUUUAACCAUCUCCCUUUAUUGGGGUUUGAAUUCUUAAAUCCCAGCCAAACAUAAUUGGGUCUAGUUUUGGUAAGGUUCAGUUGAACUUUUACCCUUAAAGUGCUACCUCUAGUUUUUUGGGAGGAUGGUGAAUCUAGGAAUAACACCUUCCCAAUUGACUCCAAAAUAGUUGCUAGUAGCACUUUGUUAUCACAAUGCCAAGGUAGGCCAGGGAUAGCCACCCAAAUGGGAGCAAUGGGACUUUCCUCUUCCGAGGUAAACUCAGGGGUCCAAGUUUGUAUUCUCAUCACUUGCCCUUUAAUAUUCAUUUUCUAAUCUUCGUCCAAACUGUUUGGUAGUCAAACUCAUUAUCAAGGUCAAUAUAAACAUGUCUUGCAUUAAAAUGUGUGAUCUUCACACUUCCUGUGAGUUGAGUUUGGAGAGUAAAGCUUUUUCUCACCAAUUCCAUUUUAGGCAUCGUAUUAGUGAACCUACCCACAAGUGUGUAGUAUUUACACACCUCAGCAAAUUUCACAUAAUAGUCAUCCUCAUCAAGUAGCACAAUUGGAAAUCCUUGUCUAGUCGUAUGUAUGGGAUCCUUUAAGACAAUAGGAAUUUCAUUUUUGGAUUGAUUGUAUCGCAACCUUGCAGAAAAAGAUUGCACCACAAUAUAUGGGUACAGGUUUUGAAUUUUUUUUCAUUUUUAGCAUUGUUGUUAGGAUUCUGAACAUGUUGUUGGUUGUUAGGACUUCUAGCAGUAACCUGAACCACAUUAGUGACCUGCUUAUUAGUUCUAUCAGCUUGAGUAUUAGGCUCAUACCUGGAGUAGUUUUUGGAUAUUUUGGGGAAGUUAUUAUGGUACUCCACACUUGCUUGGUUGAUUUGAUUUGAUAAGUUGACUCCUCUUUGAUUGUAAGUGUACUUGGAUUGAUCAUUUUGCUUGGAAACACUCCCUUGAACCUGCUUGGUAACACUUCCUUGAACCUGUUCUGAAACAUGCUUGCAGCUUCCAGCAGUCCUUUGUUCAUUUCCUCCCUGCUGCAACUCUUUGCCUGGUUGAUCCAGUUUUUGACUUGAGUUUUCUUGCCUUUGCAGAUGUACAUUUCCAUGUUCCUCACCUUUGUCCUCCUGGUGAGGUGUGAUUUGCGAGUUACCUGUAUUAAAGGAAGGAGUCAUAUAGGAUGAAUUACCUGCUAAAUCAAAGGAAAAUUUCAAUGAUUGUGUGUCAUUUGAUGAGGUUUCUGGGUGCAUCCUCAUAGUGUUCCUGUUAGUGCCCUGCUGCCCGAUCAAAUAUUCCUCCUGUUGUGUUUUGUUUUCUUCUCCAAUUGUUGUUGCUUCGGUCGACUGAGAAACCUCCAAGUUGGUGUUUUGCUUGGCCUUUCGAUCAGAACCAGAGUUUCCCCUUCACUUUCGUUCUUUGGGAGGAUGGUAAAUCUAGGAAUAACACAUUCCUAAUAAUUGGGAUGUUCUUGAAAAAAAUAACCUAGUGUUUGGUUUGCCUAUACUGACAGUGGUGAUGUCUUGAUUUUGAAAUGAAAUUUACUAUGUUGCAAUUCCCUUGGUGAUGACGCUUGAGUCUUAGUAGCUUGUUGGAUUUCAUCCUCAAUAUAUUGAUCAUUCUGAGGACUAAAGGAUCUAGAAUAAGUGUCUCACUUGUCUCAUCAUCAUCUUCUUGAUCAUCCAUUGAUUUAUUAUAUCUAUCCACCUUAUCCUCAGAAUGACAAACCUCAUAUUCAUCAAUAUCAGGGGAGCAGUGUUAAGUUGGCAUUCUUGAUGUUGCUUAUCUGGGGGUUCUGCUUCCUCCCCUCUUCCCUAUUCCUUAUUUCCCUCAUUCUCUUGCUCUUUAUUCAUCCUAAUUUUGGCAGCAUCCCUUUUCUUUUUACUUGGUUUAUUCUUACUUUUAGGGGUAUUUUCUUGUUUAUUUAUAUUUGGAUUGGUGUCCUUUUCCUUUGUCUUUGAGACUGAAUUCUGAUAUCCUGUGUGAUCCUUAUCCCUAUGUUGAUUCUCCUUGCUUACAGUAUCUUUGUCUUGCUGCUGUUUGGAAGCCUGUUGUUGAGGUUGCUUUUGUUUGACCUGCUGUAGCAUGCUUUUAGAAAUGGUUGAGGCUCUAAAGUCUCUAUUGUGGUCAAUAUGUACCCCCUCAUGCAAAGCAUGAGGAAAAUUCCCCCUUUGGUCACCCCUUACUGCAUGUUAUUUUGGCUCUCCUAACAUCCCCUAUCCAUCCCUCCAUCAACUUCUCCAAAUAUACCAUCAACAACAUAAUCAUUACUAGAGGUAGGUUUUAUAUCUAUGAUACAUGGGGAGUCUACAUUUCUGUUAUUGACUUUCUUUUGCCUUUGCAUGUCUUGCUUACCCGCAGUGUUUUCCUUUAUUUUCUUGUUUGUUGCUUCUACCUUGCUUUGAUAUUUGCUGCCUCUGUCCUCUCCCUGUAUAUUGUGAUCUGCCUGCAAUUCCAAAUUAGUAAAGGAUAAUUGCUGAGAGUUAGUAGUUAUACCUGCCUGUUGGUUGUCUUUUGUAGUCUGAUUUGUAGAAGUAGGUUUCCACAUAGUCUUUGGAAUUGCAUGUUCCUAUUGCCUUGUAUUUUUCCUUCAUUGAGUUUUUCAUUCCUCCUCUUUUAGCUGUUGUAUUUGCCUCUGCCUGUUAUUGUCUUUACUUUGUUGUUGUUGUUGUUCUCUUGUCUCCUUGCUUUUGUUCUGUCUAUAUUCUUGUUCUUUUGCUUUGGUGGUAUCUUUGUUUUAGUUUUUCUUCUUACUUUCUUUUUCCUUUCUAUGUCUAUACUCCUCAUUCUUCAUUUUGGAUUUACAUUCUUCAAUAUCAUGCCCAUGAUGUGUACAAUACUCACAGUAUGGGGGAACAUUCUCAUAUUUCACUGGCUCCCAGAUUCCAAUGGUGUCAUCCUCAGGAUCUAGUCCUACCCAAACAUGUCUAGAUAUAAAACAUUGCAACCUGAUUCCAACAAGGGAGUAAGGAAAGGUUUUUUGUAGCAAUGCCAUGGUAAUCCAGGUAGCAAAAUCCAGACAGGCACAAUAGGGUUUUCCUCUUCAGGUGUAAAAAAAGGUGUCCAAGCUUGUAUCCUCAUCAAUUUUCCUACAAUAGUCAUUCUUUGCUUAGUCCAAACUGUGUUAUAAAUCUAACUCUUUUUGUAAAUCAAUAAACACAUGUUUUGCAUUGUAGUGUCCUAUGUUGACCCCCCCACACACACACUUAAUUUAGUUUGUUGUAUAAAGCUCUUCCUAAUAAUAAGCUCCACCUUAGGCAUGGUAGUACUUAACUUCCCAACUAAUGUAUACUUGCAAUCCAUAGUCAAUGUAUGCAUAUAAUCAUACAUAUUAAAGAAUACAGCAGGCUGACCCUGCUUGGUAGUUUGUCUGGAUGUAGUUCUCAACACAACAUUUGGAGCUUGAGCAGCAUAUAUAUGUCUCAGUCUUGUUGCCAAAGUUUGGACCACAGUAUAAGGAGCAGGUUCCUAAACCUGAUCCUGUUUGGUAGCUGGGAUACUCUUAUUAUUGUUGGAAGAAUUGGCAUUAAGGUUAGGAACAUUUUGGUUAGCAUUUUGGUGAACAUUAGACCUCUUUUCUCAAAUUUACUAGAAAUCUUAGGAAACUCUCUAUGGUAGAGGUUUUGCCUACUGUUGUCCUGCUGAUUCAGUUCCUGAUUCUUUUUCUCAUUGUUCUUGUUUUGCUCACAUUGUUUCUUGUCACUCUUUACCAUUUUCCCCUUACCUUGACUACUAGUUCUACCCUCCAUGUUUCCUUUGGUAUUGUCCUUCUCAUAGUAAUCAUUUUCCUUUUGUUACACAUUUUGGUUGCUUACCUCCCCUGCUCCUAGACACUAUUUAUAACAGCUAAGUUUGCCUUGGCAUUUUCAUGCUCAUGGCAAUUGUUAACAUUAUUACCAACAUAACUGAGAUUAGAGUUGUAGUUAGUAUGGUUACCUGCUUGAUUUGCCUCUCCUGGUUGCUCCUUAAAGGUUUGUUGAUGGCCAUGUCCUUGAACAUCUGCAGCAUUAGGAUUAAAUGCAAAUGAAGAUUUUGCUGAACUCUCCACUUCAAUAGUAUCCUGUUCACAAACUAAGGCCUUGUUGUGUUGAAGCUUAGAGGCUAAGCUUGCUUCCACAGAUUCCUCUUGAAGUGUUUCUUCAUCAAUAUUCUUUUCCUUGUUCACCUGUUCACAAUUAUCCUUCUGAUUAUCUCCAUGAAUUGUACCAGUAGAGGUGUUAGUCUAAGUCCUUCUUGCUCAGUGUUAUUCCUCUCAUAUGCUUUGCCUGUAACGUUGUUCUUUCGACUUCCAUUUUGACAACCUGCGUUCUUGUUACCGAUGAUUUUUAGUUCCAUUUCGCUUGAUAUUACUGUGAGAUGAACAUCUUCCCCUUGUAAGUACUUCUUGAUCUAUUGUGAUUUUUACGUUCAUGAGCUUUAUUCGCGUUAUUCCUUGAACCCCCACCUUCGAUUGUUUCUAUUGGUUCAUCAGUACUUCUUGAAAAUUGAUUAUGUUGUAGCUUUAACUUACAAGAAUCAUUCCCUUCACGAUUGUAAUCUUGAUUACAUCUGAUUGAGUCUGAGGAUAUAUUGUUGUUGUUCCCCUCUUCUUCCCUUCGAGAAAUUUCACUGUUCAUCGCGCCUUGAUAUUUCGAUUUCCUGGAGUUAUUUGAUGAAUUAGAGGGGGAUUUGAGUAAAGUUAGGUUCCUUUCCUCCAAGCGCCCCUUCUGGGGCUGGUCCGGCGGUCUGAGAUUUACCGCCGGUGGGUCACGCGCCAUGUUUGGCCUUACAGAACUAGCCAUUAGGCGUGUCAUUUAUGUGUAACAUUAGGGAGUUUUGGUCUAGUGAGAUAAGUUAGACAGAGAACUAAUUUGGCAUUUUGGUCUUUUUGGUGGUAAUUUGGGCUUGGGGUUUUGGGUUAAUGGUUUAGGGUUAGGGUUAGCAUUAGGGUUUGGGUUAGGGUUAGGGUUAGGAUUUAGAUUUUUUUUAUAGGUUUUAGGGUUAGUGGUUUUGGAUUUGAGGUUUAAAAUCUAUGGUUUAGUAUUUAAUAUUUGGGUUUUCUUAUUUUGGAUUUAGGGUUUUUUUGGACUUAGAGGUUUUAGGGUAUUGGUAUAAUGUUAGGGUUAGGGUGUAUUAUAUUUUAGGUUUUAUGGUCAAGGGUUGUAACACCUUGAAAAUCUAAGACUCAUUGUAUAGCCUAACAUAGGUGUUAUAAAGUCUAAACACUGUUUCUAAGUCCAUUUUUAAUGAACAUAGGUCAUUUAGGAGGUGUAAGAACCAAAGUAUCCAAAAACAUCUGGUAAGUUGGUUAAAAGGGAUGUUAGUGUGCCUUAGCCUUUUGACUAACUUUUAGGAGUCAGAAUUGUACUAAAAUGGGUGGAAAGGUAGCUAAUGGGUGUUUCAGUUAUUUCAUGAUUGAAACGUCUAGGUACGACUCUCCAAGGACUAACCAAGGGCCCUUGAGGAGGACUCCUAUUGUUUGAAGCACUACCUGGCAGUGUUCAUUGCUAGAAUAGGUGACGGUCCGUGUGUGGCUCGACAAGGCGUCGAGGCCACCUCAUACCACAUAGAAAGAUCCAUGAAGGAUCUUGCUUACCUAGAUACUGUUACACACGAUGGAAGGGGGUUGACGAGGCAUCAGUGGCUCGACAGGGCUUCAAGGCCACCGUCAUUCCACACUUAGAAAUAUUGGAGGAAGCCCUCACCAACAAAGUCUCUGACUGAGGCGACGGAGUACAGGACAAAGGGGGGAUUGUCCGUCAACUCACCAACAGACCAUCGAUCAGGUCUCGUUGGUGAGGGUAGAGUUUCACUGUUAAAUUUUAAAUAAUUUCAUUUAAUUAAUUAAGUGGUUUAGGGUUUAGUUAGGGAUUAAAGGGAGACUACUUAAGUUAAUUAAGCCCCACUAUAAAUACCCCUAAUCCUCAUUAAACUAAAGACAUCUCUCAAAAUAAACUCUCUUUCUUCUCUUUUAUUUCUCUCUAUACAUGAACUCACAUUGAAGGCUAGAAAGAACUAGGGUUUUGGGGCUGGGAAAAGGGUGGAUUCGUCAUCAAAUUGUUGAGAAACAUUAAUGUAUGGGUUCUAUUCACCUUUGAGAUUCUUUCCCCAAAGGGUUCCUUCAAAAUAGCUUUCAAAAAGUUUAGUUUUCCUAUGGGUUUCAUUCUAUUACGAAAUUGAAGUCAUGGAUUGAGUUGUUAAUGAAUUAUUAGGGUUAUAUUGAGUAGACUAACAUGUAUUUCAACUUAUUUAUUGUAAUUGAUGAUGGUUUGGUCUAAAUUUAAGAAUACGAUCCUCUAUCCCUAACCCUAGGUAGUGAUCUUGACCUAUGUUGUAUGGUGAUUAUUCAAUUGAGUAGGUUGUUGAUUAUAUUACUAUCAUAUGGUGCUAUUAUGAUUAAAUUAAAAUGAAUUAUAGGCCUAUCAUGCUAGUUCUUGUGAGGUGAUUUAAUGUGAAAUUAGCCUAUGUACCUUGUCUUAAGUUGUGAUCUAAAGAUGAAUUGUGUUAUAGAGAUGCAAUUGGCCUCGUUAUUCUAUUGAUUAUAAUUGUGCGAUGAUGUUAUUUCCCAAGUUGGCUUUAAUUAAAGGUUGAUGGUAAGACCUUGAUGAUAGACUAUGAGAAAGACUUGAUAAGUCUUAGAAUCUCUAUCUUUACUUCCAAUUAAGGUGUAUGUGCUAUAAAGAUGGUGAAAACUAUCAAUGAGCAUUAAUAUGUGAUGGAAGGACUUAUACUCAUACAGUUCUUAUUGAGCUAUUGAUGAUGAUGAUUAUACAAAGGGUAGACCCUAUGGCCUAAAUUAAGUUAUUAUUGACAAUUAUAGGCUUAAGACAUUUCAAAAAGGGACUCUAGCUUAGCACCGAGUGAACUAGAUAGAGAAGUGUCCUUUCCACAUAGGGAAGGUAAAAACACUACAUUACUCUCGAGAUUGGAUACUAUAAUGCAUGGCGCAUAAAGAGGGUCCCAACUAAAUCUCCUAGUUCUUGAACUAUGUUUCCCCCAUAGGAAUACUAGCUAGUGGAUCCACGUAGUUGCUAUGUUUUAUGUUUCGGUACUACCUUGGCAAGUAGUCCGCCUUCUUUUGGUGUAGGGUUUUAUAACAUCGGAUUCCACACUAGCUCAUGUGGUCUAUGUCAGUUAGGGCAAGAUGUUCCCAAAAGGUAAAAUGAAUUAAAAGACUUGAACUCUAACUUGGAUAACCUAAGGGAUCUAGUUUAGUCUAGGAAGGGGUAUGGGAAUCUACCUAUACAUUGCACUAGUUAUUCUUGAGGGGAGUCUUAGGAGGAGGUUCUUAUAUGCUUAUGUUAUGAUAAUUUAUGAUGUAUAUAUAUGAUAACCAUGUCAUAUUGUUGAUACUAUAUGUUGAUUACUUCAUUUAUGAAUAUACCUUGGAUUAUAAUGAUAAUAUAUGAUGAAAUGUAAGCCUAAAUGACAUGAUAUGUAAUGUUGUACAUUGGUCAUGUUUUCUUGUUGAGGAUAUUUGAUUGAGUAAGGUUAUGGGGCUUUGCUUGGUAAUUGCACUUGUUGACUUGAUAAGGACUUGUGAGUAGUUGUCUUGCUUAUUAUGAUGUAUUUAACUCUUAUUCAUUCUUGUGAUAUAAUUCCUUGAUGUUAGGGUUGUAGUAAAUCAUGAUUUCAAGUGUGUUGGAAUAAGUAUUACUUAUUGAGAUAGUAAGCAUGUUUGGUUGAUUAAUAUGACUUACUUGACUUUGCAUUAAGCUCUAAAAGGGGUAGAAUGGCAUGCUUUGAUAAAAAAGUCCCUUUCAAAAUUUUUUGCUUGUGUAUGUGCAUAAGAUCUGUUACUUUGUACCUGUGGAGUACUAACCCCAUUUUCUUCCCUUGUCCCAAAUAUUUUAGGUUCCGAUCGUUGAAGAGUUUGAAAGCCUAUAUUGUUGGAGGAUUGGAUUCUUCUUUUCAUCCAAGUGGGGUAGGUCCUCAACUUUUGAGGACAAUGCCAUCUUCUAGCUUUGGAUUUUGUUAUGAGCUUAUUGACUCUUUCAUUUAUUUCCUUGUUAUUUGAAUAUUGUAUUUUCGUAUACUCGAUAUGAUUAUAUAUUAUGUGUAUGUAGAGGUCUAUGUAAACCUCCAAGUAGAGAAAAUAAAAGUUUUAAAUUUUUCCAUAAUUUUUCGACCUAUGAAUGUAAUGACAUGAAACUAAGAGUCUAGUCUUAGUCCUUCAAAAGGACAUCGACUCCGGUUACCUCUAGGGGGUAAACCCGGAUGUGACAAACUUGGUAUUCUAGUAUGAGGUUGAAUACGUUGAGUUAUGUAUCUUUCUCUAUCACAUCUAUGUAGGUUUGUAUUCAUAAUUAUGUAGCGUGCCACACUUAUCGAAGACUUGAAGAGGAAGUUGCUAAUGCGGGAGCUCCCCCCUAUGAUGAGAAAGUUCCUCCUCUUGAGGUGAAUGCUGAUGUUGAUCAAGCCCGGCUAACCCUCCACCUAGUGCGGAGGCGGAGAUGAGGGGGCUAUUCUUGCUCAAAUGGCUCAAGCCAUGACUACUCAAGCACAAGCUGCGACGAUUCAAUCCCAAGCUAUGACAGUCCAAGCCAAUCGGGAGGUUGCACCUAGGGUUUAUCAACAAGUUUCUACUAUGGCUUCCCGACUUAGGGACUUCACUCGGAUAAAUCCUCCUACCUUCUAUGGGUCCAAGGUAGAUGAAGACUCCCAUGAAUUCCUUGAUGAGGUCUACAAGGUGCUAUAUUCUACGGGCGUGAGUUCAAGUGAGAAGGCCAUGUUGGCCUUAUAUAAACUAAAGGAUGUGGCUGAAACUUGGUAUGUGCAAUGGAGGGAUAAUAGGUCAUUGAGGGGUGGUCCGGUGACUUGGGAGAUCUUUAAGGCGGCUUUUCUAGAUCGGUUCUUCUCUAGAGAGAUGAGGGAGGAGAAAGUAACGGAAUUCAUCAAUCUUCGUCAAGGAGUGAAGAGUGUUCAAGAAAUUCUUUUGAAUUAGUUAAGUUGUCCAAAUAUGCUCCUUCUUUAGUCUCCGAUCCUAGAGACCAAAUAAGUCAUUUUGUGACGGGAGUGUCACAGGACUUACAAGAGAAGUGCCAAUCGGCCAUGCUACAUGAAAACAUGAACAUUUCCCGUCUUAUGGUUUAUGCUAGAAGGGCCGAGGAGGAAAGAGCUAAGCAAAUAAGUAGAGAUGCAAAGAUGGCUAGGUCAUUUGAUGGAGGCUCCUCAAAGAAUAGGCUUGAUAUACAAGAUAAGCCUAAAUUUAAGAAGCGGGGUUCAAGUCAAGUCCCUACCAAAUUCUUAAAUGCUAGUGGUGAUAGGGUGUCUAACCCUAAAUUUAAGAAGGGAAAAAGUUCUAAUUCACCAAAGAAGAAUCCAACUUGUGGAACGUGUGGUAAAAAUCACUAUGGUGAGUCCUUAAGGGGAUGGAUAAUUGCUUUAGUUGUGGCAAGAGUGGUGACAAAAUGAGAGAUAGUCCAAACCUAAAGAGUCAAGAUAAGGGUAGUAGCCAAGCUCAAGAAAAUGGUUCUAGUGAUGCUCCAAAGAAGAACCACUUCCAUGCUCUCCUCUCUAGGGGUGAACAAGAGACGUCUCUCGACAUGGUGACCGGUAUGUUAAAAAUCUUCACUGUUGAUGUAUAUGCUUUACUUGAUCUGGGUGCUAUUUUGUCCUUUGUUACACCACUAGUAGCUAAAAGUUUUGACGCUUUACCCAAUAUUUUGCUUGAGCCUUUUUUAGUGUCUACUUCGGUGGGAGAGUCAGUUGUUAAUGAAAGAGUCUAUCGAAAUUGUCCUAUUUCAUUACCUAAUAGAGUUUCUUAUAUUGAUCUAGUAGAACUCAAUAUGCUUGAUUUUGAUAUAAUAUUGGGUAUGGAUUGGUUGCAUGCAUGUUUUGCAUCCAUUGGUUGUAGGAAAAGAGUGGUGAGAUUUAACUUCCGAAAUGAACCCGUUGUUGAGUGGAAGGGGGGAAAUUCUAUUCCUAGAGUUCGCAUCAUAUCUUGUCUAAAAGCAUGUAAAAUGAUCUCAAAGGGUUGUCUCUAUCACAUAGUAAGAGUCCAAGAUUUGGAUUCUGAAAUUCCUCCUAUUGAGUCCCCGUAGUAAAUGAAUUUCUAGAGUUUUUCCUAAUGACCUUCCCAGGAUUCCUCCCGAAUGGGAAAUUGAUUUUGAUAUUGAUUUGCUACUGGAAACAAAGCUCUUUUCAAUCCCUCCAUAUCGGAUGGCUCCAGCCGAAUUGAAAGAGUUGAAGGCUCAACUCAAGGAUUUUCAUGAAAAAGGCUUUAUAAGACCUAGUAUAUCUCCAUAGGGUGCUCUAGUGUUAUUUGUCAAAAAGAAGGAUGGGUCUUUGAAAAUGUGUAUUGACUACCAUAAACUCAACAAGGUCACCAUUAAGAAUAAGUACCCUGUCCCUCGGAUUGAUGACUCAUUUGACAAACUCCAAGGGGCGAGUUACUUUUCAAAGAUAGACUUGAGGUCGGGUAUCAUCAACUCAGGGUGAGAGGGCAGGAUAUACCGAAGAUGGUCUUUCGGACUAGGUAUGCACAUUAUGAGUAAUGGUCAUGUCUUUCGGUCUCACUAAUGCUCCGGUGGCAUUUAUGGACCUAAUGAAUAGAGUAUUUCAAAAUUACCUAGAUUUGUGUGUCAUUGUCUUCAUUAACAAUAUCUUGGUAUAUUCGAAGAAUGAGGAUGAUCAUAUGGAUCAUUUGAGGGUAGUAUUGAAAACCCUUAAAGAACAUAAAUUGCAUGCCAAAUAUAGUAAGUGUGAGUUUUGGCUGAGAUCGGUGACUUUUCUUGGGCACAUCAUUUCUAGUGGGGGAUUUGAAGUAGACCCAAGGAAAACGAAACCGGUGAAAAACUGGCCUAGACCAUUUACUCCAACUGACAUAAGGAGUUUCUUGGGUUUAGCGGGUUACUAUCGGGGGUUGGUGGAUGGUUUUGCAUCCAUUGCAUCUCCUUUGACUACUUUGACCCAAAAGAGUAAAAAUUUUAAGUGGUUGGAGGCAUGUGAGAAGAGCUUCCAAUUGUUGAAAGAUAGGCUUACUUUAGGGUGUGUGCUUAUGCAAAACGCAAAGGUGAUAGCUUAUGCCUCUAGGAAACUAAAGGUACAUGAGAAGAAUUACCCCACUCAUGACCUUGAAAUAAUGGUGUGGUGUUUACUUGAAAAUUUUGGAGGCAUUACAUGUAUGGGGUUCAUGUGGAUGUUUUUACAGAUCAUAAGAGUCUCCAUAUGUGUUUACCCAAAAGAAGUUAAAUCUCCGACAAAGAAGGUGGUUUGAGUUGUUGAAAGAUUAUGAUAUGAGUGUCUUUUAUCAACCCUGCAAGGCUAAUGUAGUUGUCGUUGGCCUAAGUUGGAUGACUAUGGGUAGUGUAUCCAUCCCAUCUUGAUGAAACCAAAAAGGACCUAGCAAGGGAAGUGCAUAGGUUGGCUAGGUUGGGGGUGAGGUUGGAGAGUGCUCCGGAUGGGGGUGCCAUAGUUCAUCAUAAUGAGUCAUCUUUAGUGGUUGAGGUGAAGUCCAAACAACACCUUGAUUUAGCCUUAAUGGAGUUGAAAGAAUGGUUCUUGGCAAGUUGAAUGAAUCAUUCUCCCUAGGGGGAAAUGUUAUGUUAAAGAACCAAAAGAGAUUAUGUGUUCGCCAUGUAUAUGUGUUGAGGGAUGGAUCUUAGAAGAAACACAUAAGUCCCGCUACUCAAUUCAUCUGGGUCGACAAAAAUGUAUCAUGACCUAAGGGAAAUAUAUUGGUGGGAAGGUUUAAAAAGGGACAUAGUGGAAUUUGUCGCUAAGUGUCAAAAUUGCUAACAAGUAAAGGCCGAACACCUAAAGUCUGGUGGCUUACUACAAGAGAUCCAAAUUCCAACUUUGAAGUGGGAAGACAUCAAUAUGGACUUUAUAGUAGGUUUACCCCGGACCCAAAAGUCUUAUGAUUCCAUAUGGGUGGUUGUGGAUUGAUUGACUAAAUCAACUCGCUUUAUCUCCGUCAAGUCUUCAUAUUCUACGAAAGAUUAUGCAAGAAUAUUCCUUGAAGAGAUUGUGUGCCGCCAUAGUAUUCCGUUAUCCAUCAUAUCAGAUCGGGGCGCACAAUUCACACCAAGAUUUUGGAGGUCAUUCCACAAAGGGUUAGGUACUACGGUGAAGUUGAGCAAGCUUUUCAUCCCCAAACGGAAUGUCAAGCGGAGCGUAUGAUACAAACCCUUGAAUAUAUGCUUAGAGCAUGCAUUAUUGAUUUUAAAGGGAGUUCAGAUAGACAUUUACCGUUAGUGGAGUUUGCCUGCAACAACAGUUUUCAUUCAUCCAUUUCAUUGGCUCCCUAUGAAGCCUUGUAUGGUAGGAGGAGGUGUAGGUCUCCUAUUGGAUGGUUUGAAGUGGGUGAGCCAUCGAUUCUUGGUCCUAAGUUGAUUUAUAAGACUCUGGAAAUGGUUCAUAUCAUAAGGAACCGGUUGCAAAUGGCCUAUAGUUGGCAAAGGUCUUAUGCCGAUAAUAGGAGAAGUGAUUUGGAGUUUGAAGAAAGUGAUAAGGUGUAUUUAAAAAUUUCACCAAUGAAAGGGCUGGUUAGAUUAGGUAAGAAAGAGAAAUUGAGUCCUCAUUAUGUCGGUCCCUAUCAAAUCUUGCAAAGGGUUGGUAAGGUUGCCUAUGAAUUGAAACAUCUUAGUGAAUUGGCUUCGGUUCAUUCGGUUUUUCAUGUUUUUAUGUUGAAAAAGUGUAUCGGUGACCCCGAGUCUAUUGUUCCUAUUGAGGGUCUUGGUGUCAAGGAUAACCUCUCUUGUGAGGAAGUCCCUGUUUAAAUUCUUGAUAGGCAAGUCAAGAAGUUGAGGAAUAUAAAGAGGUGGUAUCUGAAAAGUAUUAUGGAAAAAUCUAUUAGUUGAGGGUGCUACAUGGGAGGCCGAGGCCGAUAUGAAGUCCCAUUAUCCUCAUCUUUUUUAGAACUAAGGUUAGCCAUUCUUUUUAAUUAUAAUUAUGACAAAGAUUUGUGGUUUCUUGAUUUUUGGGUGAAGUGUUACAAAAAUGGUAUUUUUGAAAACCUCACAGUAAGUCUUACAGUGAAAUCACUGUAGUAUUACUACUAAAAACUUGAAAUUUUGAGUUUUGCUUGUUUUGAGUUAUGUAAUGCACUUUGGAUAAAAAAAAAUGCACUUUGGAUAUGGUGAAUCUUCAUAAAAUAAUAUGUAACAUGUUGUUAAGUUGAACUUUGUGUUAUUUGACUCAUUUGAUGUAUGUUGAGCUCAUAAGUGUUGUGAGAAGGAAAAAUGCCUCAUGAUGAAGUGUUUUGAGCCUUAGGUGUGGUAAUAUGAGUUUUGAUAUUUUCGUUGUUGAAGUGACAUGAUUAAUGUUAAAUGGUUAUUGUUGAUUGGUCAGGCUGCUAGUCUUGGGUCUAUUCCUUUCUUCAAAAGCAUUUUAGUAUCAUUCGGGGACGAAUGUUCCUAAGUGGCGGGGGGAUAAUGUAACACCUUGACAAUCUAAGACUCAUUGUAAAGGCUAACAUAGGUAUCAUAAAGUCUAAGUACUGUUUCUAAGUCCAUCAUUUAGUGAAUAUCGGUCAUUUAGGAGGCUAAAGAACCAAAGCAUUCAAAAACAUUUGGAAAGUUGGUUCAAAGGGAUGUUAGCGUGCCUUAGCCUUUUUACUAACUUUUAGGAGUCAAAAAUGUACGAAAAUGGGUGGAAAGGUAGCUAAUGGGUGUUUGAGUUGUUUCAUGAUUGAAGCUUUCUGGUAUGACUCCCCAAGGACCAACCAAGGGCCCUUAAGGAGGACCCCUCCAGUUGGAUGCAACACUGCCUGGAAGUGUGCAUUGAUAGAACAGAUGACGAUCUGUUUGUGGCUCGAUGAGGCGUCGAGGCCACCAUCAUCCCACACUUAGGAAGCUUCAUUAAGGAUCUUGCUUACCUAGCUACUGUGACACGCGACGAAAGGGGGUUCACUGGGUGCUCAAGGCCACUGUCAUCUCACACUUAGAAAAAUUAGAGGAAGCCCUUGCCUGCAAAGUCUCUGACCGAGACGACAGAGUGCAGGACGGAGCGCGAUUUUCCGUUGACUCACUAAUGGACCGUCGAUCGGGGUCUUGUCAUUGAGGGUCGAGUUCCACUGUUAAAUUUCAAAUGAUUUCAUUUAUUAAUUAAGUGGAUUAGGGUUAGUUAGGGGUUAAAGGGAAACUAAUUAAGUUAAUUAAGCCCCACUAUAAAUACCCUUAACCCUCAUUAACCUAAAGACAUCUCUCAAAAUAAACUCUUUGUUCUGUCUUAUUUCUCUUUCUACAUGAACUCACCGUUGAAGGCUAGUAAGAACUAGGGUUUGAGGACUGGAAAAAUGGUAGAUUCGUCAUCAAAUUGUUGAGAAACAUUAAGGUAUGGGUUCUAUUCACCUUUGAGAUUUUUUUCUCAAAGGGUUCCUUCAAAAUAGAUUUUAAAAAGUUGAAUUUUCUUAUGGGUUUCCAUUGAAUUACGAAACUGAAGUCAUGGAUUGAAUUGUUAAUGAAUUCAUAGGGUUAUAUUUAGUGGAUUAACAUGUAAUUAAACUUGUUUAUCUAAAUUGAAGUAUAUGAUCCUCUAUCCCUAACCCUAGGUAGUGAUCUUGACCUAUGUUGUAUAGUGAGCAUUCAAUUGAGUUGGUAGUUGAUUAGAUUACUAUCAUAUGGUGCUAUUAUGAUUAAAUUAAGAUGCCUAUCAUACUAGUUCUUGAGAUGUGAUUUAUGUUAUGAAUUAUAAUGUGAAAUUAGCCAUUGUACUUUGUCUCAAGUUGUGAUCUAAAGAUGAAUUGUGUUAUAGAGAUGCAAUUGGCUUAUUCUAUUAUUGGUUAUCAUUGUGCGAUGAUGUUAUUCCCCAAGUAUGGUUGAGUUAUGGGGUGAUGGUAAGACCUUGAUAAUAGACUAUGAGAAAGACUUGGUAAGUCUUAGAAUCUCUAUAUUUACUUCCAAUUGUGAUUAAUUAUUGUUAAGCCACGAUAUUACAUUGGAGUAUGCCUUAUACUAGGAUUAUAGGGUGGUAUGAUGUUUUAUUGAAAUAUCUUGUCUAUGUUGUUAGGUUUAUUAAGGUGUAUGUGCUAUAAAGAUGGUGAAAACUAUCAAUGAGCCUUAAUAUGUUAUAAAAUGCUAAAGUGUUAACCUCACUUAUAUGAAUUGUGAUGAAAGGACUUAUACUCAUACAAUUCUUAUUGAGAUAUUGAUGAUGAUGAUUAUAUAAGGGGUAGACCAUAUGGCCGAAAUUAUAUUAUGAUUGAUAAUUAAUGGCCUAAAGACAUUUCAAAAAGGUACUCUAGCUUAGUACCGAGUGAACUAGAUAGAGAAGUGUCCUUUCCCACAUAGAGAAGGUAGGAACACUACAUUACUCUCGAGAUUUGAGACUAUAAUACAUGGCGCAUGAAGAACAUCCCAACUAAAUCUCCUAGUUCUUUAACUAUGUUGACCCCAUAGGAAUACUAGCUAGUGGAUCCACGUAGGUGCUAUGUUUUAUAUUUUGGUACUACCUUGGCAAGUAGUCCGCCUUAUUUCGGUGUAGGAUUUUAUGACACCGGAUUCCACACUAGCUCAUGUGGUCUAUGUCAGUUAGGGCAAGAUGUUCCCAAAAGGUAAAAUGAAUUAACGGACUUGAACUCUAACUUGGAUAACCUAAGGGGUCUAUCUUAGUCUAGGUAGGAUAUGAAGUCAGACAUUGCACUAGUUAGUCUUGAGGGGAGUCUUAGGAUGAGGUUCUUAUAUGUUUAUGUUAUGACAAUAUAUGAUGUAUAUAUAUGAUGACCAUGUCAUAUUGUUGAUACUAUAUGUUGAUUAGUUGAUUUUAUGAAUAUGACUUGGAUUAUAAUGAUAAUAUACAAUGAAAUACAAGCCUAAAAGCCAUGAUAUAUGAAGUUGGGCAUUGGUCAUGUUUUCUUGUUGAGGAUACUUGAUUGAGUAAGGUUAUGGGGCUUUGCUUGGUCAUUGCACUUGUAGACUUGAUAAGGACUUGUGAGUAGUUGUCUUGCUUAUUAUGAUAUGCUUAACUUUUAUUCACUCUUGUGAUAUUAUUCCUUGAUUUUAGGGUUGUAGUAAAUCAUGAUUUCAAGUAUGUUGGAUAAGUAUUAUUUGUAGAGAUAAUAAGCAUGUUUGGUUGACUAAUUUGACUUACUUGACUUUGAAUUAAGCCCUAAAAGGGGUAGAAUAACAUGCUUUGAUAAAAAGUCCCUUUUAGCAUAUGUAUGUGCAUAAGAUCUCAUACUUAGUACAUGUGGAGUACUAACCCCGUUUUCUUCCCUUGUCCCAAAUAUUUUAGGUUACGGACGUUGAAGAGUUUGGAAGGUGAUAUUGUUGAAGGCUUGGAUUCUUAGUUUCAUCCAUGUGGUUUAUGUCACGACCCAACCCGAUGGGCCGUGACUAGUUCCCGUUUUAGACACUCACAUACAAACCUGCUAAGUAUAACCAACUGAAACUAAGACAAUAUGGAAUUUAAUCAAAUCAAGACAACCCCAACGCCAUAUUUAUAAAGUGGACCUGUCUCAUAAGGAGUCAUAACCAUUCAACCGUAACAACAUACGCGAGCUGACAAGGCCGCCACUAUCCAAAGCAUAAUAGCAUACCCAAGCCGACAAGGCUGCCACUACACAAUACACAAUGAUGUACGCAGCCGACAAGGCUGCCCCUGUACAAGCGGACAUCCCAAACAAACUAUGUCCAGACCAUUAUCCAAAACAUAUAUAUGCAACCCACAUAAUGUCUACAGACCUCUAAGAGUAUAGUAGUGAAACUCGACGGGACAGGGCCCCGCCAUACCCAUAGACAAGCAAAAGACUACACAAAAAGUUAUGUACCAAAAUGACUGGGCUCCGGAACAGUGGAUCUCUCCCAAUCAACAGAGUAGAUAUCGUAGGAGGGAGGAUCAACGAAUUGUGCGUCUACACCUACGUGCAUGAAAUGCAGCCCCCCCUCCCCCGAGGAAAGGGGGUCAGUACGGACAAUGUACUGAGUAUGUAAAGCAUAAGGUAAAGAUGACAGGAUACCAACAUGAUAAGUCGAAAAAAGAUAUCACUACACAUGUACCUUUUAAGUGAAAAUCAUGCAUAUAUACAUCAUACGUACCCGGCCCUCUAGUGAGGGACUCAGUGAAAUAGUCAUCACAUCAUCUCAGUCAUCAUCAUCAUCAUAACCAUCCUCAUCACCAAUCAUAUAUAUAAUAUACAUACCCGACCCUCUAGUGAGGGACUCGGUGACAUAUGCAAGAAACUCCACAUGAACAUUACCCGAUCGGGACUCGGUGAAAUGAUAAAUGACUCUAUGCACGAGCAGAAUAUUAUGAGCAACCAUAUGCAAUUAAAAUCAUUUCUUAUAACUCAAUAGAACAUCAACGUGAACCAGCAAGGAGUAUUACCAAAGAUUGACAUUUUAUCAAGAUUAUGAACCAACUGGUAGUGCUUCUUAGAGUCAUUAAGAUUUUACGACCAGUGCUUCUUAGAGUCAUUGAGAUUUUACGUUUCCAUAUCGUAUUAAAGGUUCAUAAUCAUGAUAAAACAUUAAUCUUUGGUAAUACUCCUUGCUGGUUCACGUUGAUUGUUCUAUUGCGUUAUAAGAAAUGAUUUUAAUUGUAUAUGGUUGCUCAUAAUAUUCUGCUCGUGCAUAGAGUCAUUUAUCAUUUCCCCGAGUCCCGGGCCGGGUAAUGUUCGUGCGAAAUAUCUUGCAUAUGUCACCAAGUUCCUCACUAGAGGGCCGGGUAUGUAUAUUAUAUAUAUGAUUAGUGAUGAGGAUGGUCAUGAUGACGAUGAUGACGGACAUGACGUGAUGAUUAUUUUGCGGAGCCCCUUACUAGGGAAGCUGGGCACCUUAUAUGUUAAAUAUAUGUAUGAUUUUCACUUAAAAGGGUAUGUGUAGCGAUAUUUUGUUUCGACUUGCCAUAUUGGUAUCCUGUCAUCUUUACCUUAUGCUUUACAUACUCAGUACAUUGUCCGCACUGACCAACCUUUCCUCGGGGGGCUGCGUUUCAUGCCCGCAGGUGUAGACGCACAGUUCGGUGAUCCUCCCGCCUAGGAUAUCUACUCUGCUGAUUGGGAGAGCUCCACUGUUCCGGAGCCCAGUUGUUUUGGUACAUAACUUUUUGUGUAGUCUUUUGCUCGUCUAUGGGUAUGGCGGGGGCCUGUCCCGUCGAGUUUCACUACUGUACUCUUAGAGGUCUGUGGACAUUAUGUGGGUUGUAUAUAUAUGUUUUGGAUAAUGGUCUGGACAUGGUUUGUUUGGGAUGUCCGCUUGUACAGGGGCGGCCUUGUCGGCUGCGUACAUCAUUGUGUAUUGUGUAGUGGCAGCCUUGUCGGCUUACGUAUGUUAUUAUGCUUUGAAUAGUGGCGGCCUUGUCGGCUCGCGUAUGCUGUUAUGGUUGAAUAGUUAUGACUCCUUAUGAGACAGGUCCUCUUUAUAUAUAUAUAUAUGACGUUGGGGUUGGCUUGAUUUGAUUAAAUUCCAUAUUGUCUUAGUUUCAGUUGGUUAUACUUAGCAGGUUUGUAUGUGGGUGUCCAAAACGGGCACUAGUCACGGCCCACUGGGUUGGGUCGUGACAAAGAGUGGUAUCAGAGCAGUUCUUCCUCGGAAGUGUCUAAAGACCGUGUCUAGUAGAGUCUUGUUUAUCAGUGUAUUGUGCACCACAUCUAUAAACAGGAAGCUACAGGACAUUUAGGAUGUCAUUCUUUCUUCUUAUUCUAGAUCGUGCGAUAGAGCUAUAUUAACAGGAUAAUCCCUCUCUAAAGAAUCCGUGUGUUUUCAGCUAUGCCUCCAAAGAAAGCGACAACCGCCCAGAAGGGCAAAUCAGUACCAGAAGGUACUAGUCAGACCCGGAGAGUUACUAGGGCCCGUGCCCAGUCUAUGCCUGGUAUUAUGCUCCAGUCGGAGAGCUCUGCUACACCGCCACCGCUAGAGGAGCUUAGAGCAGCAGCAGCUCCAGUUCGAGGGACACCACCAGCCCCGAGGCCCCAACACCUUAACCUCCAGCUCCUCAGUCAGGGGCGGAGGAUAGGGCCAUGAGAGAUGCGGUUCAAUUGCUGACUAGAUUAGUGGCAGAUCAGGCUCGCAGGCAUCAUGCGGACAGAUCUGAUAGCUUAAGGGCUCGUGACUUCUUAAGUUGUAAUCCUCCAGAGUUCUUUGGGUCAAGGCCCCAAGAUGAUCCGCAAAAGUUUAUUCGUCAGAUGCAGCGUACAUUGAGGAUAAUCAAGGCUUCAGAGAUCGAGUCUGUUGAGUUGGCUACGUAUCAUUUGCGGGGUGUAGCUAUUAAUUGGUAUGAGUCUUGGGAGUUAUCUAGGGGUGAGGGUGCUCUUCCAGCGGUAUGGGAUGAAUUUGUGGAGGCUUUACAGGGCCACUUCCUGCCUCCAGAGAUGAAGCGAGCUAGAGUCGAUAGAUUCUUGCGUUUGAAGUAAAAUGGCAGGAGCAUUCGAGAGUAUAGCCUCGAGUUUGAUUUAUUGGCUAGGCAUGCGCCAACUAUUGUGGCUGAUAUGGCAGAAAGGGUACAUCGUUAUGUGAUGGGAUUGGAUCGUUAUCUGAUUAACGGUUGUAUGGCAGUGACUCUUCAGCUAGGUAUGGACAUUGCUCGGGUGCAGGCAUAUGCACAGGGGGUAGAGGAUCAGCACCGGGGACGUCAGCCAGAUAGAGAUUCUAAUAGAGGCCAGCAUAAGAGGGCUAGAUCAGCAGGUUAUCCUGACGAGUUUCGAAGCGGGCAGUCUCAGCAGCAUGUUAGAUUUUCUUCCCAGCAAGCACAGAGUGCACCCCCACGUUUAAUGGGUAGGGGGUUCGAUUGUAUGGGAUAUUCAAAAGCUAGUCAGAGCUCUAGGGCGUCAGGGUCACAGAUGGGCAGGGGUUUGAGCCAGUCGAGGCCACCUUUGCCUCGGUGUUCUCGCUGUGGUAAGUCCCAUCCUGGGGAAUGUCGUUGGGCUACAGGUGCGUGUUUUUCUUGCGGCCGUCAGGGCCAUACUAUGAGGGAGUGUCACCUUAGAGGUAGUGCAGGUGGUAUGGCACAGCCUACAGGGUCCGUUGCUGGUUCAUCUUCUUCUGUGGCUAUGCGCCCUACGGGGCAGGGUAUUCAGGCGCCAACAGGCCGUGGUAGAGGACGUGGUGGAGCUUCCAGUUCUAGCGGUCCCUCGAACCGUAUAUAUGCUUUGACUAAUAGGCAAGAUCAGGAGGCGUCACCUAAUGUGAUCACAGGUAUAUUAUCGCUAUUCUCCAGAAGUGUGAAUGCAUUGAUAGACCCAAGUUCCACCUUAUCGUAUAUAUCUCCCUUUAUUGCUAGUAGGAUCGGAAUAGAGUCUGAGUUGAUAGAACCAUUUGAGGUAGCUACACCUGUAGGAGAUUUUGUCAUAGCUACGCGAGUAUAUAGGAAUUGUUCAGUAGUUAUAUAUAGUCAUCGUACCGUAGGAGAUCUAAUAGAGUUAAAUAUGAUUGAGUUUGAUAUUAUCAUGGGCAUGGAUUGGUUGGCUGCUUGUUAUGCUAAUGUUGAUUGCAGAGGAAAGAUAGUUCGAUUUUAAUUUCCAGGGGAACCGAUUAUAGAGUGGAAGGGAAGUACAAUAUCGCCGAAAGGUAAGUUCAUUUCAUACCUCAAGGCCGGGAAGAUGGUUAGAAAAGGCUAUAUUUACCAUCUGAUUUAGGUGCAUGACAUAAAGGCAGAGGCACCGACUCUUCAAUCAGUCCCAGUAGUUAAUGAAUUUCCCGAUGUAUUCCCCGAGGAACUUCCAGGCCUUCCUCCAGAACGGGAGAUAGAGUUUACUAUAGAUGUACUGCCAGAUACCCAGCCUAUAUUUAUACCUCCUUAUAGAAUGGCACCUGCUGAGUUGAAAGAAUUGAAAGAGCAAUUGAGGGAUUUGCUAGAAAAGGGCUUCAUCAGGCCUAGUACGUCACCUUGGGGAGCACUGGUACUGUUUGUGAGGAAGAAGGAUGGGUCGUUGCGGAUGUGCAUUGAUUAUAGGCAGCUGAACAAAGUAACAAUAAAGAACAGGUAUCCCCUCCCAAGGAUUGACGAUCUAUUUGACCAGUUGCAGGGUGUAAAGUGUUUUUCAAAGAUAGAAUUGCGGUCAGGUUAUCAUCAGGUGCGGGUAAGGGAGGCAGAUAUUCCAAAGACGGCAUUCCGAACCCGAUAUGGGCAUUAUGAGUUUAGAGUGUUGUCUUUUGGGCUGACUAAUGCUCCAGCGGUGUUCAUGGAUUUAAUGAAUCGAGUAUUUAAACCAUUCCUUCAUAUGUUUGUUAUUGUAUUUAUAGACGAUAUUCUGGUUUAUUCACGUUCAGAAGACGAGCAUGCAGACCAUUUAAGGACGGUACUUAGGGUGCUUCAGCACCAAAAGUUGUAUGCUAAAUUUUCUAAGUGCGAGUUCUGGUUGACUUCAGUGGCAUUCUUGGGGCAUAUUAUUGGAGCUGAUGGUAUUCGGGUAGACAUGCAGAAGAUUGAGGCGGUAAAGACUUGGCCCAGACCUACGACACCUAUUGAGGUACGCAGCUUUCUGGGGUUAGCAGGAUAUUACAGGAGAUUCGUAGAAAAGUUUGCCUCAAUUUCAGCGCCUUUGACAAGGCUAACUCAAAAGGCAGCCAAGUUUCAGUGGACUGAUGCUUGUGCAUGAAGCUUCCAGCUAUUGAAAGACAAAUUGACUACAGCUCCAGUCCUAACUCUUCUGGAGGGACCAGACGGCUAUGUUAUUUAUUGUGAUGCUUCGAGUGUUGGGCUAGGAUGUGUAUUGAUGCAGCAUGGCAAAGUUAUAGCCUAUGCCUCCCGACAGCUUAGGAAGCAUGAAAAGAACUAUCCUACUCACGAUCUGGAGUUAGCGGUCGUGGUUCAUGCCUUGAAGAUAUGGAGGCAUUAUUUAUAUGGUGUCCAUGUGGACAUCUAUACAGAUCAUAAGAGUCUCCAAUAUAUCUUUAAACAGAAGGAGCUGAACUUACGAUAGAGGCGGUGGUUAGAGGUUCUAAAGGAUUAUGAUGUUGAUAUUUUCUAUCAUCUAGGGAAAGCGAAUGUUGCAGCAGAUGCUCUUAGCCAUAAGUCCAUGGGUAGCUUGACAGAUGUACAACCAUAAAGGAGGGAAAUGGUUCGGGAGAUUCAGUGGCUAUCUAGCCUUGGAGUCCGUCUAGCUAAUUCAGAAGAUAGUGGAGUUUCUAUUCGAGAGGUUGCUGAGUCCUCAAUCAUAGAUGAGAUAAAGAGACACCAAUACAAGGACCCUAUUCUGGCGCAGUAUAGAGAUGCAGCUCUUCAAAAGGAAAAGACCCCAUUUAAGGUUACACCUGACGGAGUGUUACGAUAUGAAGGCAGAUUGUGUGUACCCGAUACUGCGGGGCUACGACGGCAGGUUAUGGGAGAGGCACACUCUGCCCGUUAUUCUAUUCACUCAGGGUCAACGAAAAUGUAUCAUGACCUCAGAUGCUUAUAUUGGUAGGAUGGUAUGAAAAAGGACAUAGCGGAGUUUGUUGCUCAGUACCCGAAUUGUCAACAAGUCAAGAUCGAACAUCAAAAGCCUGGUGGAUUAUUACAGGAGAUAGAGAUCCCGACUUGGAAAUGGGAGAUGAUUAAUAUGGACUUCAUUACAGGCUUACCUCGCAAUCAACGGAAGAAUGACUCUAUAUGGGUUAUUGUAGAUAGGCUGACGAAAUCGGCCCAUUUUCUUCCAGUCAGGACUAAUUAUUCGGCUGAAGAUUAUGCGAGGUUAUAUGUCAGGGAGAUAGUGAGACUUCAUGGGGUUCCCACGUCCAUUAUAUCAGACAAAGGAGCUCAAUUUACAGCCAACUUUUGGAGAUCGUUUCAGAAGGGAUUGGGGACACAGGUGAACCUUAGCACAACAUUUCACCCUCAGACUAAUGGGCAGGUUGAGCGUACUAUUCAGACACUAGAAGAUAUGUUACAGGCCUAUAUUAUUGACUUCAAAGGUAGUUGGGAUGACCACUUGCCGCUCAUUGAGUUUGCCUAUAACAAUAGCUACCAUUCUAGUAUCCAGAUAGCACUGUACGAGGCCUUAUAUGGGAGGAAGUGCAGAUCAUCUAUUGGUUGGUUUGAUGUUGGCGAGACUAAGUUAAUAGGCCUGGAUGUGAUUCAGGAAGUUGUUGACAAGGUGAAGCUUAUUCAAGAAAGAUUAUUGGCAGCCCAGAGUCGACAGAUGUCAUAUGCAGAUAAUUGGCGUCGAGAUUUGGAGUUUCAGAUUGGUGACUGGGUAUUCCUGAAGGUAUCACCCAUGAGGGGUGUGAUGAGAUUCGGUAGGAAGGGGAAGCUCAGUCCGAGAUACAUUGGGCCUUAUCAGAUUGUUCGUAGGAUAGGCAAGGUUGCCUAUGAGUUGGAUCUACCAUCUAAUUUGGAGGCGGUACAUCCAGUCUUCCAUGUAUCGAUGCUACGUAAAUGUAUUGGUGAUCCUUCUAGAGUAUUCCCGUAGAUGAUGUUCAGGUAACAGAGGAGUUGUCAUAUGAGGAGAAACCCGUAGCUAUACUUGAUCGCCAGGUUAGAAGGCUACGUACUAAGGAUGUGGCUUUCGUCAAAGUGUUGUGGCAAAAUAACAAUAGGGAGGAGAUGACUUGGGAAGCGGAAGACAAAAUGAAGAAUAAGUAUCCUUACUUGUUCCCCGUACCUGUAGGUAAUAUAAUUCCUAGCUUGACUAUAUUGAUAGAUAAUGAGAUUAUGUAGCUGUGAGGCAUCUGUAAGUUACGGAAUGCAGGUUGAUAGGUAUAACUUUUAGAGAGACCUCACUGGAAUUGGUUUUUUUAAUAAGACGCUAACUUAACAUUCGAGGACAAAUGUUCCUAAGGGGGGAAGGAUGUUAUGCCUCGUAUUUUUUUAUACGUAGUGCGCAUCAUGAUCUAGUAGACGUAAGUCCGGGGAAUGAGAUUUUAUUUUAAGUUCCAAAUGAUUAAAGAAAUAUUAGGCAAGGAUGUUAAUUCCAAAUGUGAUAUUAAGUAUGAUUUGGCUAAUGUAAGUGUCAUUAACCUUAAGUGAGGGAUUAAUUAGUGGCUGAUUAGGAUUAAUUUAAUCCAGUGGGCCCCACCACUCAUAAUUGGUGGCUGAUUAAUAUUUAAUCCAGUGGGCCCCACCACUCAAGACAAAAAUUAAAAAGAUCAGAUUAUGAGCUGGCCUUAGUGGACAGGUGUAGAGGGGGGCUGCCUCCACUUCAUACUAUUAAAUGAGGUGGAGAAAUCCACUCUAUGCUAAAUAAAGUGGUGAAAUGCAUUGCUGCAUAUCAUCUUCUUCUUCACCACUUGUUUUAGGCAGCCAUGGAAAUGGAGAAACCAACCCUGCAACUCUUGUCCAGCAGCUGCAAUAAUUUGGUUAGUAAUCUCCUUGCUUGGUGUGUUAAUUAUUUAGAAUACCUUUGUUAAUUAUCCACUAAUUUUAAGAAGGGGUGUGAUCAGUAGCUUAGGAAGUUUGUUUUAGUUAUUGAAUGUACUAAGUAUGAACGGAAACCAUAAUCGGAUUAUUAGUGGUGUCGUGUUGGUGCUUGGGCUGUUUUGAUUAAAGCAAACUGCGGGAAAAUUCUGUUUUGGAAUUAUGUAUAUGUUAAAUGUGAUUAUGAGUAUAUACUCCAAAGGAUGAAUACGAUAAGGUAGAUGUGUUGCGAAUUAUAAAACGAGUUAUCACUCGGUGUGUCGUUGCUUCGCUGCUAUGGUUGCCGAGACGGAACUGUUUUGGGGAGGGGGCUGUUUAAUAUGAUUCGUUGGGUUAUAUGUGUUGUUGGUAUUGCUAUGGAUAAUUUGGGUUGUUGUCGUAUUGGGACGAAGUAAGGAAAAUAGGGGAAGUGCUGCCGAAUUUUCGUUAGAUUAUUAGCUAGCUUACAAGAAAGUAAAGCGCGAUGUUUAUCUAAUUGCGGCACGAUUGUUGCUUGUUAGAGAUUAAUAGCUUGAGCAGUAAAUAUUGGACGUGCGGCCCGAUUAUACGGUAUGUAACACUGUCCCUUCUUUCUUUGUUUGGCAUGACUUUUCAAAAUAAGCGAAUAACGGACAGGUUUGAUACUUACCUCUAGAGCGUCUAGGUGACAUAUAUUCUUGCUUCCACAAUUAUUCUUCUAUAUAUCGGCUAUGUCUAAGGCUAUGAUGAUCUCUAAUAUCUAUGGUAGUGCUUCUUAGAGUCAUUGAGAUUUUACGUUUCCAUAUCGUAUUAAAGGUUCAUAAUCUUAAUAAAACAUUAAUCUUUGGUAAUACUCCUUGCUGGUUCACGUUGUUGUUCUAUUGAGUUAUAAGAAAUGAUUUUAAUUGUAUAUGGUUGCUCAUAAUAUUCUGCUCGUGCAUAGAGUCAUUUAUCAUUUCACCGAGUCCCAGGCCGGGUAAUGUCCGUGCAGAGUUUCUUGCAUAUGUCACCGAGUUCCUCACUAGAGGGCCGGGUAUGUAUAUUAUAUAUAUGAUUGGUGAUGAGGAUGGUCAUGAUGAUGAUUAUGACGAAGAUCACGUGAUGAUUAUUUUGCCGAGCCCCUUACUAGGGAAGCUGGGCACCUCAUAUGUUAAAUAUAUGCAUGAUUUUAACUUAAAAGGGUAUAUGUGUAGCGAUAUUUUGCUUCGACUUGCCAUAUUGGUAUCCUGUCAUCUUUACCUUAUGCUUUACAUACUCAGUACAUUGUCCGUAC
rnacentral:lncRNA from 1 species